rnacentral:lncRNA from 1 species
AGAGAGAGUAGUCAGAAUUCCCUAUAUAUGAUAUAAAACAGAAGUAAAGUCAAUGAUUUAAAGAAAUAUUAUAUACAAAAAUAUAUAUGUGUUCAUUUGAAUAAUUCGUUUUAUUUAAAUUCUGAAUUAUUGCCUGAUGCCUAAUACGAUCAUGAAUAAGAAAACUUUCUCACAUUUUCUUCAAAAGAAAAAAUAAAUAAAUAAAGCCUUAUUCAGCAUACCACAAAAGUGCAUGAAAACCAAAUGUCCACAUAUGAAGCAGAUAUGCAAUGCAAUCUCAUGGAUUUAAAGGGUCGACUCAUUUUUUGAGGAUAUGCAGAGAUAAUCAUGAGGUUAAUACAUAUCAUUAUUUGGGUUUUCCAUUUCAUAUGCUACUCUAGGCCAAAUUCAAUUAUAUGCUUGCUAUUCGAGCACAGCCAAUACACUGCAAAAUAUGAAAAAGUACGUAAUUGUGAUCUUUUGAAGGUAUAAUGCAAGCACCAACAAUAAAUGAUGAUCUAUAACAUUUACAUGCAGUUGAGUGGAAUAAGAUUUCAACUAAACACAGUAAUGUCAAGCACUUAAAAGAAAAAGAAAAGGAAAGCACAGUAGCCAAUCCUCGGCAUAAAUUUUCAUUUAAUUAAUAGUUAAUAAUUUUCAUAAAAAUAGGCAUUGGCAGUGGACGUAUCACAAGGCAUUUGCUCCGAACAAAAAUAUGUUAAUUUUCCCAAUCAUAAUUAGCUACCAUAUAGUUAUCAUCAACCAAUCACCAGUCCUUUCGAUCAACGAAUAUAAACACGCAACGAACCAGCAUUUUACUUCAAAACUAAAAUCAGAAAGGAAAUUAAGAUUCAUCUAACGAAAUUAUAAACAAAUAAAUUGUAAUAAAAGAUCAACAAGCAACAGAGACAAUUUGGAAGUCGACUGAGAUCCAUUUGCUUCGUCACAAAGUAAAAAUGCCAAUACCAUUAUGAGAUCUUUAGAAUCAUAAUUUGAGGGAAGAGAAUAAGCAAAUUAGAGAAACCGACAAGAUUCCGGAGUUCAAAACAAUGAUAAAAUUAAGCAAAAGUGGUGGUGAUUAUUAAAGCGAAACAGAUGUAGGGUUAAAAUCAGACCUGAGAACUGGUGAGGACGGUGAGGAGUGCGGCAACGAAGUACCACUUCAUACUGCCCCUUUAUUUUUUUUUUGAAAUUCCCCUUUUCGUGCAGUUACCACCUGCUACUAACUGGUACAGUUUUCAGUUUCAUAAUACCUUCGGCUUCCCGCUGUGUCACUGACUGGGUUGUGAGUGUAAUAUGGGGAUUGAGACGAGCUGGUCAGGUACAUGAGGAUUGAGUUGGAAAGGGCCUUAAAUCUCGAGUUAUAUAUCAGCCUGCUUUCAGACCUUUAUUGGGCGUUUUUCAGCUCAUCUCAUUGGUACUGCUGGCUUUACAAAGGGCUUAAAUAGUAAGUAGAUUUGUAAUUAUAUUUUUUUAAUUUUAAUUUUUUGCAUUAAUUUUAUGUCGUUAAAUUACUUUUGGAUACACACUAAAUAUGUUCGGCUACUUGACAUUGAUUUACCGCAGGCUUCUUUCCUCUCUCGCCUCAAGCUUCUCUCUCCUCUCUUUUUGUUGUCUGUCGUUCAAGGUUCUCCAUAUUAAGUAAAUUUACAUGUUUUUUAGUUAAUUUGAAUUACUUAAUUAUCUAAGAUGUUAAUAAGUGUUGAAUUUCAUUUAUAAAAAUUUUAUCUAUUAUUUAAAAAUACGAUUAAGUAUUGUACUUCAUCUCGUAAUUAUUUUUUUUGUUAUAAUUUACUUAUUUAAAGAUUAGUGAUUGAAAAAGUAAUAUCACAUAAUUCAUCUCAUCUCCUCUAACAUUAUUAUUAUUUUAAUUUCUCCUUAAAUUCUAAUAAUAAUAUUAGAUCUUCUCAAAAGUAAAAAAAAAAUAACUUUAUAUAAUAAAAAAUAAAUAUCCUAUAAAAAAAAUUGUACAGCCAAGUCAAUAACGAAGUAUAUCGAAUUUAAAACAAUAAUUUAGACUUAAUUUCUUCAAAUUAAAAUGAUUGCUAAUAAAAUAUUCUUUCUCUAUCUCAAUAACAUACAACAAUUAUAUUUCUUAUUAAAGUAAGAAUAUGAAGCUUGGUUAUAGCAUUUUUGUUAUAGACAUCUUAUUUUGUUGGAUUCAAUACUUUAUAAAAAAAUAAUAUGGUAAAUGGUCUUCCUCUAAUUUCACAUCUCUUGUAAAUAUGCGAAGAGUAUAUUGUUAACAAACAACAUCACAAUUCAUUUCUAUAAAAAAAUCAUGUAGAAUAAAGAAGGCGAUUAAAACUUGUUUAUUUUAAUAUUUACGGAGUCCCUAUACUACCAUAUUCAAAUUGAGGUAAAAGCUACAUAAUUAUUUUUAUAAUUAAUUAAAAAUUUAAAAAAGAUAUCAUUAUAUAUAUUUAAUUGCCAAAAAGAUAAACUUUAUUUUUAUAUUUUUAAAUUUUAAAUAAAUACCCAAUUUAACCCUCAAACUAAAUCUAAUAUUAUACUUAGUUAUAAAUGUUUUUUAUUGUAAAUUAGUUUUUAAAUUAUUUCAAAAACUUAACAAACUAUUAAAAUUUGGAUGAAGAAGACAAAUAUGACUCAGAACUUAUUUAGCGAAAAAAACACGGACCAACAAAAUAAUUAAAAAUAAAAUUAAUAUUAAUAGAUAAUUAAAAAUUAUUAAUGUUGAUAAAAAAUAAUGAGUUAAAUAAUGAUUCUUUUUUCAAAUAAGUUUUAAUUAUAUGUGAUUUUUCUACCUAAUUUUUAACGGCUUUGAAAAAUUUUUAAAAUGUGGGCACUAAAUUUUUUUUUUUAAAAAAAACAUAAGUUAGCUAUAUUUUUGAAAAAUAAAUUAAAUAUACAAUUAAAUAUUAUUACUUUCACUAAAAAUUUAAAUACAUAAUUAUUGCAUAUAAUACAUAAUUUUAUGUUUAAAAUAUUUAAAUAAAUAAUUAUCAUAUAUAAUUAAUUUAAUUUUAUUUGAUAUUUAAAAUUUAUUUAAAAAAUUCAAGAGAAUCUCGGUCUAACAACCGAAGGGAGAUAAAAUACUUCAUGCAAAAUAAACCCCAUAAUUACAUGUCGUGGGAUCGUGCCAGACGACGUGCUAUGCAGCCAAAAGCAUCUCCUGCUGCCACAUGACAUAUCAAUGUUUGUUGUUGAACUGAUCAAAUAUAUAUUAAUUAUUAAUUGUUGUAUAUUUAAGAAUUAAAUAUCAUUUAUGGAGACAGGAGGAGUUUCUAUCUCCCCUAAAUUAAUGUCUAAUGAAAACAUUACAUUGUAACUAAAUCUUUAAUCAAUACAUUCAUUUAAUUAAUUAAUAUGUCGUCGAUAUUUUUUUCGUGUAAUUAUAAUAAAAUUUAAUUUUAAUGCUCUUAUUUUUCAACCUGAUCACGUCACAAUGAUAAUGAUUAUUAUUAUUAUUAUUAUUAUUACUUUGUGACAUCAUAAUAAAAAUUAUAUAUUUAUGAAAUAAUAAGUCAAUAGCAAUUAUAUAUUUAUGAAAUAAUAAGUCAAUAUAUUAUCAUUCUGCCUUUUAUAUAUAAAAUAAGAAAUGCCGUUAAAUUAAUAAAAAUAUUUUUAACAAAAUAAUUAUAAAGUAAAAAAAUAUAUAUAUGUGUAUAAUAUCUGAUAACACUUAUUAUAUCUAGUAUAAUAAAAUUAAUUAUUUUCAAGAUGACUCAACAAUUGUUUAUUCUUUCAAUAAACGACGUAGUUUGACGGAAAAAAAAAAAAAAGGAAGACAACAGUUAAGAGCGGUUGCGAUGAGAGGGCAGUUAACGGUUUUGUCAUUGAGACGGAACAAAACCGCAUUAAAUUAAAAACAAAAAUCAACAUUUAAUUACUCGAAUAAACAAAACGAAAGUCGCGGGAACAUUUCAUAUAUAACCACAAAGCAACCCGACAAUUUUCAGCGGCCAAAGAAGAAACUGAUAUCACCAAAAAAAAAAAAAAAGAGCUUGAAUAUCUUUCUCUUGGAAAUUCCGUUUCUAGUUUUUUUUUCUUAAUUUCUUUUUUUUUUUUGGCAGUUUGAAGAAAUUUAAUCAGCAAACAGAAAAUACAAAACCAGAGACAAUAGCCUCCUGUUUCAGGUGUUUGCUCCAGAAAUGGCUUCUUGGGGAAAAUGAACCAGAUUUGAUUGCUUUUAGGUGAUUUUCUCUUAUGUUUGUCUUUCUAUUAUGUUUGGAUUAUCCAAUAGACAUUAAUGGUUUUUUUAUUAUCAGAUUACUGAGUGACAUUUGGCCUUGGAUUUGUUCUGGGUUCUAAAUCACCAGCUCGUUUUCAUGCUCCAAGGAAAUCGGUGGAGAAAAGAGAAUCUUCUCUGCAGGUCUUGAUUCACUUUCGUUCCUUUUUCAGCUUUCCGUGUCUACGUGAGGUUCUUGGCAUGAUGUUGUUUUCUCGUAUGUUGGUGCUCAUGCUUUGAACAAUUAUUCUCUGUUCUAAUCAAUUCCAGAUGCAGAAGUUUUAUUGAUCCUGCUUUUAAAAAAAAAAAAAAUCUGAUUUUUGGUUGUCUUUUUUGUCGCUCUGAAAUUAUUUUGGUAGUGCAAGUUGAGGAUUUGAAGCCCCUGGUUUGUAUUUCUGGGGGUUCCUGAUCAGCCAUUGAAUGGAGCAGUUCCGGCAGAUUGGAGAGGUUCUGGGUAGUCUGAACGCUCUGAUGGUUCUGCAAGAUGAUAUAAAAAUCAACCAGCGGCAGUGCUCGUUGCUUCUCGAAAUCUUCACAUUGGCUUUCAACACAAUUGCAGAUGCAAUCCGCCAAAACUUGAAUCUAGAAGAGAAGAAUACUAAGUGGAGAGAUCUUGAGCAGCCAUUAAGGGAGCUGUAUAGGGUUUUCAAAGAAGGGGAACUAUAUGUUAGAUACUGUAUUGAUAACAGAGAUUGGUGGGGAAAACUCAUCAACCUUCAUCAAAAUAAGGACUCCAUUGAGUUUCACAUCCAUAACCUGCUUUGCUACUUUCCUGCUGUCAUCGAGGCAAUUGAAACAGCUGGAGAAAUAUCAGGGCUUGACCCUGCAGAGAUGCAGAGCAGAAGAGUUGCUCUUAAGAGGAAAUACGAUAAGGAGUGGAUUGAUCCCAAGCUUUUUCAAUGGCGAUAUGGGAGACAGUAUUUGGUUCCUCGGGAAAUUUGUAGCCGUUUUGAGAUUUCUUGGAGAGAAGACAAAUGGCAUCUUCUUGAUGUGCUUCAGGAGAAGAGAAAUUUGUUAGGUGACGCUUCUACAAAGAUUGACAAGCGUUUUGCUGACCUACUGUUCAAGAAAAUAGCUGGGAUGGAUCCAGGUAAUGGAAAGCUCUUCCCAAGUUCUAUUUUGGUGGGAGGAAAGGAUUACCAAGUGAAGCAGAGAUUAGGAGGAGGAAGCCAGUACAAAGCAAUUCAGUGGUUAGGAGAGAAUUUUGCUUUGAGGCAUUUCUUUGGGGAGAUUGAACCAUUAUCUUCAGAGAUUUCCACUCUUCUCUCACUUUGUCAUCCCAAUAUAUUACAAUACCUUUGUGGGUUCUAUGAUGAGGAAAGGAAAGAAUGUUUUCUGGUUAUGGAGUUGAUGCAUAAAGAUCUGUUGAGCUACAUGAAGGAGAAUAGUGGGCCAAGGAGGCGGUUUCUCUUCUCUCUUCCUGUUGUUGUUGAUCUCAUGCUACAAAUUGCAAGAGGAAUGGAGUAUCUUCAUUCUCGAAACACCUGUCAUGGAGACCUGAACCCUUGUAAUAUUCUUCUGAAAGAGAGGAGCUGGACAGAUGGUUAUUUCCAUGCAAAAAUCUCUGGUUUUGGUUUAUCCUCCAUCAAAACUCACAUCAGUCGAAACUCAACCAAACAACAUGUCUCAAACCCUUUUAUUUGGUAUGCUCCGGAAGUUCUCGAGGAGCUAGAACAUGAGCCAGAAAGCAUACCUAGUUCUAAGCACACACAGAAAGCAGAUGUCUACAGCUUUGCUAUGGUUUGUUUUGAGCUCUUGACAGGAAAACUUCCCUUUGAAGAUGGCCAUCUUCAAGGAGAAAAGAUGACUAAAAACAUAAGAGCAGGGGAGAGACCUUUAUUCCCAUUUCCUUCACCCAAAUACCUAGCAGACUUGACCAGAAGAUGCUGGCACAGUGACCCUAAUCAGCGCCCAAGUUUCUCCUCCAUCUGCAGGAUUCUACGUUACAUCAAGAAGUUCCUUGUGAUGAACCCAGACAACGGUCUUCCUGAACUGCAAUCUCCACUAGUAGAUUACUAUGACUUAGAGGCAAGGUUUCUAAAGAAGUUCCCUGCAGAAUGCAAUUCUUUCCCAGCAUCUGUAACACAAAUCCCAUUUCAAAUGUUUGCCUACAAAGUCAUUGAGAAAGAGAAGACUAAUCCUAAAAGUAAUGAUAACAACUUGGAGGCAGCAAGUGACGUAGCCUCUGAUAUUUUUUCUGUAGUGGAGGAUCCACCGGUUGUACCAAGGGAUGCAAAGUCCAUGUGUGUAGAUAGAAAAUCAGUUUGUUCCGACACAAGAUCAGUUUUCUCAGAAGCUCCAGAUAAAAAGAUCUUGAAGUUGAAGAAAAUCAGCACCANNNNNNNNNNNNNNNNNNNNNNNNNNNNNNNNNNNNNNNNNNNNNNNNNNNNNNNNNNNNNNNNNNNNNNNNNNUCUUCGUUUACUUUUUCUCUUGUAACUUCUCUUAAUUUGUGAGGUCCAAGAACUUUACUUUGUAUUUUCUCCGUGCAUGUACAAUCAGACAAGUGAAAAGUCCUGUGUGAGAUAGGAGAUACAGAAAUUUAAAAAAAGAGUACAGUGCAACAUAGAAAUGUAGAGCUAGAUGCUGUAGUUUAGGAAGUGUCUUGUCGUUGGCUGCAUGUUCCUUCGUGAAAAAUUUCAUGUUGUAGGAAAAUUUUAUUUUUUAUUACUAUAAUUUUUCUUUUUCUUUGUAAGUGGCUAUAAUUCCUUUUGGUAAGGUCCUUGAUUUUAACAGGAAACUGCAUUCUCUGUAUUUGUUCUUUUUUUAUAAGGCUUCCUAUAUGUACUGAAUAUCUAUCGAUCUUUUAGAGCUGUCAAGAACAAUACAGUGAGAGUUGCCACAUGAACAAUACAGUGAGAAGAGGCAAAUCGCUUCUGGCAUUGCCAGACAAAAUAUGAUGUAAUAAUUUACAGCUACAACUUUAUACAUAGGAGGAAAGGUCAAUGCAUUUAGUGUGAUUUUAUUGGUAAAUAAAGGUGAUAUAUUACACGAGAAUUAAUAUUAAAGGGGAAAAUUAGCUGUCAAACAAAACAAAAUUUAAUAUAUACAUUGAAUUAUAUGAGAUUUACAGCAUAUAAUAAUCGUUUUUCAACGUUGAAUACUUGGAUACAACUAAGUAGCCAACUACCAGGAACUUGAUUUUAACUGUUGAUAAUUCGUCCAUUUCUCGUCCUGUCUUCUGAACAAAUCAUUUUGUUGGUUUGCUAUUAAAGGCCUGAAUACCACCAGAACCAGACACUUGUAUCUAAGAAACAAUUGCAAACUUUGGUCAUACAUAUAUACCACGCUGUGAUUUAAAGAAUGCUCACCAUCUAAAAUUUGUCUCCAUGAUUCAAGAAUGCUCCACAUCUAAAAUCUGUUUCCCUAUUUCCAGAUCCUGAUUCUCUUGUUUCAAGUUUGUGAAACUGCUUCAAUUAAUGGUCAACAUUCAUGAGCCCUUAAAUUAUGACUUGAGAUCCCUUCUUUUAAUUUGGAGAUCAGAAACAAGAACCAUUUUUCCUGGCUUUUCCUCUGAGACACCAUUUCAGAACUGAACUGACUAGGAAAUAUAGUUCUGCCCCUUCUGUUUUCCUUGAAUGGCUAAACCCAAGAUGUAGUACUAUCUUUCAGAGCUUUUCUUUGCCUCAGCUUAAUAAAGGCGUCAAGAAAAAAAAAGCAUUUGGAUUCCCAAGCUGCAGAGAAGUUACCCCAUGUCCAUACUGUAAUUGAUCUCAAGAGGGUAAAUUUCUCCUUAAACAAGCUGCAACACUUUAAUACAUCCACUUGAAUUUGCAGCAACAACCGUAUCCGAUUUCCCUCGCCAGCAGACACUCGACACAAACAGUCCAUUGUCAUCAUCAGUCUCUCUCCCCGAUAUAGGAUCAAUGGAGCCAAACUUGUAGGAGGUGAUAGGCAUAGGUAAAGACCUAUAAUAAGCAUAAACCUAAAAAGAAACAGCACAUCCAAAAGUUCAGAGUAUUUGCAAAACUUUGUGGGGAGAAAAAGUAUAUCUGCAGUGGUGGAAGGAACUCAAAAUUUGUCCUUUUUUAAUGUGACCCAGAAGAAACUUCUAAUUUCAAUAAAUGUGAAAGAAAAAAAUAUGCAUACCUCAUUUGUUUCUGAACCACAUGAUAUAUAACCAUCAGCAACUGACAAACCAACAAAGUUCUGGAGGAUAACAGAGACAAUUCAGGUUAACCAAAGAAGAAAGAAACUGGUUAGAUUCUCUAGAUACAGGGAAAGCAAGAGCUAUAUUCUAGAAUUCAGACACAAACCUUCUCAUUAGUAUGUCCGCUAAGAGUUAGACUGCAAGCAUUGGUUGAAAGGCCAUUAUAACUGGUUUUCUUCAGAUCCCAAAGCUUUAAUGUGUUGUCGGUGGAUGCAGUAACAAGAGUUUCAUGGUCCAAGAAUUUUACAUAGCUCACAGCUUUGUCAUGGCCAGCCAAUUUACACCAAGGGGCUUUCAGAUUUCGAAGAUCGUAGCAAUAGGUUAUGUAAUCUGCACACCCAAAUGCGAGCAAAUGAGUGGAGUGAGCAGAGAACUGAACACAGCAUACAUUUGCAAUGUUCCUCAUCGUGCCUAUGCAGUUUCUCUGCAAUGCAAACAUGAAAAGAAAUAACAUUGCAUCAGCUUUAAUGCUGCUUGAAACAAAGCUUUCAAGAAUUCUCAAGGAGUAGAGGAAAGAGGCAUAUUAUACAGGAGCGUCAAGACGAAUGUUAGGGAAAGACAAUUUUAAUGAUAGGGUUGUUUAUAGUUUGCUCAGGGCCAGACCCUUAAAUUGAUUCAUCCCAGGCUUAAUUAAUUCAGUAUGGUCUUUAUUUCUUUGUAGACUUAUGUCCACUAUGAUCCGGUCCAAAUCUUUAUUAUUUUUAAAUUUUUAUUACUUGUUUAAAUGUUAACUUUAUGUUAGUUUAUAGUUUUUCUUAGUUUUAUAGUUUAAAAGAGUUAUGCAAAAAUGUCCCUUUCAAACCUCGAAAGAACAAUUUUUUUGUUAGGUCCAACUGGAUCCAAUUUGGGACAGAUGAAGAAUCCUAAAUUGCUACAAAAUCAUUUUUAUUGUGAUAGAUAUAAUGCAAUCAUCAAUUACUUAUUCUGCAAAUAGUAAGAAAAACCAGCCAAGGGCAGUUUCCUGCAGUCCUACUAGUUCCCUCCUACUUAAAUCAUCCCCCUUCUAAAGAAUUCAUGGAUGCAAAUAAUUAAUGUUUUUGGAAUAAAAUACUUAUUCAAAGGAAAAAAGAUGUCUACAAGAUAAGAAACGAUGUGCACUAUGAGCCUUAUCUUUGUUUUCAGAUUAUUUAUUUAGAUAAUUAAUUCGGAAAAGACUAAGACUAAAAUGAUAAUGUGUUCUAUGAGAUUUCAGAAUUUUUCUUAUUGCAUUUAUAAUGCCAAGAGAGAACGUGCCUCAUUAAUGUUCCACAGUUUCACGGAACAAUCAUCACUUCCACUGGCUAAUUUCGUAGGAUAUGCUUGAGAAAAGUCAACAGACCAAGCCCUCUUUUCGUGCUCAAAAUACUGCAGAACUGCCUGACCAGUGCUUACAUCCCAUAACUGAAGUAAUCAAAGUAAAUAAGUUAGAAAAAGUAGGAAAUAUCAUGAACUGAUUAUUAGGAGACAUAUUCGGAGAAGAGAAUUCAUGAAAAUGUGUAAAUGCAUAUAAUUAGACAGCAAAUUUAGGGAAAAAUGCAAACCUGCAACACAGAAAAUUAAAAUUUUCUCUGUCAAGGGCUCAGGUAUUGUGAAGUUUAUCUUGAGACACCUAUCCCUUCAACAUACACAGACCACUGUCUUAACCACUGUCUUAAUAUAAAAGAGAGAAAAAUGUGGAAACAGUUCAGAUGAGAUAGAGAUGUAGGGGCUCAAAAACGGUAAUGGGAUAGUUGAGAUAAUUUAGGAGAGCUAGUGAAAUGAGAAACAUGGGAGUUGACAGAAAAGGUUAUGAACAUUUAGUCAUCUAGAAGAAUUUAUUUUAUCCUAAUUGCAGAACCAGUCAUUUAUUUCAAGGGUUCUUGUAAUCUCACCUGAGCUUGUUUGUUCAAUUCACUUUCUUAUCUAGUAUCAUAAAUAAUCAGAGUAAGACAAACAUAAUUAGUAGGAUGCAAGAGUAAGUGGACUCCAAAUGAACACGUGGCUAAAUUUGGAAGUAUUCCAAUUUUGCACAAAGCCGGGGAACUCAAUACUAGAUGUUAUUUGGGCUUGAUAGUAUUAAAGAAGAGAGAGACAACAACUAUCAUGGUUAACUAAUUUUCCUUCUUUAGAGGUUUAUAUAUACAUAUAUAUAUAUAUAUAAUGACACACUCACACACAAAUAGAAAGAGAGAAGAAUGCCUAUGGAUUUAAAAAUAAAAAUGUGACCCUCUAUCCAGAGCCAUCCAUGCAACAUGCAUUAUUAAUAAUAAAUUAUCAUUUUCAUUUGUUAUUUUUCCAUUAUAAUUAAGGAAAAUAUUGCACAAGAACUAAUUGUCAUCAAUAUAAUUAAUAUCAUUUUAAAUUUUCACAUUCCUUUAGAUAAACAAUCGUAAACCAAUACGAUUCUAGUCCUAAAGCAUAUUUUGUCUUCAAAUUUAUAACAUUUUUAACUUAAAAAUUUAAUCUUAACUAUUACUUUAAGAAAAAAUACUUUCAUAUAAGUUAAUAACUAAAAGAACAAGAAGAAAAAAAACACCUAUUCUAAGUUGAUAAAAAAAAACGUAGAUAUGUAGCCGUAUUGCAGGAACUUCCAACAUAAAUCAAGUUUUGGAGCAAAAAUAGGUGAUUGACAUAAGAUUCACAGGAUAAGUAUAUAUGAUUUCCAGUUGAUAUUCAGUUAGAAUAUCAAAGAAAGAAUGCUGAAACUGUGAUAAAACUGUGCACACAAUGUCAGAAAAUCGACGACCAAACAUUAUAAUUCGUCUUUCAAUAAAUUUCCUUAGUGUUGGAGAUAAUGUACCUUGACUAUUCCAUCAUAAUCAGUAGAAGCCAGAUAGUUCUUGAUAUAGUUGUUCCAGCAAAUACAGCUAAGCUUUGAUGCAUUUGAUAUUUCAAUCACAGGAUAAUGAAUGUCAACAGAGUCAUUAAAAAUGGCAUUGAACUCAAAUAUUUUUAUCUUCUUUGAUACUCCAGCAGCAGCAAAAUAGUCCUCAUCCCGGUCAAAACCCAGAGAGCAGAUGACAUUUGCAGAAUUGUUGAACUCUGCACUUCUCAGUACACCACGUACCUCAAACUUACUAUAACGGGCAUACUUGCAUAAACCAUCAAAGAAGGCUCCAACUUGGUCUUUGGGAUUCUCUAUCUCCCCAUCCACUUGUGUCAAAUAAAAGUUGUCACGAUUUCUCAGUAGAUCUCUAUCUGAGCGUAUCUUAGUAUCGUUCUCAGUCAGAUGGAUUUUAGAUCUCAUGGACAAGUAAGCACUUUCAAGCUGAUGAAUGUUUUUCAUCAACUGUGCUUCAUUUGCACUAGAAGUAGGGAAUAAAUGAGGAAGUGCCUCUGAACUCAUAGCACUCUUGAAGUGCCCAUUCUCCAUUUGAGUAGUGGAAUCAUUAUGCAAGAAAGAACUAACCAUGGGUUUUUCAGUACCAUGCCUUCUCUCAACUUCUUCAAUAUCUGCUUCUAAGCAUUUAAUAUCUUCUACUAGUUUGGAGGUGUGCUUCUGUUUUUGUUCUUUCAAUAAAAUAAGGAAAUGUAAUAGAAGUUCCGAUUCUGCAUCAUCUUGGUCAAUAGCUGACAACAUUUUUUCUGCAAAGACCUCCUGGAAUCCAUUAACUACUUCAGAUUGGAGGAUUUCCCUGUUAUACCAUUAAAAAUCAUAAGGUUAGAAUAUUAAAGGCACUGGUGCAGAAUUCUAUCUAUAUCUUAACUUCUUGCCAAAGAAAGCAAAAAACAAGUAGUAACUUAGUUAUUACUGAAAAGAGAGGUAACCAGAAAGAGUGAGCAAUAUAUAUUACCCAGAAAAGGUUAACAAAGCGAAUAAAGAAAGGAACCAACACUUAAGGAUAAACAUUGACUUCAUACAUUUUCGGUCUCGUGUGUGUACUUAAGAAAUCUAAGAAGUUAGUGAAUGCCUAGGAGUUAACAUCAUAAUCCUCCUUUUAUUUUUAUUAUUGUAAUUGGUCCUUACAUUGCUACUUGGAUCAGUUAGCACCAAAAAUUUGCAAAAUAUAUCAAGUAACACAUUGAGACAACAGAAUUUUUUGUUUUAGCAAUUUUUUCUCAAGAGUAUUUUAGUCAUUCUUAACCAUAUUUUGUACUCAAUUUGUUGUGAACACCGAACAAGAAUCACAAUUUUUUUUCUUCAGCUCUUCUGGUACUACAUGAUAUAUAUUGUAAUUUGUUGGAGCUCUAAUUGAUUCAAACACAAUGAGCAGUUAAUGACAACAGAAGGGAAAUAAAAUUCAUAUUUCAAGGGUCAACAAAUUCUAGCAAUAAACAGUGGCUACUUAUCUCCAGAAAUUAUAUAUUCUGUUGUACAUUCUAUUGGAGCAUCGAGGUGGACUUUUCCUGAAUAGGCCCUAUGACAUCAUGGCUUCCUCCCAGAGUUAUGGUUUCUUCUUUCAAGAUUAGAAUCGUCUUGGAUGGUUCAUCUAAAGGCUAUUGAUACCAAAACUUUAAAGACCCUGAUUUUAAAGAGGGCAGCAUGAUAGUUUCUGUGCUUCAUACUUCAGUUUGAGCCCUCUUUAGUUGCUAGGGCUUUCUGAUGGGCAAAGUUUCAUCUUUGAAUGGCAUGCUAAAAGUUGCAAAUCCCAACAUGCAAGUACACUGGAAAAUUUCUACAUCUUGACAAUUAUCAGAGAAAGAGUGCGGCAUCACCUAGUAGUUGGGCGUGAUGAAGGUUCAGGAUGAAGUAGCCAAAGGCAAAAUCCAGCUUCCUUGGGAUUUUCUGAUAGCAAAUUUGGAGGGAGGAUCCUGUGACGUAAAUCUGACAUUGCAGCAGUAUGUUCUCUUUCACUGUCAAAUUUACCAAGUAACUGCAACAAAAAGCAAGAUGAAUUCAUUAAAACAAACAGUUCUGUUUGUUCCUCACAUUCAAACCACAAAAAUGUUUGAGCAAAUUAACCAUUACUCUGAAACACAGCUGAUAGUUGUUACCCCAUCUAAUUAUAUGAUUACAUCAUAAAUGGAAACAUGACUGAAUCAUCAGUUAAGUCCAAGGCUCUAGGAAACACAAGGAUAAAAGCAGCAAAAAUUAAUAAAUCCCCAAAGAUGAGCAAAAUUAAUAACAACUCGACACCCCCCCCCCCCCCUCUCCAAAAAAAAAAAAAAAAUUCAGUCCGUUCUUUUAAUUUGCAAGGAUAUUCUACAAUAAAUUCUUUGCUAUUUUAGAGUGUUUUGAAAAAGAAAUUUUCUUUCCAAAGGGGGUAGACUUACUUUGAUUAAAAGUACGUUGGCCAAUUUACCGAUGUAUUACCUCUCCAUUUUAACCAUUCCGGCCAGCAUAGUAAAGAAACUUGAAAACAUUCAAUGCAGAUUCUUUUUGGGUGACGUGGAGGGGAAUAGAAAAUAUCAUUAUUUAUUAAGGUGGGAGGAGGUAAAGAAACCGUUGUGGGAGAAGGGGCUUGGUUUAAGGUCCAUUAGUGAAUUCAAUAACGCUCUUCAUGGAAAAUGGUUAUGGAGAUAUCUUAUGGAGGAGGGGAGGCUAUGGAGGAGGGUCGUGCAUGCGAGGUGGGGGGAUUGGGAGAAGGAGAGGGGAAGAAGGGGUAGAUUCAAACCUCAUGGGAGGAGUUGUUGGAAGAAAAUCAGGGAUGACAGCAAUGUUUUCAUGGGCUGUGUGGGGUGGCAGCUUGGAAAUGGUGAGGAUAUUAGUUUUUGGGAGGAUGAAUGGAUGGGUAGUUUUAAACUUAAAGAUCAUUUCAAAAGAAUUUUUGAGAUUGCCAGUGAUAAGGAGGCGAAGGUGAAGCACAUGUACAAAAAUACGGGGGAAGGGAAGACUUGGAAUGUGAAAGUUACAACGAAUCUGCAGGAUUGGGAAAUUAAUGAAUAUUGCAACUUGCUGUUGGCUUUGGACAGCAUGAAGGUGAAAGAAGCAAGAGAUAAGAGAGUAUGGAAGCCUGAUGAGAAAAAUGGUUUUUUGUGAAAUUGAUGUACAAUCUUCUUGACACAAAUGCUGGAAAUACUAUCAGUUCAGCUCCUUUCAAAAAGAUCUGGAAAAGUGGGAUUCCUCCUAGGAUGGCUUUUUUUUAUGUGGGAAGCCGCUAAUGAAUGCAAUUUGACCAUUGAUAUGUUGAAAAGAAGAGCUAACACCACGGUUAAUAGAUGCUAAGUGUGCAAAUCCGACGAGGAAACCUGCAACCAUCUACUUUUGUGGUGCCCGACAAUUUACAGCAUUUGGUACACAGUAUUGGGUCUGCUGGGAUUAUGUUAGGUUAUGGCUGAAAAUGUGAGUAAAGAGUUGUGGGUGCGGACAGGGUAUUGGAAGAAGAAAAAAUAUUUGUUCCUUAUACCACUAACUAUUUUUUGGAUUGUGUGGAAGGAAAUAAAUGCAAGAACUUUUGAUAACAUAGAGACUAACAUUACAAAAAUUAAAAAUAGGUGGAUCUAUACCUUUGGUUCUAUUUUGUUAGUUCAUGACAUUAAAGAUUAUGAUGCUUUUGGGUAGGUCAUGGACUACUUAAUAGAAUUGUAAUAUAUACUUUGUACAUGGGCGGUACUCCCUUGAUACUUUUGUGAACAAUAUUUCUUAUCUGAUAAUUUAAAAAAAAAUUCUACAACGAAUUUUUUCUAAAACUUCCUCUCUGCAGUAAAUCCAUAGAAACCCUGACCAAUAUGCAUGUAUUAUCCACUCAUGUAUGUACAAGCAUGGGUAAGUAUAUAAAUGUGAAUAAUAUUAUACAUAAAUAUAGAAUCAUACAUUGAUUGGAACCCAAAAAUAAAAGAUUGUCUCAUCUAGAUGAACAAUAGAAGUCUGUUUAGUUGCCAAAAGAAAUUAGUUAAAUUGAGGAAGAGAUUCAAAGCAUAUAUGUCCAUAGUUUCUCUUAAACAAUCUAAGAUGUAGGUGAUUUUAUAAAUCUGGAUCUUCCACACUGCAGAUUUCCAAUCAUGAGAUAACAAUGUAUUAACUUUGAUGUUUAUCAGAUGCAAAUUGCGAACACAGAAUUAAAGCUACAGACUGAGAAACUAAAGCCUGGACCAAAAAGGGAAAUACAAUUUUACAUAAAUCAAACAGAAAGAAAAAUCUUGUCUCGCUAAAGAGCUAAUAAUUUGGAUGAGGAAUCCAACUACAAUGACAAUUGAGUAUCUUACCAUAGAAGAGUAAAAUCAUGCACCAUGAUAUGCAUGGAACAUACUAAUAUAGGAGUCACUGUGUUCAACAACUUCUUCACAUAUACUACAGGAUGAUUUGAGCAGGAUAAAGAAGUGAUUAUGGAGAUUAUACAUAAGACACAAAAAGAACUAGCUGUUUUCAAACCUCAAAAAGAAGAACACCCAGACUAUAGAUAUUCGAUGAGAUCAUGCAGACUCCUUCGUUGAGCUCCUCGGGACUUGCAUACCACUUCUCUUCUAAUUGCUCACUCUUGCAGGUCAAUAGCUGUGCAGCUGCAUUUGGCUCCUGAAGGCUUCUGGAAUUUCUACCCAAUCCAUGUUCAGCACUUGUUUGACAUUCAUUAGACUUACUAAAAAAAUUUCCAGUUAUGUUACGAUCCCUAUCAUUUGCUGUUUCAAUUUUGAUGCCAGAUCGUGAAAAUAGAGGCCACUUCCUAAAAUUUGCGCUCUCAUUGAACUUCGGCCUCUUUGCAGAGGGAGAUACCACAUACUCUACUGGGUUUCUCCUAGUCAGACGGUCUUCAGCGUGGGAAAUAUUUUUUUCGGUAAUACCAUCUGAUAACCCUCUCUGGAAACAUGAACCGAUGUAUUUAACCUGAUUUGCUUGGAGCAACUUGAAACUAGACGGCCUUAAGUCAUGCAAGGCAACCUCUUGGGAGUGAGAAUCAUCUAGAAGAUCCACUAUUUGUUUAAAUAUAUACAAGCACUCAGCUUUACUUGCUUUAUUGUGCUCAGCUUUCAGCCAAUCUCGCAAAGUCAUUCCCUCAUGCUCAAAGCCACUGGACCUGGUAGAAACAAUAUCACAAGAGGAAUGGUUACAUGUCUUGGCAACUAAACUCAGUGAAGCAUUAGAAGCAACCACAGGCCCACCAGUACCCUUUACCAAGGCAUUAGAAGUCACAUUAGGACCCACAGCAGUCUUUAUAUUAUUCUGGUCCCCAAGAUCAGCUCUAAAGACGUUAGGGGAUGGAGCUCUGCAUAUGAUUCCCUUUCCUUUCAAAGCAGUUUUGACGAAAAACUCAGAAAACCCUGAUUUGGAUAGAAUCUUUGUCCUGAUACCUCCAUGAGGCAAUAUAUCGCUUGAAACUGCAUGGUUUUCACCAAUCAUUAAUUGUUCUAAUACUUCAUUGUUGUCAACUUUUGAUGGUUUUUUGGACAAAAACUCAGGGAAGGACGUGUAUCCCACAUUCUGCCGGACAUUCGGCAUUGCCCAAUUGCUAUCCCUGUCACUAAGUGAACUCCCACCAGCUGAUCCCCCCACCAAUUGGUAAAGAUGCUGCCAUUGGUUCUGCCUACUUUGUAUUUUCUCCCUAUUGUUCAAUGUACCAACUAAAGCCAAGUUAGAACCAUCAUAAUUUUUCACAGUCAACUCCUCAACAAUGGUACCUGCAUCGUCCACUGUAUGACUGAUAAUGCAUGCAUUUUCUGAUGUACCCACAGUGUCCAUAUUUUCAUUUAAAUUCUUACAUUCCAACAUAUCUGCAAGCACAUGAAAUGAGCUCUCAGGAGAGUUUGCUUCAGCCCGAGCAGCCAUUUCCUGGGAUUCCACCCCGUUGCAGUUUUCGGGUUUGAGUGAAUAUUCAUUUUCUUUGCUCCGGAAGUGAGCACCCUCAACUGCAUCAAUUGAAGUGAUCUCGUCACCCAGUCCUUCAUCCAUACCAUCCAUAAAAAAAUCCUUCCAUCAACUGCACAUUUUCCACUGCAAUUGUAAUUGUUUCAUUCAGAAACUAAAUGUCAACAAAGAAAGAGCUCAAAAACCAUAAUAUCAUCUAUAUAGCAAGUUCACGAUCACAAGAGCAACUAGAUUUCCCAUGGUUCAAUAGCACUAAACGAUCAUGUAGAAUGAAUCCAACUCAAAUAUAGAAAAAUAUUAAAGCUUGCAGCCCAGACCGUUGAAAUAAACCAGUUCCCUACCCCCAAAAGGAAAAGGGUGGUGAACAGAAGAAAUCCACCGGCUUGAAGAUGCAACUGGCAACACAAAAAACAGAUUAAAAGCAAUAAAAAUUUUCAUCUUCCAUAAAAUAUUUUAUUUCCAAACAAAGAGACUAGAAAAUAAGCAAAACUUCCGUAUCAAAAACAUUACUGACUUUCCUCAAAAAAAAAAAAAAAAAAAAAAAAAAAAAAGGUCGCGGGCUGGAUUUCACUUACCGCAAUUGGAAAUGUCGGAAAGUUGAAAAAACCGGAAACUUCCGGUCCUCUUCUCUACUCAAGUAUCUUCUUUGCCGUUUGGCAGCUCUGAAAAUGCGGAAACGGAAAUUAAAACCUUCUCGUGUAGUAAAAAAAAUUCUCUAUCCUUACGGAGAAACCAAAACAUGCUCUCCAAUCCAUCCUAAUCAACAUCAAUCAUAAUAUAGGAGUUUCUCGUCUCCCAUUUUAUACGUGACCAAAUAGAAGCUGAAAUUAAAAUUAAAAUUAAAAUUAAAAAGAAAAAAGAUAAUUGAAGACAAGUACAUGGCGUACCAAUAGUUACCCGAGAGGAAGCAAUUUUUACGCCGACUAUGGGAACAGUGAAAAUUUAAGCAGAGAUUGAAAACCCUAGAAACCCCUGACCAAGAAAGUAAAAGGGGAAAGAAUACAAAGUCUUCCAGCGUUACCUGAAAUAGAAAAAGUUUCCCUUUUUUUUUUUUUUUUUUGAAAAAAGAUUUAAGGUUACGUCGCUCUGAAGAAUGUAAAGAUUUUUUGGUUUGUCUGUGUGUUUUGGGGGUGUGAAUUUAAAUAGGUUUUGGUUGAGUCACCAGAUUUGAACACUCAGGAGGAACCGGUUAUCAACGUUUGGUGUUCAUACCAGAUUUAUUUAUUUAUCUUUUUUAUAUAUUUAUGAACGGAUAUUGAAAAUAAUUCUAUCUAAAGAGUUCCGUAAGUUCAAGGUAUCUCCUGGAAUGCCAUUCAAUUACUUAGCCACCUCUGACAUCCUAAUUUCAAUAUAUAUAUAUAUAUAUAUAUACAUGCUAAAAUACAUUUUAUAUUAAAUUAAUCUUUACAUUUUUUAAAAAAUUCGAGUUAUUGAUGAUAUAUUGUGUCACAUAUCACAUAAUUAUUUUUUUUUCCUUUGAUGUUAUAUAAUAUUUGAUGUAAUAAAUAUUUUAAAUAAUAUUUAUAUUAUUUUAAAAAAUAAAAGAUAUAAAUCAUUUUCACUCGUUAUCUUUCAUUCUUAUUUUUGUCGGACGGAAAAAUAAAUAAAUAAUAAUAAUAAUACAAAUUUCAUAAAUUGUGAAGGAAAAAAAGAAAAAAAAAAGUAGAAAAAUAUUUUCGCGAAUAGCAAUUACAAUUACAGUGAUAUUACAAAUUCCAGGUAUUCUCUUAGAGGACUCAUCCCUCCCAAUCAACUAGGUGCGAUUGGAUCCCCGUGGAAGAAGAAGCAGUGGCGGCAAUGGCGUCCGGUGUAUUUUGGUAAACCUUCUUCUCAGGUUUCUUCCUAGGAGAAAAGGGAGGGCCUCUGAUCAAUGAAACACUUGGGAAAGGAUAAUUUUUCUAAUUAGAGGAGGCUCUUAGACGAGUGAAAAUUGGGCAAAAUUGUAAGAGGAAAACGAAAAUGCAUAGAGAAAUUUGUAAGAAGAAUAGGAGUUCUUAUUCAAAAAGAAAUUAGAAAAAAAUCUAAGUAGCAAGUUCUUUUUUUUUUUUUCUUAAUUCAUCAAAGUGUGUGAUAAGAGCUGGUGGAGAAAUUAGAUUGAAUAAAAUUCUAAGAUUUGUGUAUAAAAUAUGUCAUUGCAAAUUUAUAUAUAUAUAUAUAUUUGUACUUUUUUUUUUAAAAACAAUUUUAUGAAAUUUACGUCCCUAAUAUUUGUAUUUGGAGGGAAGAAAGUAAGAGAAAUGAGAGAAAAAAUUAUUAUUAUUUUUUAUUUUUAAAAUAAUUUAAAUAUUAUUUAAAAUAUAUACAUUUUAAUAUAAAAAGUUAACCAAUCAAAUAAUAUUAAUUGUCCAAAUUAGUGACACACAGUAAAAUCAUUAACAAUGUUAUUAACAAUUUAUCAAGAUAAGCUAAUUUAAAUAUUUUAAAAAUACAUACACUAAUUUAACGCAAAUUAAAUUCGUGAAUAAAUUAAAAAACAAAUAAAUUCUACAUGAGCUUUUAGCCUGCAUACAUACAUAUAUAUAUAUAUAUAUAACUUUUUUUAGUUGAGCAUUUUUAAAAACAUUUAUAGCAUUCGUCUUAGAUAAUUUAAAGUUGUGAAUAAGCGGUACAUUGUAUUAAAAACAAAUAAUCUUUUAAUAAUUGAGUUUAUGAUGACUCUUUAUGAUUGUAAAAAAAAAAAAUAGAAAUAAAUAACUUUAGUCACUUUUAAAAAAUUAAUUUACAUAAAAUAAAAUUUAUUAUAAAUGAUAUUAAUCGAUAUUUUGAUCUAUUCUAAAAAAAUGUUUAAUAUUUAUUAUAAAAGAAAUGUGUAUAAAAAAUUAAAAAUAAAAAUAAAGAAUGAUAAAAGACAUGAUUUGGUUAUUACCAAUACGAAACUUUUUUAAUAAUUUUUUUUUUUUUAAGAAAAAAUAAAGAUAGUACAUAAAUACGAAGACAAGAUAGGAUAAUAGUUGUAUGAUUUUAUUAAUGUUUAUACGGUUAUACAAUUAAUCAUACACCAAUUUAAUCAUGCUAUUUUAAAAUCUUUCUAAAGAAACGUAUUUAGGUGGUAGAUACUCUUAUGAUACUUCAAAUGGUAACAUAUUGUGGUUGGUAUGAUGGCCUGUAUAUCAUAGAAAAAUUUGGUCAACGUUAAUCAACUAAUGCUCGUCAUGACACAUGCAUUACAUGUUGUUUAACAUUAGGGACUCAGAUCUCAGCAAUUAAAACAAAUUUUGUUAUUUUAAAAAAUUGUCUCUAUCACUUGAUAUAGUCUCAAGAGAUCAGUGCAAUUGAUUUAUUCUGAUCACUUUUAAUAUUGGCUUAUUUUCAUCACUUUAUAAAUUUUAUAUACAAUUUAAUUUAUUUAUUAAAUAAUUUUAUUUGAAUAUUAUAAAUUUAAAUUUUACUUUUAUACUAAAAUUUAUUAUUUUAUAAAUAUAUUAUAAAUUGACAAUUAAUAAUUUAUAAUAUUUAAUUCAGUAAAAAUUAAAAUUUAAUUUAUUAAUAUAUUUGUGUAAAUACAAUAAUUAAAUUAAAUUUCGUUUCAAUAAAUAAUUAUUUAUCAAAAUAAAAUGAAUAUUUUAUAAUAAUAAAAUUCUUUUAAUUAAAAUAAUUACAGCAGCUAAAAAUUUUCACUUAAUUUUUUAAUAUUUUGAUAAAACUGAUAUUUUUUAAAUGCAGUGUGGGAGAAGAAGGGAUGAAGAAGCAAGGAGGGAGGAGCUGAUGGCAUGACGUUGUGAUUGGCAGUGGACCUUCCACGUCAUCAGGGUGAGUUGUGGUUCCGAUUAUUAAAGUCACGUCACGUGGUCACCAUGGGACCAGAGCUUAAUCAUUGGUUCAACUCCUGCCACGUCAUCCCACCCGAGACCCUCUUGCCACCUUAACUUGCUCACAUAUUUCCAUGAAUUUCACCCAAAAGAAUUAUUUAUUUAUAAAUAAAUAGAAAAAGAACAAUUCAGUGCAUCUGCAGAGUGUAGUGAAUUCAAAGAGAAGGCAAACUACACGUAUAACCUGUUGUUAUGGGCUUCUGUCAUGUAAACAAUCUAUUCUUUUUUUUUUUUUUUUUUUAAAUACCUUUUAAAAAAAAUGUUGCAGAAACCGCCAUGCCUUGCAACUAAUUCUGCAUCAAUAUAUGAUAUUUAUGUCAUCUGGGUAUUUGUCACGGUCUCAGUUCCUAUAAAAUUGCCAGAAGAAACUACAAAAGAGUCCAUCAAAUUCACAGAUAAGAACAAGCAAAUCAUACAUCACCAUCGCGAUGACCGUCAUAACAUCGAAAGAAAUAAAGAAAAAGAAACAAGAAACUGACUCUUGAAACCUGUCCUUGCACUAGUAAACAUACAAACACAAUGGAAUGAUAUCUAUUCUGUUCCCUGACAGAGGAUGCACAUGAUCUAUUUUAAUGUAACCUAUAAAAGAAGUCUUCCUACUGGCUGUAAACUGUCAAAAUAAGAUCCUGCAAUUGCUUCUCAAUAUAGUUGUGAUACAUAUUGACAACCAUUUGGCUCCUAUUGAUACUGUAUUCUCCCUGCACCCCCACUAACAUGUUAAAAAAGAAAACGAGAGGUCCUUGCCAACCUAUCAGCCUUGGUCAUGCUUCUUAUGCCGGCACCUUCCAUAUAGAUUAAAAGCUAGCUUUUGGAUAUUUACUCAAGAAAUGAUGGUUUAAUAUUAGACGUACCUUUAUAAUGUGUAUACCCGUCUGACUCUUUAUCUUCUUUUCUUUUUAGUCCUUUCGCAUAAACACAGUGAAAUCAAAAUCAGAAGGGAGAUCGUCUUCAGAGUCCGAGGAACUGGAACUAUCAUCACUAUCACUGAGCCCAUCGAGUAGAAGGUUCCUGUUUUCAAUAUCGAUCCUCAAACUAUUUUCACAUGGUCUCAUAAUUGCUGAAUCCUGCCUUUGUGGAAUAAAAAAUCUUUCAGUGUUAUUGCUUCCAGAAAGAACAGACACUUUAUGUCUCUUCACACAAUUGUCAUCAUCAAUCCCAUUCUCAUCUAUCUGCUGACAUGGAUCGUCUUUUCUUUUUAGCAUUCCAGUCCCAUUUUCUACAGCUAUCUCAUCUGAAAUUGCCUCUUCUGCAAGGCCUUGUAAAUUCUUUUCUUUUCCGCCCAUAGUUCCUUCAGUGGAAGAGUAAUCAUCACUAUCUAUAAUCUCAAAAAUGCUUGGAGGUGAAUGUCUCUCUGUAGCUGGCAUGGAACAAAUACUUUCAGUAUAAUAAAUGUCAUAAGAAAAUCGUNNNNNNNNNNNNNNNNNNNNNNNNNNNNNNNNNNNNNNNNNNNNNNNNNNNNNNNNNNNNNNNNNNNNNNNNNNNNNNNNNNNNNNNNNNNNNNNNNNNNNNNNNNNNNNNNNNNNNNNNNNNNNNNNNNNNNNNNNNNNNNNNNNNNNNNNNNNNNNNNNNNNNNNNNNNNNNNNNNNNNNNNNNNNNNNNNNNNNNNNNNNNNUUUAUUUAAGGAUUCUAAUCAGAUUGGGCUAUAUAGGCACCUUAUAAGUAUUUUUUUUAAUAAACCUUAUGAAUACAUAAGUGCUUCAUCGUUAUUAAACCGACAGUUUUUGAAUAAAAGCCAUUGAUAUUCUCUUAUUGAAUUGAGUGUCUAACAAUCCUGUGAAUUGUAAUUUGUGGCUAUGAUGGCUGAUCGGUUUUAUCUUUUACUUUUUCUUCAAUUUUUGUGCCACUCUAAACACCAUUCCACUACACUAAAUCAACUGGCUCUCACUGCUUGAUUGCCACUACUUCUGUAAGAUUUUCUGGUGGCCUUUUACUUCUAUAUGCAUCCCACUUUAUUCUAUUAAUUAGAACAGAGAGGAUAUAGGGAAUUGCAAUGGUAGUACUGAAUGGCAACCAGAAAAAUUCCGGAAUGGAACACAACCCAUUCAGCUACCUAGUCAUAAAAAUAGCAAAAUUGCAUCAUUACCCAUAAACUAGGAAAGCUUUUGACACAACAUACAGCAUGAGAACAGUAAUAUUGAGUUACCACGACAACUGCUUGAUGCACUAAAAUCCAAUUUAUUUAUGCAUGCACAAUAAAUAUGAACAGCUUCAAGGAAGUUUAACAAAGAGAUUUUUUUUUUCUCUAUUCACAAUGACAAUAAAAUGGUUUAGAGUUGUGUCCACAUGUCAAUAUUGAUAUUGGCCGAAAGAGACCCUAGGUCUAAUUUGAAAUUUUUUGGGACACGUGCAGGUACCAGUAGUGCGUUUCAGUUCCCCAGGAAAAAUUCAGGGAAAAUUAGGGACAGCCUGUAGGCGCACUAUAAAGUCGUAUUCAGACCCCGAAACAAGUAAAGACCCCUCACCCUAUUUCCUAUCACGGUAUUAAAGCUAAAUAAAUAAUUAAAUUGUACUGUGUGACUCUAUAGAUGUAUAAUUGAUUAAGGUUGCCAAUGGAACUCGAGUUUGAUACAAUGUUGGUCUGUUAUUGUUUGAUCUAAUUUUCAGUAUUAAAUGCAUCAUGAUGUUUGAUGUAAUUAUGUUAUGGUCUCGUAUGCAUGAAUUAUGGUUUCUUUUAUUAUAGUUUGUAUUAUGGUGAACCCGAUACUGUGUUGUCUUGUUUGGUGUCCAUUACUAGUUUACAUGUUGUGUGUGAUUGGAUGAUUGAAACCAAGAAAAAGCGCAAAAAGGUUAUGUGAAUUGAUAAGUGGAUAAUGUGGACAGCCUGAUUAGAUAUCCUGGGAGAUGGUGGACGGACCGGGUCCGUAGGGAACCCUACCGGGAACGUGGUCUCUCAUACCGGACGGGGUAUGGAGACCUUAUGUGUUUUGGCACCCAUACCGGACGGAAUAUGGGGACGGCUCGUUUCACCCUCAUACCGGACGGGGUAUUGAGAUUCAUGGUUUUGGUGCCCAUACCGGACGGGGUAUGGGGACGGCCCAGGAAUCAGGUUGUAAAUAUUAAUGGUUCACGUGUAGAGGGGACCCCCUAUGGAUCCCCAGGGAUACUAGUAGGUUGGUAAAAGAGGAAAUCUGUUUUCUGAUGAUUGAAAUGUAAAGGUGUGAUAUAUGUUAUGUUAUAAAGUUCAUAUGAUUUCAUGAUGAUGAUAAUGUUAUUGAUUUCACAUGUUAUUUUAUGGAUCUCACCGAGGUAAGUGGACAGUAAAGGUUUUUAUGUUAAUAAAAGAGUUUAUUAUAAAUUAUGCUCCAUUGGUCUUUUUGUGUUUUCUACCCACUUUUACUUCCGUGGCGGUGAGAUAGUGUGAUGUCUUUACUGGGCUGGUGUAACUCAUUCCUUAUUUAACCAUUUCAGAUCAGGAAGACAUUGUUCCCGAUCCCGUUCCGCAGGAAGACGGCGAAGGGGACGCCUAAAGACUCCGUAGUUAUAUUUAUAGUUCUUAUUUUCGAGUAUCUCUUUUAGUUAGUUUGUUCUUUUAUAUUUUGAGCACGUUUUUGGUUUUUUUGUGUAAAGAAUGUUAAUCAAAAUUUUUAUUACACUUUCGCAUUUGACAUUUUUAAUAUACAUCUUUCAUUCUAAAUUUCCGGGGCCGUUACAUUCCUAUGGAGAGAUGAGGAAAAUAAGAAAAAAUUUCAUCUUGUAAAUAAUGAAGAGAUGAAAACUCCCAUCAGUACUGGUGGCCUUGGUUUGAGAUCCUUAAAGAUUUUAAAUAAAGUCUUACAUGGUAAAUGGGUGUGGAGAUAUUGGAAUGAAUUAAACAGUUUGUGGAAAAAAGUUGUUGACUGCAAAUGGAACAUGAAGGGAUGCCUAAAUCAGACUUUGAUAAACUCUAGUAACUAUGGUGUGAGUCUUUGGAAGAGUUUCUCUAAAGUGGGCAAUGAAGUGCUCUAAAUGGGAGGUGGGUAAUGGUAAAAAAAUUAAUUUUGGUCAAAUAUUUAUUGCGGAAACAAUAAUUUGAAAUCCCGUUUCCCCUAAAUUUAUGCUUUAUCCAAGGACAAACUAAUGAGAAUUGAGCAAGCGUUUGAUAACAGCACUAACAGGAGUUGGAAUAUUGUACUGCACAGAAAUUUGAAUGAUUGGGAACUUGAGGAGUUUGAAACUUUGAUGGCUUUGCUGGAAUCUAUAAGAAUUAGCAAUGGAGAAGACAAGCUGAUGUGGACUUUGAAUAAAAAUGGAUCAUUUAGCAUCAAAUCCUUCUAUAACCACAUUGCUGGCCAAAAUAACAGGAUCAAGUAGGUGUACCCAGCAAAAAUGAUAUGGAAGGCAAACGCACCUCCUAGAAUCUCUUUCUUUGCUUGGAAAGUUGGCAAAAAUCGUAUACUUACCAUUGAUAAUCUCAUGAAAAGAGACAUUAUCCUAACAAACAAAUGCUACUUGUGCAAGAAUAAUUUAGAAUCCUGUAACCAUCUUUUGUUUUGGUGCCCUAGCACUUAUUCUCUAUGGUCCAUGGUUUAUGGUUUACUUGGCAUCUGUUGGGUCAUAGCUGGAACCGUCAAAGAUGAAUUGCUUGCAUGAGAAAUGAUAAGCAGAAUGAACAAAAAAUUCAGACUCAUCCCUCUUACCAUUUUCUGGAUUAUUUGGAAAGAAAGGAACCAUAAAACUUUUGAAGAGAAAAAAGAUAACUUUAGCAAUAUUUUGAACAAAUGAUUCCAUACUUUUUGUUCCAUAAUACUAGAACAUAGCAUCACCCAUUAUGAUAAUUUAGGGUCAAUUGUAAAUAUGUUAAUUGACUUGUAAAUCCUUUUCUACAUUGGUUGGCGCCCCCAUGUUGCCCUAUUUCGAUAUAUUACUAUACUUUCAUCUCAAAAAAAAAAAAAGACCUUGAAGAUUGGUUUCUGGAUCUUAUUUGUUGGGAGGACCCAUGGGAAAGGCAAGAAGGAUGCAGCUGCUUCAGAGUAGGCUUGUUUAACUACUAAAGGAUUUAGGUUUCUCUAGUAAUUGGUUUAGGCUUUGGUUUAACUAAUUAGGGACUUGUUCUUUGAGUGCAGAUACUUUCUGAUUCUCAGUAGUGACUUUUGAGAUUUUUUUAUUAUAUCUACUAAAGCAAAGAGAACGACCAACAUCUAGACUUAGAGGACUCUAAACCUUUCAUUGAAGUUUUUCUCUAAUGAAUCAAUUGCUGAGAUUUAGGUAGAAAUAAAUAGGCAAUACUUGAUUAACUUAUUCCCAUAACCUACGACCCAAUCACCAUGAGUUUUGGCUUUAUUUAUUAGCCUAUUUAAUCAUCAUCAUUUUAGACUUUCUUAAGUAGCCUACUUAUUUAAGAGAACAGAAAAAUACGAAGUUUCAAGACAAAAGACAUGUAAAUGAAACCAAAAAGACAGCAAAACAAAUUCAUACAACUCUGAGAUUUGCCUUCUUUUUGCUUGCUGUCUGUGGAUCCAUCUUCAGCAUUGCAAGAUUUCUGCUUUUUUUCNNNNNNNNNNNNNNNNNNNNNNNNNNNNNNNNNNNNNNNNNNNNNNNNNNNNNNNNNNNNNNNNNNNNNNNNNNNNNNNNNNNNNNNNNNNNNNNNNNNNNNNNNNNNNNNNNNNNNNNNNNNNNNNNNNNNNNNNNNNNNNNNNNNNNNNNNNNNNNNNNNNNNNNNNNNNNNNNNNNNNNNNNNNNNNNNNNNNNNNNNNNNNNNNNNNNNNNNNNNNNNNNNNNNNNNNNNNNNNNNNNNNNNNNNNNNNNNNNNNNNNNNNNNNNNNNNNNNNNNNNNNNNNNNNNNNNNNNNNNNNNNNNNNNNNNNNNNNNNNNNNNNNNNNNNNNNNNNNNNNNNNNNNNNNNNNNNNNNNNNNNNNNNNNNNNNNNNNNNNNNNNNNNNNNNNNNNNNNNNNNNNNNNNNNNNNNNNNNNNNNNNNNNNNNNNNNNNNNNNNNNNNNNNNNNNNNNNNNNNNNNNNNNNNNNNNNNNNNNNNNNNNNNNNNNNNNNNNNNNNNNNNNNNNNNNNNNNNNNNNNNNNNNNNNNNNNNNNNNNNNNNNNNNNNNNNNNNNNNNNNNNNNNNNNNNNNNNNNNNNNNNNNNNNNNNNNNNNNNNNNNNNNNNNNNNNNNNNNNNNNNNNNNNNNNNNNNNNNNNNNNNNNNNNNNNNNNNNNNNNNNNNNNNNNNNNNNNNNNNNNNNNNNNNNNNNNNNNNNNNNNNNNNNNNNNNNNNNNNNNNNNNNNNNNNNNNNNNNNNNNNNNNNNNNNNNNNNNNNNNNNNNNNNNNNNNNNNNNNNNNNNNNNNNNNNNNNNNNNNNNNNNNNNNNNNNNNNNNNNNNNNNNNNNNNNNNNNNNNNNNNNNNNNNNNNNNNNNNNNNNNNNNNNNNNNNNNNNNNNNNNNNNNNNNNNNNNNNNNNNNNNNNNNNNNNNNNNNNNNNNNNNNNNNNNNNNNNNNNNNNNNNNNNNNNNNNNNNNNNNNNNNNNNNNNNNNNNNNNNNNNNNNNNNNNNNNNNNNNNNNNNNNNNNNNNNNNNNNNNNNNNNNNNNNNNNNNNNNNNNNNNNNNNNNNNNNNNNNNNNNNNNNNNNNNNNNNNNNNNNNNNNNNNNNNNNNNNNNNNNNNNNNNNNNNNNNNNNNNNNNNNNNNNNNNNNNNNNNNNNNNNNNNNNNNNNNNNNNNNNNNNNNNNNNNNNNNNNNNNNNNNNNNNNNNNNNNNNNNNNNNNNNNNNNNNNNNNNNNNNNNNNNNNNNNNNNNNNNNNNNNNNNNNNNNNNNNNNNNNNNNNNNNNNNNNNNNNNNNNNNNNNNNNNNNNNNNNNNNNNNNNNNNNNNNNNNNNNNNNNNNNNNNNNNNNNNNNNNNNNNNNNNNNNNNNNNNNNNNNNNNNNNNNNNNNNNNNNNNNNNNNNNNNNNNNNNNNNNNNNNNNNNNNNNNNNNNNNNNNNNNNNNNNNNNNNNNNNNNNNNNNNNNNNNNNNNNNNNNNNNNNNNNNNNNNNNNNNNNNNNNNNNNNNNNNNNNNNNNNNNNNNNNNNNNNNNNNNNNNNNNNNNNNNNNNNNNNNNNNNNNNNNNNNNNNNNNNNNNNNNNNNNNNNNNNNNNNNNNNNNNNNNNNNNNNNNNNNNNNNNNNNNNNUAGGUGCUACAUCACACAUGACCAACACGCCAGGUAAUCUGCCAUAUUUUUGACUUACAAUGAAUUUGAUAAAGUAAUUUUUCGAGAUGGUGAAAAACAUGAAAUCACUCAUGUUGGCCAUACCUAAUUACCUUUGUUAAAUUCAAUGUUCAAGUUAAAUAAUGUUUUUGUGGUUCCAUAUUUAACUAGUAAUUUGGUUUAUGUUAAGAAAUUCACUAAAGAUAAUUCUUAUUCAAUAGAAUUUGACCCUUUUGGUUUUUGUGUUAAGGAUCUUCAUACGCGGAUACCACUUCUCAGUUGCAAUAGUCCUAGAGAUAGCUACGUGUUUCCUUCUAAUUCUGUUUCGAAUUCGUUGCACCAUACUAAUUUUCGUGCUGUCAGUUCUUCUUCUAUGCUAUGUCAUCAGAGAUUUUGUCAUCUUCAAGUUCCAGAUUCGUUUGUUCUUUUAUUUGGUUCUAGUUUUCGUAAAUUUAAUUCUUUAAAUAAAAUGUGUAAUGCUUGUCAAUUAGAAAGGCAUCAUUGUCUGUCUUUUAACUCUUUUCAUGUUCGUAUCUUAUUUCCUUUUUCAUAUUAUUCAUUCUAAUGUAUAGACAUCACCAAUAAAAUCUUUUAGCAGCUUUAAAUACUAUGUGGUGUGAAGUUUUAGAGAAUGGAGAUUCUAAUUUUGCUUAUCAUUUCUAUCACCAUAAGGUGUCAAUUUAUAUAAAAAAUACAACCAAAUUCUAACAAAAACCUAACAAAAUUCUAACAACUUUAUAGGAAGGAGGACUAACAAAAUCGGUUAUAUCUCACCAACUUUGUGGUUACCUCCACUAGGCUAAUAACAACAAAAAAUAAAAACUGAAUUAAUUAUUUUAUUUUUUACACUCCCCCUAAAUCUAGUUUACAUAUAUGUUGAGUAAACUUAGAUUAGAUGUUAUGUCAUCAAAUAUCCUUUUAUUAGGAUGUCUGCAAUCUGUUGACUAGUUGGAAUGUGCAUGAGUGUUAUAGUACCAUCUUCUAACUUCUCUUUGAUAAAGUGACAAUCAAUCUUCACAUGAUUGGUUCUAUCAUGGUGUACAGGAUUCUUGACCAUACUGAUGGUUGAUUGAUUAUCACACCAAACUUUCAUAGAAAUGUUGUUACGAACCUUUAGUUCGACAAAUAUCCUUCUUAGCCAUAUAUCUUCACAUAUACCAUGAGCAAGUGUCCUAAACUCAUAUUCUGCACUGCUACGAGAUACAACUGACUGUUUCUUAUUGCGCCAGGUGAUCGGGUUUGAUACGGAACCCCAAGACCCUUACUUGAACCUUAGAACUCUUUAUUCGGUUUAGAACGAAAUUUAAAUCACAAGUAAAAAAGAAUCAAAUUUGUUCAAUCACCCAAAUGGUAGAAGUUAAAUAAAACUCAAGAAAUAUAAAUGAUAUCCCUUAACCAAUCCAAACAAGCACCAAGAACAAUUGAAAUAGGAAAUUAAAAUUGAAAUACAAGUGAUAACAAUUGUAUUCCAAAUCAACACCUUGUGCAUAAAAUGAAAAGAAAGUCAAAACGCUCUCAACUCAAUUCUGAAAUAUUUGAUUACAACUCUUGAUGUUCACAAAGAAGAGUUCCUUUGGUAUUUAUAACUAAAGAAAUCAAUGAUAAGUUACAACACAAUAAGUACAAUUGUAACUCUCACAAUAAUUAGGUUAAUUAUGUGAUAAUUACAAUUGUAACUCCAACAAUAACUAAGCUAAUUAUAGGCAUGUAAUUAUUAUGUAACUCCUUGUAACUCCAAUCUUGUUAACAAACACCACUAAUUGUUUGUGACACCAUAUAAUUAUGGGCUCAUUCUUGUAAUAAUACUAAGACAACACUUAAGCCCAAAUGAGUUACAGCUGACUAUAUGAGUUUAAUUAACUCAAACUAUAAUAAAACAAUUCAAAAUACUUAAAACAACUCAAGUAAUCCAGUCCAUACACAAGACUUAUUUACCCAUUACCAAUAAGACUCAAACAAGCCCAAAUUAUCCCAAAUCAUUUAAACCCAAUUAAAGUUACAAAUUUGGGUUGUUCAAAAAACUCAUAUUUGAACUUUCCACAAUUGGCCAACCCAUCAUACACAUGUUUUUGAGUGAAAACUUGGAGCAACUCUUUAAGCUUCUUUGCCUUUGAUCUUGUUACUGGUCCGCUGAAACUUUUCAGGUUUAAAACUCUAUUUGUGUUCACGCUUUGGAGAUUACUUUAGAUCAUAGAGUAAUUUUUUCAGCUUGUAUACUUUUUGAGGAUUGUCUGCUAGUUCAAAUCCUUGCGGUAUGUCCAUAUACACUUCUUCCUCUAAAUCACCAAUUAAGAAAUGCAUUCUUCACAUCUAGCAGACAGAGUGGCCAAUCAAGAUUAGAGACGAGUGAGAGAAGUACCUGAAUUGUAUUGUAUUUGACUACCGGAGCAAAUGUCUCUUGAUAGUCUAUCCCAUAUAACUGAGUGUAGCCUUUGGCUACUAGUCGAGCCUUAUACCGAUUCACAUUUUCAUCUGGAUUGUAUUUAGUCAUGAAGACCCACUUGCACCCCACUUAGUGUUUCCCUGGAGGUGGAUCAAUUAAUUUCCAUGUUUCGUUCUUUUCAAGUGCCUUGAUUUUCUCUUGAACAGCCAUCCUCAAUUCAGGUAUUUUCAUAACUUCAUGUAUUGUUUUAGGCUCUGGUGAGCUACUGUCUAACCUGCACACAAAAGCAUGAUGUUCCGAAGACAACUUGUCUAAUGAAAUAUAGUCUUAUAUAGGAUGUUUGGUGCAUGUUCGAAUCUCUUUUCUCAAAACAAUAGGCAUGUCAAUGUCAGUAUCUGUAGUAGGAAUAGAAGUCUCGUUACCUGUCAAUUUCUGGGCACCAGGUUCAAGGGUGGAUUCAUGACAAGGCUUAAAUGAUUCAGGUGUCUUCCCUUUAUUUCUUCUAGCAUAGACACUUAACUCACUAGUUAAAGGUACUGUAUUCUCUGUAACUGCCUUUGGUUCAGGUUAUUUAUGUAAGGUUGUAGGUUCAGGCUCCAUAGAGGGUUUAUCUGGUGGAGGGUGACUCUGUGAGGUUGUAGGUUCAGGCUCCAGAGUGGGUUUUUCAGCUUGUAUACUUUUUGAGGAUUGUCUGCUAGUUCAAAUCCUGGUGGUAUGUCCAUAUACACUUCUUCCUCUAGAUCACCUAAGAAAUGCAUUCUUCACAUCUAGCUGGUAGAGUAGUCAAUCAAGAUUAGAAGCGAGUGAGAGAAGUACCUGAAUUGUAUGAUGUUUGGCGACUGGAGCAAAUGUCUCUCGAUAGUCUAUCCCAUAUAACUGAGUGUAGCCUUUGGCUACUAGUCGAGCCUUAUAUCGAUUCACAUUUUCAUCUGGAUUGUAUUUAGUCAUGAAGACCCACUUGCACCCCACUUGGUCUUUCCCUGGAGGUGGAUCAAUUAAUUCCCAUGUUUCGUUCUUUUCAAGUGCCUUGAUUUUCUCUUGAACAACCAUCCUCUAUUCAGGUAUUUUCAUAAUUUCAUGGAUUGUUUUAGGCUCUAGUGAGCUACUGUCUAACCUGCACAUAAAAGCAUGAUGUUCCGAAAACAACUUGUCUAAUGAAAUAUAGUCCUGUAUAGGAUGUUUAGUGCAUGUUCGAAUCUCUUUUCUCAAAACAAUAGGCAUGUCAAUGUCAGUAUCUGUAGUAAGAAUAAAAGUUUCAUUACCUGUCAAUUUCUAGGCACCAAAAUCAAGGGUGGAUUCAUGGCAAGGCUUAGAUGAUUCAAGUGUCUUCCCUUUGUUUCUUCUAGUAUAGACACUUAACUCACUAGUUGCAGGUACUGUGUUCUCUGUAACUGGCUUUGGUUCAAUUUCUUUAUGUGAGGUUGUAGUUCAGACUCGAGAGAGGGUUUAUCUGGUAGAGGGUGACUCUGUGGAUAUAGAGGAGGUAUGCUUACAUCCCACAACUGAUAUUACUGAGUAAAUGUUUCCCCCUAAAUAUCAGUUGUGGGGUAAAAUGAUUGGUUUUCAAAAAAUGUGACAUCCAUUGUGUUAUAAAAUCGACGGGUUUCCGGAACUAGAUAUUUGUAUACUUUCUGAUAAGCAGAGUACCCAACAAAGAUGCAUUUAAAGGCCCUUGGGUCAAGUUUCCCACAGAGAUGAGUGUGAAUAUGAACAUAUACUGAACAAUUAAAGACCAAUGAGUGGUAAUGUGUUUAAGAUAUGAGAUUCAGGAAAGGUUUGAAAAAAAAAGGUGUAAGGUGAUUGGAACUUUAGGACACGAGAGGGCAUCCGAUUUAUCAAGUAGCAGUGAGAACAGCCUCUCCCCAGAGAAAUUUUGGUACAUAAGUGGUGAACAUGAUUGAUCUAACUAUCUCAAGAAUGUCUAUUGUUCCUUUCGGUUAUGUCGUUUUGUUAUGGGGUAUGUACACAAGAGUUUUGAUGAAUAAUACCACGUUCAGUAAAAUAUUUCUCAAGAGUGGCUUUAAAGUAUUCACAAGCAUUAUCAUAUUUCAAUACUUGGAUGGUAGCAUGGAAUUGUGUUUAGAUCAUUGUAUGGAAUUUUUUAAAAAGAGAUCCAACUUCAAAUUUUUUUUUCAUAAGAAAUACCCAGUUAAUUCUUAUAUGAUCAUCAAUAAAUGAUACAAAACACCUAAUUCCAGUGAAAGGUCCCCAUACAUCGCUAUGAAUUAAUGCAAAUGGUUUUGAAGGUUUGCAUGACAGACUAGGAAAUGAACUUCGAACAUACUUAAAUAAUUGGCAUAUUUCACAUUGAAAUGAAAUGGGAUAUUUUUCUUUGAAUAGUAAAGGGAACAAGUUUUUCAGAUACACAAAAUUUGGAUGUUUUAGUUUAUAGUACCACAACAUAAUAUCAUGAUCAUUAUUUGUAGAAAUAGAAACAGAGUUUGAACAAACUGCAUUGUGAGUUUGUCUUCUAGAAGCAUUGAUUUGAAGCAGGUAUAGUUCUGAGCUCAUCCUACCAUUGCCAACCAUUCUCCCCAAGUUCAAGUCCUAAAAUUCACACAUGUUAGAGACAAACUUGGCAGCACAAUUUAAAUCUUCACAUAGCUUGCUUACUGAUAACAAAUUACAAUCCAACUUUGGAACAUGAAGGACUGAGCAAAUAGUCAAAUUUGAAGAAAAAUUUAUAGAACCAUUUCCGCCACUUUUGAGAGGGACCCAUCAGCAAUUCUGAUUGAAUAAUCUUCUUUACACUUGUUGUAUUUUUAAAAUAUUGAGACAUCUCCAGUCAUAUGAUCAUAUGCUAUUGAGCCUACAACCCAAACCUACCUUUUUUUCUGAGUAAGCAAACAAACCAAAAAUAUUACCUUUGUGUGCUACUGAAGCACUAACCGGGUAACUUUUCUGAGACAGCAUGCGCUGGAGAGCUUCCAGCUAUUCAGGACUAAAGGGACUGCUCUCCACAACACCAGGUGGAAUUUCUUCAGCAGUCACGUGAUUUCUCUAGUGCUUGUUUGAGUUUUCUGGCUUGGAAGGCUUCCAAUCACUCGGCUUGUCAUGAAGCUUCCAACACUUUUUGCGUGCGCGCCCGAGCUUCCUACAGUGGUCACACCAGGGUCUCGUUUUCUUCGUACGAGCAUCCAGUGCUCGGGUUGUGACUGCAGAAGAAUUUUCGGCCUGGUGGGUGAGAUCGGCGUCUCCCAGCAUGACCUUCCUUCGGCUUUCUUCUCGCCGAAUCUUAGAGAAGGCCUCACGAAGACUCGGCAAUGGCUUGAUACUCAGCAUGCGUCCCUGAAUCUCAUCGAGGUUUUUGUUCAAUCCUAGUAGAAAUUUGAAGACUCGCUUCUAUUCAACAAUCGAUUUAUUUUCGCAUCUUUAAGACAGCUCCAUCGAUGCUCUUCGAAGAUAUCCAAUUGCUGCCAGCUGCGGGUCAAAGCAUUAUAAUAUUGGGUUACGCGUAACUCACCUUGCCGAAGACCGUGAAAAGUCGAUUCUAUCUCAAAUAUGGCAGAGUCGAUUCUAUCUCAUGCGCGAUCUCAUAGAGGAGGAAAUUCUCUUCAAUUUCUGAAGUCAUUGAAGUUAUGAGCCACGACAUGACCAUGUUGUUUUCGAUCUUCCAUGUAUGAGCAUUCAGGUCAGUCGCGGGAGGAGGUAUGAGUUCGCCAGUGAGAUAUUCGUCGCGCCCCUUACCUCGGAUGAACAGCAGAACGGAUGACGACCAUUGAAGGUAAUUGCUGCCAUUUAAUUUGUGUCCUGUGAUAAAGGACGAAGACAUUUCACCCACACCGUUGUUGAUAAGUGUGUGAUGAUAGGAACCCGAGGAGACCUCGGGUGGAGAAGACAGAAGCUCACCUGUGGCCAUUUGUGACUUCGGCAAAGCAGGGAUGAUUCUCUUGGAUCAGGUAUGCUCUGAUACUAUGAAGUUUUAGAGAAUAAAAAUUCUACUUCUGCUUAUCAUUUCCAUCACCAUAAGGUGUCAAUUUAUAGGAAAAAUACAACCAAAUUCUAACAAAAACCUAACAAAAUUCUAACAACUGUAUGGGAAGGAGGAAUAACAAAAUCGAUUAUACCUCACCAACUUUGUGGUUACCUCCACUAGGCUAAUAACAACAAAAAUAAAAAUUGAAUUGAUUCUUUUAUUUUUUGCAUGGUGUUUAUAGAUGACUUCUCUAUAUUUGUGUGGUUAUUUCCAAUUAAAAAUAAAAGUGAGGUCUUUGAGCAAUUUCAAAAUUUUCAUCGUUUUAUUCUCACCCAAUUUGGUUGUUCUAUUAAAAUUUUGCAGUGUGACAAUAGUGGAGAAUUUACUAGUAAUAAUUUUAAGACUUUUGCAGUUCAACAGAGGGUUCAUAUGCAAUUUUCAUGUACCUAAACGUCACAGCAAAAUGGCGCUGCUGAAAGGGUGCAUAAGACUUUGAUUGGGACUGUUCGAAUUAUAUUGCUAGAAGCUUCUACGUCACCUGAGUUUUGGAUAGAAGCAAUAAAAACGAUAGUGCGUGUUCAUAAUUUAACUCCACCGCAAUCACUGAAAUAUUAUUCUCCAAUGGAAAAAUUGAUGGGCAAGAAUCUUGACUAUAGUCAUCUACAGGUAUUUGGCAGUCUUUGUUAUCCAAACUUAACGGCCAAAGCAACAAAUAAAUUGGAAGCAAGAUCAGUACCAUGUGUCUUUAUCGGAUAUUCAGAUAACCACAAGGGAUACAGAUGUUUUGAUCCAAAGAGAAAAGUGGUACACAUCUCUAGACAUGUUACUUUUUAGAAUUUUGUUUUCCUUUUAAUUCUUUAUCUACUAAAACUGAUAAGUCUGUUGGCUUUCCUAAUUUUAUCCAAGCACUGCCUCCUUUUCCCACUCUCCCUAAGCUGUCUGUCACAAGUGCCCAACCACCCGUCACAAGUGGCCUGCCUCACGCCACUUUAGCCCAUCCUCAUCCAGAAUCAGCUUCCGCCUAUGACUCAACCACCUUGCCAUUACAACCUAACGCAACGCCACAAGAUGACCUGUGUUCGCCACUAUCGCCUCCAUCUUUAUCUAUACCAGUCAAACUGCCAACAAAUCCAACCAAGCCGAAACAACCCAACCACAAACAUCUCAUGUCAACACAUUCCCAAACUGGCAACAACAAACCUAAAGUGCUUAAAUCUCUAAUUGUUCACCAAACCCACUCUCACCCAAACACCAACCUUACCCCAAAGGAACCAACAUGUUUUACAGAGGCAAAUAAGGAUACAAAUUGGAGGAAAGCAAUAUCUGAAGAAUAUAAUGCUUUAAUGCAACAGCGACGUGGACUCUAGUCCCGCCCCCUCAGCAUUUCAAUAUUAUUGGGUCAAAAUGGGUGUUCAAAAUAAAAUUAAAAGCUGAUAGGCACUUAGAAAGGUAUAAAGUCCGAUUGGUGGCCCAAGACUUUGCUCAACAACAAGGUAUUGACUAUGAUGAAACCUAUAGCCCGGUUGUAAAACCACAAUGAUAAGGACGCUACUUUCAUUGGUCGUUUCACAUGGCUGACAUGUGCAUCAACUUGAUGUUAAAAAUGUUUUCUUGCAUGAGUGUUUACCUGAAGAUGUUUUAUGAAACAACCCAAGGGGUUUAUUCAUCUAGAUUAUCUAGACUAUAUUUGCAAAUUGAAGAAAGCUAUUUAUGGGCUCAAACAAGCUCCACGGGCUUGGUUUGAGCAGUUCACAAAUUCUCUAAAAUUACAUGGAUUUAUUUGUAACCGAGUUGAUAGUUUGAUGUUUAUACUCAAACAUGGGGCCGACAUAGUCAUCCCUUUAUUAUAUGUGGAUGAUAUCAUAUUAACAUCAUCAUCUUAUUCUUUGUUGCAACAUAUUAUAUAGGUUCUUAAAACUGAGUUUGCUAUGUCUGACUUAGGAAAGCUCAUUUAUUUCCUUGGCAUACACGUCAGAUACAAUUCAGAUGGGAUGUUUCUGGAUCAAGCUAAAUAUGCCGAGAAUUUGUUAAAAAAAUCUGGAUUCAGUUUUUGAAACCAAUUGAAACUCCAACAACACUCAAACAUUCAUUGAGCUCAUCAUUGGAUAGCCCAUUAUUGGAUGAUCCACGACACUAUAAAAGUAUUGUAGGGGCAUUACAAUACUUAACUUUUACACUGCCUGACGUAUCUUAUGCCGUUAAUCAACUGCCCCGACAUAUGUAAGCACCAAGAGAAGUUCAUCUACAAGCAGUUAAACACAUCCUUCACUAUCUCAAAGGGACGAUUAACUAUGGUCUUCAAAUAUACAAAGGACACAACAACUCUUUAGUUGCAUAUUCAGACGCCGAUUGGGCAGGUUGCCAAGACACGAGACGAUUGACCACUGGCUUUGCAAUUUUCUUGGGCAACAAUAUUUUACCCUGGUCGGCUAAGAAGCAACCCACCGUCUCACGUUCUAGAGCUGAAACAGAGUAUCGGGCUGUUGCAAGUGCCGUGGCAGAUUCGAUGUGAAUUAAACAAUUGUUACAUGAAUUGGGUAUUCAAANNNNNNNNNNNNNNNNNNNNNNNNNNNNNNNNNNNNNNNNNNNNNNNNNNNNNNNNNNNNNNNNNNNNNNNNNNNNNNNNNNNNNNNNNNNNNNNNNNNNNNNNNNNNNNNNNNNNNNNNNNNNNNNNNNNNNNNNNNNNNNNNNNNNNNNNNNNNNNNNNNNNNNNNNNNNNNNNNNNNNNNNNNNNNNNNNNNNNNNNNNNNNNNNNNNNNNNNNNNNNNNNNNNNNNNNNNNNNNNNNNNNNNNNNNNNNNNNNNNNNNNNNNNNNNNNNNNNNNNNNNNNNNNNNNNNNNNNNNNNNNNNNUAUAGUGUAAAUCUACAAAAACUUGUCUCUCAACUCUCCACCUUCAAGCCAACAAUCCGACCAAAACCCAAUUCUACUCCCACUCCAAUUUUCCAUUGUACGCACUCCUGAAACUUGUCUUUUCCCAUAUACAAUUUUUCCACAUUCCUUUACCAGACGGUCUAACCAAUACUUUGGAGUACUAUCCUCUAUCAAUUGUGCCAAACUUUGCCCUCAUAACCCUUCUACAAAGGACAUCUCUCUCCUUCAUGAAUCUCCACAUCCACUUUCCUUGAAAUGCCUUAUUCAUCUCCAACAUAAAUCUUAAACCCACCCCCUCACUUAAUGGUCUCUUUAUCACAUCCCAUACGACCAAAUGGUAUCUCCUCCUCUCCUUUAGUCUCCAUAAAGAAACGUGGAUUGAGUGCCUUCCAAUUUCUUUGCGACCCUUGCUGACAUUGUUACAAUUGACAUGUAGUAAACAAGAAGAUUGGAUAAUGUACUUUUUAUAAGAGUCAGUCAUCCUCCUUCAGAAAGCAAACUUCUCUUUCACCCAUACAAUCUUCUCUCAUAUUUUACAACAAUUGGAUCCCACUUAUUCAUAGUCAUUAAACCAUUAAAACAGACACUUUGUUAUUGAUCCCAAAGCCCACACUCAAAUAUACCUACUUAUUCUACUCACAAGGAAAAAUUACAAUAAGAACUUCCUAAGAAAGCAACCAUUUAAUUGUUUUUAAUUUCAAUUUCUUUUAUCAUUUUAUACUUGUUAUGAUUGCACGACCAUAUCCAACAUUGUAUCUCCAUAUCAAAGUCAUAUCAAGAACGACAAAGAAAAAUGUCAAAUUUAAAAAGCAGAUCAUGAAAAAAGUUAGUGCAGAAAUAAAGAAAAGCAGAAUAAAUAUGGAAUGAGUUUGAGUACGCAAAUUAACAAAAAUCCAUCACAAAAAUAAAACUUUUUUGUACCUGCACCCGCCAAAUUGCUAAUAGCUUCAUCUGGAGAAAUGCGAGGAGGGCCAGCAUGCACUUCCAAAUCAAUAUUGUUCCCACAGCAACCAGUUCCACCAGCCCCACUUUCAUCAGUCAUAUUCACUUAUACAUAGUCAUCAAAUGAUUAAAAUAAACACUGUCAGUUAUUGAUGCCAAAACCCACCCUCAAAAUAUUUUUCUCCUCUUUUGAUAGAGAAGUAUUAUUGAGAAUCGAGAGGAAUAAAAUUUAAAGUUUAUCAUUUUACACUCGUUAUAAUUGCACGAACACUUUCAACAUUAAUGUGUAUCUCCAUAUCCAUGUCAUAUUAAGAAAGACCGAAAACAAAUAUGUCAAAUUUAAAAAGCAAAUCAUGAAGAAAAUUAGUCCAAAAUAUAGAAAAGCAGACGAAAUACGGAACAAGCCUGACAAAGCAAAUUAACAAAAAUUUAUCACAAAAAUGUAACUCACUAAUACCUGCACCCGCCAAAGUGCCGAUAGCUUUAUCUGGAGAAAUGCGAGAAGGACCAGCAUGCACUUCCAAGUCGAUAUGGUUCCCACGGCAAUCAGUUUCAUCAGUCGUAUUCAUCACCAGUCCGUAUUCUUCUUCUAGGCGCAAAACCCGCGUUUCCAAUCCCUCAAACUUCGUCUUCCAAAACUUGAGUUUACUCUCAGCCUUCUCUUUCUUACCUUCCACUUCGAAAAUUUUGCGCGUUAGUUCAACUAUAAUCCUCUUGUCCUCUUCCUCUACUUCUUUCGAAAUAUCCAACAACUUCUUACACCUCUCCUCGGCUUGAUGCUCUGUCUCACACGCGACUUUCUUUUCCUCAGUCAAGCGAGCAUUCAUUUGCCUCGAAACUAGACACUCAUCCUUCCAUUUCUUGAGCUCCUCUUGAAUGCGAACAUUAGUAACCUCUAAUAACUUGCAUCUCUCCUCCGCAAUCUUCUCUCUCUCGUACGCAACAUGCUUAGCAGCGCUCAAGAAGGAAUUCAUUUUCCUCAAAUCCGAACACUCUUGUUUCAAUUUGUUGAGCUCCUCUUGAAUAUCUGCCUUAGUGACCUCUAACAAAUUGCAUUUCUCCGCCGCUCUCGUCUCUCCCUCGCAUGCUAUUCUCUUAUCCUGGUUUAAGCAGGAAUUCAUUCUUUUCAAAUCCGAAUACUUACUCUUUAAUUCAUUGAGCUCCUUUUGAAUAUCUAUCUUCGCCAACUUCUCGGAUUCAUAAAUUUUUCUUAUGAACUCUUUUUCCUUCUUCAGCUUUUCGAUAUUGAGAUUCAAUUUAUUUUGUCUUGCGGACAAAAUCCCUACCACUGACGCGAAGUCUCUGUCCGAAUAUGUGUACCUCAAAGACCAUAUUUGCUUCGAAAUGCUGCAAUCGUUAAGUUGGUUGCCAUUUCCAUGUUUAUUAUCUAAAUCAGUGGAAGAUUGAGAUUCAGACUUCAUUUUAUGUCAAAUAUCAAAAGAAAGAGAGUGUUCGUAAAUAAAACCAACCAGGUGAAUAAGGAGUAUUUAAUAUUUUUUAAUUUUUUGUUUUUUUUUAUUGUGCGGAAGCAUUGGGAAUUUAUACACAGAGUAAAAUAGAAAAAGAAAAAUGUGGUCUUUAGAUUCAAUUAGGACCAUCAGCUGUCUCCAACUUUUAAAUUGAAAAUAAAAAAUCUAAACCCUUCAUUUUAGGGUUUUGAUCUAGGAUGUUCACCGGUUCAUUUUCUUUCAGCCUUAUUCCAUUUUUUUACACUUAAUUCUUUUCACCCGCUCCUCAGGAUAAAGCAUGUUCACUUUCAGCUCUUUAAGUUCCUCACCACCACUUCUUUAACCCUUUGUGCUUUCUUGUUGCAGGUGCUUCAUCUUGAACAGAAGUCGGUGAUGUACUGAGGUUCUUAAAGGUUUCGUGAGCAUAUCGACGAGCUGUUCUCUCGAGGUGACAUGUUUCGUUUCGACGAAGCCCUUUUGUACCUGGUUGCAAACUAUGUGACAAUCGAUGUCGAGGUGUUUCAUUUGUUCGGGAAAAAUCGAAUUUGCUGCGAUAUGCUCAGCGGCUUUGUUGUCGCAGUUCAGUAUUACGAGUAAGUGAUGUACUAUUUAAAAAUCUCGAAGGAGAUAGGUUAUCCAUUGAACUUCACAUAUUGUAGAUGACAUACUUUUGUACUCAGCUUCUGCAAAAGACUUGCUCACUGUAGUUUGUUUCUUUAUUUUUCAGGAGAUUAGUGAAGGCCUGAGGAAGAUAUAGAAGCUCGUGAGGGAUUUGUGGGUCAUCAGACACGAUACCCUGUCCGAGUCACAAAAGGCUUGAACUUUAAGGUUAUUCCUUCUCGGGAAGAAGAUGUCUUGCUCUAGAUAUUGCUUUAGAUACUUGACAAUAUGUAGUGCGGCGUCAAGCUGCAGCUGUCUGGGCUGUUGCAUGAAUUGACUAAGAUGUUGGAUGGAGUAUGUUAUGUCGGGUCUGGUAAAGUUGAGGUAAAGCAAGCGGCCGAUUAGAUGUCUGUACUUAGCCGGAUCUGGUAAGAUUUCUCUUUCUUCUGCAUUUAGUUUUAGUCUAGAAGGCAGGGGAAAGUGGCUUCCUUUUGCAUCAUCCAUAUUUGUAUCUUGUAAAAUGUCUUUAAUGUAUUUUUUUUUUGCUGAUGUAGAUCCCUUCUUUUGACCUAGCUAUCUCGACUCCAAGGAAGUAUCUUUUGGCCGAGGUCCUUGACUGUGAAGGCUUCAUCUAUGGUGCUUUUGACUUCACAAAUUUCUUCGUCGUUAGGACCCGUAAUAAGUAAGUCAUCCACAUAUACCACAACUGCAACGCAGUUUCCUUUUGUUCAUUUUAUGAAUAGACAGUGGUCGGCUUCUGACUCGGUGAAGCCGAUAGAUUGGAGCUUUGAAGUAAGUUCCUUGUUCCACUGUGACCCGCUUGUUUCGGGCUGUACAAGCUCUUGGUUAACGGCAGACUUGCACUUCACUGCCNNNNNNNNNNNNNNNNNNNNNNNNNNNNNNNNNNNNNNNNNNNNNNNNNNNNNNNNNNNNNNNNNNNNNNNNNNNNNNNNNNNNNNNNNNNNNNNNNNNNNNNNNNNNNNNNNNNNNNNNNNNNNNNNNNNNNNNNNNNNNNNNNNNNNNNNNNNNNNNNNNNNNNNNNNNNNNNNNNNNNNNNNNNNNNNNNNNNNNNNNNNNNNNAGCUAAAAGUAUCAAACUGUGACCAUUUUGGCCACUGGUGAGAAGCUAUCAUGAUAGUCUAUGCAAAACUCUUGGUUGUAACUUUUAGCAACAAGUCUUGCUUUGUAUUUAUCAACUGAUCCUUCGACAUUGUAUUUUAUUUUAUACACCCAUUUUGAGUCGAUUACUUUCUUCCCUUUUGGUAGUGCAGUUAGUUCCCAAGUGUUAUUUUCUUCUAGUGCGGACAGCUCGACUUGCAUGGCCUCAACCCACUUGCUGUCCUUUUUAGCAUCCCUGUAUGACAUUGGUUCCUUCGUAAUAGACACUUGUGCAAUGAAAUUAACAUAGCCAUGAUUGUAUACAGGUGAGGUGGACAUGAGGAAGGGAAGUUCAGGCAUAGGUUGUUCGGUGGUAUGGGCGACAAAGUCUUCCAUCCAGGCGGGCCUGCUUCUCACCCUGAUGCUCCUCCUUAUUUUAGACUAUUGGGGAAUGAUGUUUGUUAAGGGAAUUUCUUCUCUUCUUUGUAACUGAUUUUCUGGUGUGGUUACUAUAUCGAUGUUUGGUAUUCCCAGUGGUGUGUCAUGGUAAUCUGGUUUAGGGUGUUCUGUUUGGUAUGAGAAAUAUGUUCAUAGAAUAUGACAUCCCUUAACAAAAUCGUUUUUUUAUUUAUUAUAUCAUAUAAUUUGUAGGCCUUAGCAUCGGGUGCAUACCCUACGAAAACACAUUUCAAAGCCCUAGGUUCAAACUUAUCCUUUUGGGGGGUUAAUAUUUAUAGUAAAACAUAGACAACUGAAGACUUUUAGGUUUAAGUAAUCUGAUUGUUUUUUGUACAAAAUUUCGUAAGGAGUUUUUCACUUUAAAACAGAGUUUGGCAAAACGUUUAUUAUGUGUGUGGUUAUGAGUAUGACUUCGUCCCAAAACUUUUUUGGUAAUUUUGAUUCAAACAUCAAUGCCUAGUAAUUUGCAGCAGGUAAACAUGUUUCCUCUCCACCACACCAUUUUGCUAUGGUGUGUAUGUACAGGUUUUUUGAUGCAUGAUUCCCCUUUCUUAAAAAAUAAUUUUGCAUUAGGUGUUUAUAAACUCAGUGUCAUUGUCUGUCCUAACUGUUUUGAUUGUUUUCUAAAAUUGGUUUUGUAUUAGAUUACAAAAAUAUUUUAAAGUAUUUGGUACACUCGUUUUCUUUUUUAAUAAAUAAGUUCAAGUGGCUCUUGAAAAAUCAUCAAUUAUGGUUAAAAAAUAGAGUGCACCAAAAAUACAAUUGACCGGGUAUGGUCCCCAAAAGUCAACAUAUAUUAAACUAAAAAUGUCACUAGUAUUGAUGAAACUUUUAGGGAAAGACAAACGUUGUUGUUUUGCCAAGGGGCAUAUUUCACAAUCAUGUAAAGCUGCACUGCUUGGUAACUUUAGACUGGGGAUGUGGAUCAAUUUUUUGUGGAUGUGUGGUCGAGUCUUUUGUGUCAUAGUUGUAGAUUGUUUUCUUGGGUGUGGUUGAUGCAUGCUUUGUUAGAGUCUAUGUCUUCACUCAAGGUAUACGGGCCCUUCAUUAUUGUUCCCUUCCUAAAUAUUUUGUUAGUUGUCAAAUUAUGCACAAAAUAAUGCUUAGGAUGAAAGGAAAUGUAGCUAUUUGAAGCUUGGGUUAGCUUUCUGACAGAAUUAAGGUUACAAAUGAAUUUUGGUAUAUAGAUGACAUCCUGCAGAAUUAUAUUAUCACACAGUUUUAUGGUUCCUUUAUGGGUUGAAUGACUUGUGGUUCCAUCUGCUAGCGAGACAGACACUGUAGGUUUUAAUUUUAUGGGUUUUGAAAGCAUUUUAAAAUCAUGGCAUAUGUGUGAUGUGACAUCUGUGUCUAUUAUCCAAAUUCCUAUAUCAUUAAAGGCAUAUAAAAAACAGCAUUUAGGUUGCUUACCAGUAGGGCCAGAGUAGCCCAUGUACCCUGCUGAUUUUAUCGUGUUUGCUCGUUGGUUUUUCAUGUACUUGUUAAUCUCUUGUUGUAUGAGUGUGGCCAUUUAUGUGCCCUAGUUUGUGUUGGAUGCUUCUGUUUUAGUGCCAUCGGGGGCAUUGUUUGCCACUGCAUUGGCCUUUUUUUUUUCCUUUUGAGUUCUGCAAACCAUUCUGGGCAGCCAUGGAGCUUGAAGCAUGUGUCCUUCGUGUGCCCUGUGUUUCUGUAAUAAAUGCAUGUCCUGCUGUCCUUUUCCUUUUUUUGGUUUGGAAAUUUUUGAUUGUCUUUCAAGCUGGUGUAAAAUGCAGUGGGUGUCCCCUCAAGUGAGUUACUAUUGUGUAUUUAUCUUUGUUUUUCAACACUAAUCACCAUAGAAUAAGCUCUAUUCACACUGGGUAAGGGUUCUAUGAUCAACAUUUGGUUUCUGACAUAGUUGUAUGAGUCAUUAAGACCCAUUAGAAAUUGGAUCAGGUUGUUAGAAUUGUCUAUUUCACUAUGUUGUGUUGCAACAUGGCAUGUGCAAGCACGUGAGGGUCUUAGUGAGUUAACUCAUCCCAUAGCCUUUUGAGUUUUGUAUAAUAGUUGUGACAGAAAGGUUAGAUUGUGUGAUGGAAUUUAUUUCAUGUUUUAAUUGAUAUAAUAGAGGUUCGUUGCUUUCACCAUACCUCUCUUUUAUUUCAUCCCACAGAUUUUUUGCUGAUGUGGUGAACAGGAAGACACUAGCGAGUUCUUUGUUCAUCGAGUUUAGGAUCCAAGACACCACCAUGCUAUCUGUUUUGUGCCAUUGUUCAUAUUCUGUUGCAUCAGGUUCGGAUUUUUUGCAUCUACCAUCAACGAGAGCGAGCUUGUCCUUGGUUCUCAACGCAAUCACCAUUGCUCGGCUCCAAGAAGUAGUUGAAGCCAUCAAGGGUGGUUGUGACAAGUUGCAUUCCACGUUGAUCCGAGUUUAGGAGUGUCAAUACAUCAGUAUUAGAGUUUACCAUUGAGCAGUAGGGUAAUAGUGUAGUGUAGAAAUCAGAGAAAUCAGUGCUUAUCACAAGUACUGCUCUGAUACCAUGUAAAGAAACCCAACCGGGUCAAUAGGGAGUAUUUAAUGCUCUUUAAUUUUUUGCAUUUUUUAUUGUGUGGAGGUAUUGUAAAUUUAUACACAUGCAAGAGAGUAAAAAAAAACGGAAAAUGUGGUCUCUAGAAUCUACUGAGACCACUAACUAUCCCCAAUUUUUAAACUAAAAAAAAAUCUAAACCCUUUAUUUUAGGAUUUUGAUCUAGGCGGUCCCCCUGUCCAUUUUCUUUCAACUUUUUCCCAUUUUUUUUACACUUAAUUCUUUUCAGAGUAUUUCACUAAUUUUACGAGAAAGUGAAAGAGAAGAAACCAAAAAAAUCAGAAAGGAAGAAGAAAGGCCCUUUGGAGUUGUAAACCACCCAACAACUUCCCUCACAAAAAGUUUCUAGUUCGCUGAUGUUACAAGGCUAAGUUUAUUUAUUAUAUGGUGAUGAAGUCAAAUCAUAUUAAUAUUUAGUGCUCAAAAAAUAAAUGAUGGUGGCAACAACCUAGUCCCAAAUUAUUUUAAUCAUGUGAUGGUUGACAUAAAUGAGAUACAGUGAUGGUUUUUGAGGUUGUUAAUAAGAUAUAAAUAUACACACAUACAUAAUACAAAAAGAGGAAACAGACACAGAAGGUGUCCUUUGCUAGCCAACCAUUGGCUAGGUAGGAGAGGGGAGCAGCUAGCUUGACGACUGUCCAGCUGAGGAGGAGAAAAAUAAAUAAAUACAUAAGCAACCUGACAGUAGCUAUAACGACGUUUGCUUUCUGCUGAAAUUAAAGAAAGAGAGAGAGAGAAAAGAAUGCACAAAAAAAGAGAAAGGAGUAGGUCAUAAAAAAGAAAGAAAUCAUGAAAUUAAGGAUAUAUUUGAAUGAUAGUUCAAUAAUAAUGAUAUGAUUUUUUCAUAGUUUUAUUCUAUUUGUUUGCAUUUAUAAACCCAUGGUAUAAUUUUUUGGUGGUUGGUUCAUAGUUCUCAAAAUCAUGAUUUUUUUUAUUUUUUUAAAAUUACCGAUUCGGUGAUUUUACGACGUUCGAUUAUUUUUUCUCAUUAUACCCUUAAGUUUUUUUUCAUAUUUACUAAUUUACCCUUAAUAUUAUCAUUCUUCUUCUUUAACAUAUCUAGGAUUUAUCUUUGUUCUUCUUCUAAAGCCGACGCAGAGCCAAACACCACAAACCAUCUUCAUCUUCGGUUUCUCUUGUUCGAUCAGGUAAGGGCCUCUGAUUUCUCUCUUCAUUUCUUCGACCUCUCUUGUUCGAUCAGGGAAUGGCCUUUGAUUUCUUUCUUCAUUUCUCUUUUCUUUUUCUGUUUCCAGUGUAUUAUCACUGCUGGUAUAUGUUUUCCAUUUUUUAUUUUUUUUCGUUGCCCUUUUCAUUUUGUUUGAUUGGUUUUAGUUCCUUCAUGGUCGAUUGAGCAGUCAUUUUUUUUUUCAUUGUCACGGGUCCUGCUUUAGCACUCUUUCACAUUUCCACUUGUGAUAGAGGUGGGCACUUUGUUACCUUCCAAUGUUCUAGUUAAACUGGGGAUCAAAAGGUCGGUGAGAGAUAGCAAUAAUAUGCAUCCAUUUCCAGGCUAAUAGACACGCCCCUUGGGGGAUUUGUUGGGUCUUUUAAAAGGACUCAAUCAAAGGGCACAAACAAAUGAAGGGAAAACUUGCUGUUUUUCUGAGGUUGGGUUUUGGGAUGAGAGUAGGAUAUACACGUCGAAGAAAUUCGUUAUCUAGAGAGAGUGGAGUGAUAUCAAAUGAGUUUUCUAUUUUCAUAUUUAAAAUUUUACUUUUAGAUUAAUAUAUAUAUAUAGUUUUUCAAAUUAAAUCAAACUAUAUGUCUUUCUCAUUUGCUGCCACUCAACAACAGCAGGUCUCAACUCUGCACAUUCCCAGUAAUUUCUUUUUUCUUUUAGCUAAAGAUUGUUAUCAUCUGGUGGAGAUUGUUAUUAGGUGUUGUUGUCAUCCUGUUUUGGGAAGCUUGAAUAGGCGAGUCUACGUGUGUGUGCAUGGCCAUCUCUGUUGUGGUGUGUAUGUGUGGCCUGUGUUGGCUGAGAUGAUGAAUUGAACAGACCCUAUGGUCAGUUCGCAGAGAGGACCGGAUGAUAGAUGGCCCGAAUGGGAGUAGAGAUGGUAGAUAUAUGGAAUUCUUGAGGCUAGAGACAUGGUCGUUUCUCUUUUGGAGGCCGUAAAAGAAAUAAUUGCAUGGCAGAACAUAAAAUGUUAGUAAAUUGCAUCCAUUUGUGGAAUCCAUUUGUACAUAUGCGUAACUUUAUUUAGACCUCUUAUUAAUUGCUAAAAUAAUUCUGUGAUUCUAUAUCCAAACAUGCAAAAUUGCUAUAUACAAAGGGUGUAUCCUUUUUGUCCUAGAAAUAUGUCUCUUAACUGAAGAUAGAACAUAUAAACUUCAAAGCAAUUCCAACCCAGUGAAAAGAUAAGAGCAUAAACAAUAAUUUUGAAUAGAUAAUCAAUAUUAGUUAUACAUUCUGCACUUUUAGGAGUAUUGCUAAUCAAUAUUAGUAAUUUCAGCUCAGUGUAAUGUUGUUUGACCUGAAGCUGAAGCUGAAUCUAAGUAGGGAGCCCAGAGACAUGCUAUAAUUGUGUGUAGUGGUUGUUGCUUAUUCUGGAAACCAAGCUUUUAGGUACAAUUGUGCACUGAAAGGAAAAAUGAAUUUUCAAACAAAAACUUAAGAAAAACAAAGAAAAGGAAAGGAAACUUAAAGAAAAGGGUUAUGGAGAAUAACAAGUUUCCUAGAAGUUUGUUUCUAUGAUUGAAAAGAAAGAAUUUGAGAACAAAUUCAAAGUAGAACUAAUGGAUAAUUGUAAAUGGAACCUUAGUAUUAUCUUAGAAUAUAAAAUAUUAGAAUUUAGGAACAAAAUAAAGAAUACUCAAGAAUUCUAGUAGAUAUUUUAGUAGUUGUUCAGGAAACAUAGAAAAUUAAAGAACAUAGAAAUUUAGGAAAAAGAAAUUGACUUUAAUAGUUUAAUAAAAUUUAGUAUUUUCAAUUAUAAUUAAUUCUAUGAAUUUAAGAAAAAAAUUAGAGACAAGGGUUGUAAAGAGAAAAAAAUGAGCGAGAUGUUAAUAACUGUAAAAGAAGACAAGCUUGAACCAUGAUUAUUUUAAUAACAAAUUAACAGUUGAAUUAUUAGAAAAAUAUAGAGUUAAGGUAAAUGAGGAAUUGCAUUUAAAUUAUGAUUUUUAAUUGGUUGUCCGCUGGAAAACUUUUCGUUUUACCUUACAUUGUCUUUAAUAUAUAGUUUGUGUAAAAGGAAUAAUUGUUUUCACAGAACAUACAUCAUAUUCAGGGAACUCUUAUGUAUGUGAGAAUUGUGGCUUAUGUUCUGCUUCUCUGUUUUGUUAGAAUUCAGCUUGAUUAUUUCAUGAUUCAUUGCUGUUCAAAUCCUUUUUCUUUGUCUUUAUUUUUUCCUUUAUUUCUCAUGCAAGUGGUUGUUUGAAUUUGAAUGCUUUCCUCAUAUGUUAAAACACUACCAAUAUAGUUAAUUACCUCGUCAGUAGAUAUACAUUUGAUAUUUCAUACUUAUUUUCAGAUGGAUCAUAUGGAACACAUAGCAAUGUUAGCAAGAGUUUUAGUGAUGCUUGUACGAAUUCAUAUUCAUAGAAUAAGAAAACUUAGUCAUGUAUAUGAAUUAAGGCUUGAAGGUGAGAAAGUUCGAGCCAAGCUUAUGGAAAGCUUGGUAUCAAGUGAGUUUUGUCGGCACAUUAUUAGGAUGACAGCUCCAUCAUUUACGAAGUUAUAUCAUCUGCUAGUUACAGAAGGUGGACUUAGACUUACCAUUCGUGUAACUGUAGAGGAACAAAUACUUAAGAUAUUUUACUUAUCAGAACACAAUCAACAAAAUCGAAUUAUAUCUUAACAUUUUCGACGAACAAGGGAGACGACAAGUCGUCAUUUUCACAAUGUCAUACGAUAUAUGAUAGAACUGGCUAAUAAAUUUCUUAAUCAGCUUGAUGGAUCACGAGUGCCAUAAAAAAUAACUAACAAUCCUAGGUUCUUUCCAUUUUUUAAAGUAAAUAUGUUAAAACUGUUUGAUUAAGUUUUUGUAAAUGCGUAUAAUUUUAUUUAAUUAAUGAUCAAUUAAUUUUAGGAUUGUGUUAGUGCGAUCAAGGAAACGCAUGUACGUGUCAAAGUGUCCAAAGUUGAUGUUCCAAGAUUCCAUAGGAGAAAAGAUUUCCCCACACAAAAUGUUUUGGUGGUUUGUAUAUUCGACUUGGCUUUUACAUACGACUUUUUUAGGUGGGAGGGGACCGCAUCAGAUUUAAGAGUAAUGAAACAUGCAUUAACGAGAGCUGAUGAUCUUCUCAUUAUUCCAAAGGUGAUUAAAAAGUUCAAAUUUCAAAAUGUAAAUUUUUUUUAUAACUUUACGUAAUGUUUUUAAGUUCUACCAAAAAUACAUAAUUUUAGACAAUAGAAUUUAUUUAUUUUCUUAUAUAUAUGUGUUUAUAUAUUUAAAUAUAUAUAUAUUUUAUAUGUAAAUAUAUUUAUAUAUUUAAUUAAAUUCAUGUACUUAUAUUUUUAAUUAUAUAUAUGUAUAUAAUUUAUUUAAUUUUAUUAAUUUUAUUGUAUCUAUAUAUAUUUAUAUAUUUAAAUAUUUAAUUAUAUGUAUUAUAUAAUAUAUAUACAUAAAUUUAUAUUUGUGUUUAUAUAUUUAAUUAUAUAUAUUUUUUAUAUAUAAACAUGUAUUUAUAUAUUCAAUUAAAUUCAUAUACUUAUAUUUUUAAUUAUAUAUACAUGUAUAUAAUUUAUUUAAUUAUAUCAAUUUUAUUGUAUCUAUAUAUUUAUAUAUACAUAAAUUAAUAUAUGUGUUUAUAUAUUUAAGUGUAUAUAUAUUUUAUAUUUAAACAUGUAUUUAUAUAUUUAAUUAAAUUCAUGUAUUUAUAUUUUUAAUUAUAUAUAUAUGUAUAUAAUUUAUUUAAUUAUAUCAAAUUUAUUGUACCUAUAAAUAUUUAUAUAUUUAAUUAUGUAUAUUAUAUACAUGUAUGUAGUAUUUUAAUUAUAUAUAUAUAAUAUUUAAUUGUGUAUAUAUAUAUAUCUUUAGUUAUCUAUAUAUAUUAUACAUGUGUAUAUAUAGAUAACUAAAUAUAUUUAUAUAUCUUUAUAUUUAAUAUUACAUAUUUUUUUAAUUUUUAUUUAUUACUAUAUACAAUAAAAUAAGGACAAAAUAGAUAGUUUGUUCAAAUAUAUAAUCAUAUUAUACUGUCAAAACAAAUAAAAACAAUUACAAUCCUCAGACAUUAAUAGACCAUUAUCUAAAUAUGGUUAAAUUUAAAUAUUAAUGAAUUUUAUAAAUCGUAUUCAACAUUGGUGAACCAUUAUACAAUUCAUCAAAUUAGGUCUUAAGAAACAGCAUCUCGCUAGUUAUAAAUAAAGGAUUUAGAUUGAUAAAAAAUUAAAAAGAAAGAGGAAGAAAAAAAGGGAGACAAACAUUUAAGGUAAAAUCUGCAGUAAUUCGUAACUAUAAUAUUAAAUUAUUUAUAUGUGAAUGAUAAUAUUUUAUGUAGAAAUAUGUGAGGUUGAAGUUAAGUUUUGGUGGUGGCCGCGACGAAAUAAAUUAGAAGAGAAUCUAGAAUGCGUGUAAGUGCAAAAUUUGGAAAAUUAAACCAAAUUAAUAUGUGUAAAUUUUUACUUGAAAUUUUGUAGUAUCGUUUUUAAUUUGAGGGGUAAUUAUGUUAUUUUUGAAAAUAGAUUUCGUAAUGUACUUCUUAAAAUUUAAGUAAAUUUUUAUGGGAGUUAAAUCCUUAAAAUAUCGUUCAAAAUUUAUAACCGAAAUUAUUAAAAGAGGGAAGUGCUUGUAAUUUAUGAAAUUCGGUAAUGCAAGUGUGGUUGACAAAAUAAGUGAAUGCUUGAUUUAUAUAUCAGGUUAUUAAAUUUGAAAUGUCUCGCAGGCCAGGAAUCAUGAUGAAUAGUGGUUAUUUGUGAUAAAAGAAAAGAUUUAUAUGGAUUACUUGAGUUCCAUAAAAAAUAAAUGUUGUGGAUUAUUUUGGCUCAGUCGUGUCCGCCAAUACUUCGAUUUCUAAGUCACCGCCACGUCGCACAGGCUAGCCCUAGCAUCUUCCCACCUAGAAGGUGAGGCCAACCAGUUGUCUCAGUGAAUGAGCCGGACUUACAGACAUAAGAUUUCGUGGAUCAAGUUUGAGGAAGAGUUGUGGGUCAGGUUUGGGUCGACCAAAUUUAAAUACCGGGUUGAGGCCCUAUCUCGCAUCAGACAGAUCAGCUCAUUGCCCGAUUACCAGAGGGAAUUUGAGCAUCUGGUCAAUAAGGUCCACGGAUGGACACAACAGGCCUUAGUUGGGACUUUUAUCGGCAGGCUUAAGCCCAAACUCACGGACGAGAUCCACAUGUUUCAGCCCAGAAGACUAGAGGAAGCUAUCAGCCUGGCCCGCGCGAGAAGAGCAAUUGGGUCGUCAAAGCAAGCUGACCCGAGUGAAGCAGGAUUCAUCCCGUCCAACCAACGCCUUCCUCACCUGAUCAGCCCCUGCGAUCCCUAGCAUCAGCCACCGUUGCUCCGAAGUGCCUAUCUUAGGAAGAAAUGCAACGUCGUAGAGUCCUGGGUUUGUGCUUCAACUACGACGAGCGCUUCACUGCUGGUCACCAGUAUCACAGCCUGCAGCUUCUGUUGCUUGAGGGCAGUCGAACAGGGGACAAAGAAACAAAAGAAUGACGAGCCUGAAAUCUCAUUGCAUGCUCCCACUGGAUGGACUGCCGCUCACACCAUGAGGGUCGCCGCAACCAUCCGCCAAUAACUGGUGAUUGCCCUCAUCAAUAGCGGCUCCACACAUAAUUUUAUUAGCAAGAAAGAGACAAGCCGACUUCGCCUUCCAGUGGUGUUUACCAAACUGUUCUAUGUGAUGGUUGCAAACGGGAAUCCCAUACAGUGUCAAGGGCGGUUCAACGACGUACCUUUACAGGUCCAAGGUAUCUCUUUCACCCUUACACUUUACUCUUUACCACUAACUGGUCUCGAUGUUGUAUUCGAAGUUCAGUGGCUGGAGUCUCUCGGUCCCGUGGCCUAGAGUUAGAAAAUUUUGACCAUGAAUUUUUAGUGGCUCAAGCAGCGACAACAAUUGCACGGUCUUGACUCACCGGCCAUCCAACUGGUAUCACCUGAAGAAAUCGAUCGGGAUUCUGCCAGCAAGUAUUCUCUAUACCAUUUGCUUGCUGCCAGAAUUUGAGAGUAGCACUCACAACUAGAUUGAGAGUGCAGAAGCUCCUGUUAGAAUUUUUGGAGCACUUCUAGGACCCUGAUCAAUUACCAUCGGUCAGGAAAGUGGACCACCAGAUCAGCCUUAAGGAAGGGAUCGAGCAGUCAAUGUUCAUCCCCUUACAGGUAUGCAUAUUUCGAUAAGGUCGAGAUUGGAAGGCAAAUGAUAGAAAUGUUCAACUCUAGCCUCAUUCAUCCAAGUACCAGUCCUUCUCAUCCCCAGUUUUGUUAGUCAGGACGAAAGAUGGUAAAUGGUGUUUUUGUGCCGAUUAUCGGGCCCCUCAAUGCAGUGAUCAUAAAAGAUAGGUCCCCCGCUUCCACCAUGGAUGAUAUUUUGGAUGAGUUACAUGGUGCCGCCUACUUCAUAUUAACAGCAGGGUACCACCAGAUUUGAGUGCAUCUGACCGAUAUUCACAAAACAGCCUUCUAAACGCAUUACGGAUAUUAUGAGUACCUUUUAAUGCCUUUUGAUUCGUACAGUGCACCCUCUAUAUUUCAAGCAGUAAUGAACUUAAUUUUUCGUCCAUAUCUGUGUAAAUUUGCACUGAUAUUUUUUUGAUGAUAUAUUAGUUUACAGUUCCAAUUGAUACUCACAUUUGGGGCAUGUUAAACAAGUAUUUGAAAUUCUGAAGCAGUUGUCGAACUCAAGAAGUGUGUGUUCCGAUAACAAGAAUUAGGGUACUGUAACCAUAUUAUCACACCAUAAGGGGUCAAGGUGUAUCAGAACAAGAUUCAAGCGAUGUUGGAUUGCCCCAGGGCCCACCACUGUAACAGAACUAUGGGGAUUCUUAGGCUUGAUCGACUACUAUCGAAAGCUUGUGUAAAACCAUGGACUUAUUACACGACCUUUAACCCAAUUACUUAAGAAGGAUCAAUUUAAAUGGAGUCAGGAUGCCGAAGAAGCCUUCAUUAAAUUGAAGCAAGCAAUAAUCUCUACCUCGACAUUAGCUCUAUCGAACUUCAAUGAGUCUUUCACAAUUGAGACAGAUACUUCUGGAGAGGGAAUAGGAGUGGUUCUUACUUAUUGAGGGAAAUUAGUAUCCUAUCUUAGUCGAGCUAUGGCGGUAUCCAAACAAUCAUGGUCUACUUAUACAAAGGAAAUGUUAGCAAUUGUGAUUGCAAUACAAGUUUGGCGAUUUUAUCUAAUGGGGUGGAAAUUCAUUAUCCAAACAGAUCAAUCCAGCCUCAAGUAUUUACUAAAGCAACAAAUCACCAUCCUAGAACAACAUAAAUGGGUCUCCAAAUUAUUUGGGUAUGAUUAUGAGAUUACUUAUAAGCCAGGAAAGGAAAAUAUAGCUACAAAUGCUCUCUCUCAUCAAGCUACAAGGGCCAUAGAUGGUGUUGAAUCCACCAAAUUUUUUUUUUAUUCAAAUAAUAAAAUAAUAUUAUAGUAGUAGUGAUUAGAGUUUAAUCUCAAGAAAUUGAGUUCUAAUAUUCUUUAUCGUGCAACAAUAAAACAAAAAUAAGAGAGAGACAUUUUUGUUUCAAGCUGAAAUUAAAUAAUCAAUGGAUUAAGACAAAUCAACAAAUGAAAGUCAACUAAAUGAAAUUGGUAGAAAAUAAUUCAGCAAAUUGAGUAAAAUAUGUAACGGUCCUGAAAAUUUAAAUGAAUCGACUAGUUUGCUAUCACCCACAUAAAUAAAUAUUAUACCAUCACUUGGCUUGUAGUAAUGGAGACAACCUUGCAUAGAUAUACUGAUGUGAGUUGUGACACCAGAAUCUAUUCAUCAGGUGUGUGUAUGUACAGAAGUUAAAUUAACUUCAUAACAAACAAACUUAAGAAGUAUACAUUUCUUUGCACGUCAUACAUGAUAGUUAGCACAUUAUUUUUUCUAGUAUCCCGGAGUUGUACAAAAGAAACAAACAUUUUCGGUCUGAACCUUCUGUUGCUUCUUCUGUUGUACUAGAACUGCAACAGAUUUACUUGUUUUCCUUUUUUUAUUCUUCUUAUCCUUUGAUAUCACUGUCAUAUAAACACUUUCUAUCCUCUCAUACUUGAACCUUUCUUCCUCCUGAACAAAAUGUGAAAUGAGCUCAUUUAGAUUUCAGGAUUCUUUCUGACAGUUGUAAUCACCUUAAAAUGAUUGAACUGUGGUGGAAAAGAAAUCAAAACAAAGUACACAAGUACUUCUUCUAACAAUUCCACUCUUAGUGCCUUUAGUUUUGCAUGCAUAUGUGACAUCUCCAUUAUGUACUCUAUGAUGUUUCCAUUUUCUUUAUAUCUUAUGAAAAUAAGAGUCGACAAAAGUGUAAAUGUCUCGGCCUUAUCACUUCUAGCGAAACAUUAUUCUAGGUAAUGAAGGAAAUCUCUAUCUAUUGUAAUCUCAUCAGACAUAAUGUCCCAAAAAACCUCUAGAAUGACUUGUUUCAUAACUAACAUACUCAUAUGGUUUGACCGAUUCAAUCUUUCAAACUCCUUCUUUUCCUCAGGGGUACUAUCAGGAGUAAUUGGAUCACGCUGAUCAACCCACAAAGCCCAAUCUAAAUCCAUAGCUUCAAGCACAACUCGAACACUAUUUUUCCAUUACUUAAAGUUUGUGUUGUUCAACAUUAUGAUGGAAUUAACAUUCGCGGUGAUAUUUCCAGUAGAAAAGGAAGCUGAACAGACAAAAAAUUAAUUAAUUAGUACUCACAUAAAACUAUAAAUCAUUAAAUUUAAUAAUAAAUUUUAAAUAAAUGUAUAUUUUAGUCUCAAGAUACUGAGUACUCCAUUAAUACUCUAUCUUUGGAUAUAAUAUUAACUUGUAAGUGGUACCAUAUAACAAUAAUUAAAUACAGACAGUAGAAAUACAUUAAAUAAUAAACCUUCACUUGGGCUGAUUUAAAGUUCACAUGUUAUACUGAAUAAUUGUCACGUAUUCAUUAUUACAAAAAUAAAAUGCAAUAAUGUUAAAUAUUAACAUUCUUUUGGGCCGAUUAACAUUCACAUAAAUUAUACUCAUACAACCGUUUACAAUAUGAAAUAAAUAGAUUAUUCACAAGAGAUAUCACUUCGGUAACAUAUUUUGUAAAUUAAUUUAUUUCAAUAUGUAUAUGCACAUACCAAUAUUAAAAUUCAAAAUUAAAAUCAAAUUUAAAUUGAAUUAGGAAGAAAAUUAACUACAAAAUGACCAAAAAUACCCUUAAAAAAACUAUUUUUUUUGUUUCAAAAGUUGACCGUUGACCGAUCAACCAUUGAUCAUUGAUCGGGUCAGGUCAACACCCAUCAGGUUCAGGCCAAGUUGGUCUGGGCCGGGUUGGCCCAGCCCAAACUUGCUUGGGUUUUGACCUAGUCGAAUGGGCCUCUCCCUUUUUCCUUUUUUUUUUUUCUUUCUUUUCUUCCUUUUCUUCUCUUCUUGUGGAACAAGCCCACAUAACUUAAUUUAAAACACAAUAAUAAACCCUAAAACCCAAAACCCUUUUUUUUCUUGCUCAUCUUCUUCCUCAUGAAGUGUGUAACGGCCGCUUUACUAAUUGCUAUAGUAACAGUUGGAAGGUAAGCACAAAAUUCGGCUGCCAUUUCGGCUGUCGAACGGUUGCGUAACCAUCAGACUUUCUUCCUCAUGCAGUGGUAGCCAACCACUGUGUAACAUUCCGAACUCCAAUAUCGGUGGGUACAGACGUUAGCACAACAUUUUUAACUAGUAGAACAGAUAAAUAUUAAAUAUACAACGUAAUUAUACUUUAAUACACAUCCUUGUGACUGGAUAAUUAUUUGUUUACACAUAAUUGAGGCAUUUAAAUUAAUUUAUAAUAUUCAAAUAAAAACUAAUAAACUUUUUCUUCACCAUUUUUUAUUUAUCUUGAACUUGUUUCUCAUUUCCUUUGACCUAGAUGUGGGUGAAUUGGGGUGAGUUUCACGAGCUCAGUAAGCAAGAAGAUUCUAUAACAGAGACUUACGUACAUAUAUUCACGCAAUGUAUAAUAUAUAAUAAUUUUUAUCAUAAAAAAAAUCAAAUAAGCAUCACAAUCAAAAUACACAAUAAAACAAAUCGUCACAUAAAACAUAUUCUAAUCCUCACUCUUAUAACCUAAUUCUUGUUCUCCUUUCAAAUUCCACUCACACUCGAAAUAUCACAAUACACUUAGAAUAUCACAUUUAAGGUUUCAUUGCGCAAUGUCCUUUAUAUCGUCAUCGAGAAGAGACAAAUUGGAUCCCUCCAUCGUAGGUUCACCAUGUCCACUGAAUUUCAACCACACACGUACACUCCCCUCCUCGAUUCAGACUAAACGAUUAGGUAUUCAGGGUCCUUACACUUUAUACUCUUUCUAAAUCUCUCUCAUUUCUAAUUUACUUAUUUUCUAUUUAAGAUCUUAAUCUCUAUACAUAAUUAAACACAAAGACACACACACAAAAUAUACGAUAUCAUCACGCAUAUCAGAACUAUACAUUUCAAAACACUUUCUGAAUCAUCCUGUACCAAAUCACAUAGUCUGCAUAGGAUAUUCAGAUUUCUCACGCAAUUGUACUAGAUCACACAGCAAGUACAGUACGCCGUACAUCUGCAUCAGAUCACACAACAAGUACAAUUUACUUAAAUUCCAUACAUAGACACACCGGUUAUACAUUUUACACACAUUAAUCUACACAUAUAUUAUAAUAUAGACAUGUAUCAUCACUAUAUGUAUCAAACAGAAUAUAUAUUUAUAUUCACACAUACACAAUCUUUAUCAAUACAUACACACAUUCAUACUUAAACACGUAUACAUAAUAUCACACAAUAUACCAUAUAUAUAUAAUAUAUAUAUAUAUAUAUAUUUAUUCAUGCAUUUGAUCUUAUCAGUUCUGUUCUUAUCAAUUAUAUUUUUAUCAAUUCAUAUUUCAUUCGUUGUAUAUUUUUAUAUAUACACACACAUGCAUAAUAACAUUGAUAUAUAUACACUAUAUAAAUACACACAAAUACAAACUACAUAUACUAAUUAUAUUCAUAUUAUAUCACAUAUACAUUUAAACAUUCACACACAAUGCACUAUACAUCUACACGUUUAUAUAAAUAUAUAAUUUAUGUCUGAAUAUGGAAUACACACAAUUCUUACCUACGGUAUGAUCAGAAAAAUUUUAGGAAUCCUUUCUAACUCGAUCAACGGUCAUCUCGAAAAUUCGAAUACCGUUUGAAUAAUUUUCCUCAUUUAUAAUAGAAAACAUAUAGAAUAAAUUAUGAAUAAUUUUAAAAACUAUAUUACGCGAAAUUAUGAAGGAAUUUUACCUUCGGACACGCUGUGCCGGUCGCCAGCGUCACCAUGUAUCAUCAUACGUGUGUCAUCGAAAAUGUCAAGCGCUGAUGAUCGAAUUAGUUCGCAUUGUUGCAUGCAGCGCACCAACAUCAUAUUGAUCGCCACACUUCCAUUUUCUCUUCCUUCAUUUUUUUUUUAAUUUUUUUUCUCCUUUUUUUUUCUUUUCUUUAUCUUUUUUUUUUCCUUUUUUUUUCUUUGUUUUUUCUUCUCUUUUUUUUUUUCUUAUUUUUUUCUUCUUCUUCCUUCUUUCCCGCAGCUCCUCUUCUUCUCUUUCUUUUUUCUUCUUCUUCCUCUUUUUCCACAACACUUCUUCUUCUUCUUUUUUCUUUCUUCUUUCUUUUUCCUUUUUUCUUCUUCUUCUUCUUCUUUCUUUUUCUUUUCUUCUUCUUUCUUCUUUCUUUUUCUUUUCUUCUUCUUUCUUCUUUCUUUUUCUUUUCUUCUUCUUUCUUCUUUCUUCUUUCUUCUCUCUGUCUCUCUCUACCCACCGUGUCUCUUCUCGCUCUCUCCUCUUUUUCUCUCUCUAACUGAUAGCGAUUCCUCUCCUCUUUCUUUCACCUCCGAUUGCAGUGUCGCGCAACACCGUGCGACCCUUCUCUCUCUCCCAUCGAUGCCAUUACACGCUGCUUUUCCUUUCUUGUUUCUUGCUUCGUAUAUAUUAAUAUAUAUAUAUAUAUAUAUAUACAUAUAUAAUACUUAACUUCUGCAUAUAUAUACAUAUAUAUUUUUUAAUUUUCUACAUAUAUAUUUCUAAUAUUCAUAUAUAUAUAUUUCUAAUCCUUGUAUAUCUACAUAUAUAUAUAUUUGUUUUAAAUACAUUUCUGCAUAUAUAUAUAUAUAUAUAUAAAUUCAGUCAAACUAAAAUAAAAAGGAAUAGGAGCAACGUUACAUUAAUUGUUAAAAUAAAAAAAAAAAUUCUUUUCAAAUCUUUAAAUUUAUAUAACUAAAUAUAAAAUAUCAUACUAAAUUAACGAUAAAUAUAAGCGAAAACAUAUCUGAAUGUAUCGUAGAAAAUUUAUUUACUUACGGUAAUAGAAUAUUAUGAAUUAAUAUAGUGACUUGAAACUAAUUUUUUAUAGUAACAUAAUUUUAUUAAAAUAAAAUGGCAAUCUUAUAAUUUAAAAACUAUAAUUACUUUUUAUAUCAAUAAAUUUUUAUAAUUUUCAUUUUGUCCAUCUUAAAAUUAAAAUAUUAUAAAAUAUCUAUACAUUAUAAACCUAUAUUUAAACUCAAUGCAUUAAAAUCUAAUAUUAUUUCUCUAUAUUUAAUCACUUUUAAAUAAUUCUAUAAAAUUGAUAACAUAAUACUAGUAUCAACACCCACAUUUAGUUCACGUCUUAAAAAAUCCAACAUCCUUUGCUAGCCAACCACUGGCUGGCCUGUAGAGGCAAACAGUUGGCCUGACCACGGACCAGCUGAGGAGGAAAAAAAUAAAUAAAAAAAUACGUGCGUACAUAUAUAUAUGUAAUGAUGCCUGUUUCCUUCUGAAACUAAAGAGGAGAGAAAGUAAGAGAGACAGUAAUGCAGAAGAGAGAGAGAGAGAGAGAGAGUAGGUGGCUGCCACGAGAAGAAAUAAAGAAAAAGAAAUCCCGUUGGUCAUUGUCACAUGCAAAUUAGAGGAUUGAGACUUGAGAAAAAUGAAUACCUGAAUGCUGAAAGAUCUGGACAUAUUAGGAUUUAAUUUUUGUAUUAAUUUCUCAUUGAUUAUUUGGUGUGAUUUUAUGUUUAAAUGUUUAUAUUAUUUGAUUCUGUGAAUAAUGUAAAACAAGAAAAAUGAACAGGUCUGACAGAAAUUUAGUAGAAAAUUGAGCGGAAAUAAAAAAUCGGUAAUUGAGAAGUUCACAAGCAAGAAAGAAAGUUGACACUGGAAAUUUUGGAAAAAUGAAUUCUGUCUUUUUACUAAAGAGAUGAGAAAGUAUUUAUACAUGGAAAGUAAAAUUACAAAAGAAAUCCUGUACUUGUAAGCAUUUACAUUAUAUACCAUGGGUGUAAUAUUCUAAUAGCCCCCCUAAAGAUGGAGUAUGCAGAUUCUGGAUACCCUGUUUGACAAUAACAUGUUGAAACCUAAAAGGACGAAGCGCGUUGGUACAACAAUCUGCAAGUUAUCUUGAAGAAGAAAUAGGUAGCAAGUGAAGAAGCCCAUCUGAAAUUUUCUGCCUAAUAAUAUGACAAUCAAUUUUUAUAUAUCUAGUUCGCUCAUGAAAAACAGGAUUAUUGGCAAUUUUGAGAGCCGACAAAUUAUCACAAUACACAGCUGCAGUAGAUGAAUCAAUAUGCAGAUCACACAAAGCAAAAAAUAUAACCAUUGUAACUCACAAGUUACUAUUGUCAAAGCACGGUAUUCAGCGUCAAAAGAAGACCAAAAACAAUUUGUUGUUUCUUAGUUUUCCAAGAAAUAAGGGAGUCACCAAGAAAAACACAAAAUCCAGUAAAGGACUUGCGAGAGUCAACAUAAGAUGCCCAAUCAGAAUCACUAAAAGCUUUACAAUGCAAAGAGUUUUGAGCAAAAUAAAAAAAUUCUUGACUAGGAUUACUUUUAAGAUACUUCAAAACUCGAUCUGCAGCUUGUAAAUGGAUUGUAGUAGGAGCAUCCAAAAAUUGUAAAAGCUAUUGAACAGCAUAAUUGAUGUCUGGACAAGUGUUAGUAAAGUAUAAAAGCUUACCAACAAAUCAGCCGACAUGGAGUAGCAUCCUCAAGAGGUGCACCAUCUUGCUUGAUCAGCUUUGUAGGAAAAACCAUUAGUGUAUGAGCCGGCUUACAACCCAGAAAUCCAGCAUCAUUUAGUAAAUCCAUAAAAAAUUUUCUUUGAGAUAUAUAAUUCAUUCUAAUGAUGGAGGAACCUCAAGGCCCAAAAAGAAUUUCAACUCACCAAGGUCUUUAAUUUUGAACUCAACAUGAAGAAAAUCUUUGACAGAUUGAAUCUCAUUCAAGCUGUCGCUUGCAAGCAUAACAUCAUCCACAUAUAUCAAAAGUGCAAUGAAUGAAGAUGUUGAAUAUUUAAGAAAUAAGGAAGAAUUUGAAGUAGCUUGAGUGAAUCUAUGACACUUUAAAACAUCGAUUAAAUUAAAGUGCCAUUGCCUACUUGCUUGCUUAAGACCAUACAAGCUUUUGAUAAGUCUAUAUACUUGAUUACCAUUAGCUUUGAAGCCAAGGGGCAGAGUCAUAUAAACUUCUUUCUUUAAAUCUCCAUGUAAAAAUAUAUUAUUAAUGUCCAACUGGUGUAAAUACCAGCCUUUGACAGUAGAUACAGCGAAUAGUGUACGGAUAGUAGUCAGUUCUACAACUAGAGAGAAAGUAUCCAAAAAAUGAACUCCUGACUGCUGGGAAUUGCCUUUAGCCACUAAUCGGGCUUUAUAUUAUUCUCUAGAUCCAUCUGCAGCCAAUGGAUGUUUUUCCAUGAGGCAGAUCAACCAACUCCCAGGUUUUAUUCUCUUCUAAGGCUUUAAUCUCAUUAGACAUUAUCUCUCUCCAACAGGGGAAAUUUAUGACUUGAUGAUAGGUUUGAGGUUUAUGUCUUGUGAGAUAGCAAAAAUGAAAGAUUUUUGCGUGGGAUCAACAUGGUCAUAGGAUAUAAACUGGAAAAUGUAAUGUGGUGUGAAUGUAGAAUUGACAUAAGACUUCAAAACAUAAAGAUAAUAAUCACUUAAAUGAGAUGGAUGUCAUGUAGACCUAGUUGAUUUCCUAACAGGCACAUUAUUCUGACUAAUAGGUUCAGGAAUAUGGAAAGACUAUGGGCUGUAUAUUAUAGGAUCAUCAUUAUGUUGUGUAAAAGAAAGAGGGGAUAUGUCAUUAAAGGAAGGGUGAGAGACAUUACCCAAACGAAGUGAUUCAGCAGGAGUGCUUGGUACUGCAGUAUCUUGAGGCUGUGAAACUGAAAUCUGCUCACUUUAAUUUGUCAUCAAAUCAUUUGGAUGAGGAAAAACAUAAGAACUAGAGUCAUUAUGAGAAGGAAAUUAAACUGAAAGACAUGUUCAACAAAUUAAACAUCUCAAAAGACAAAUAUUUUAUGAGUUACAAAAUCAUAAACUUUGAACCCUUUAAUGUGAGAAGAAUAACCCAGAAAAGGCAUUUGGUUGCUCGGUAAUCAAGUUUAGAUUUUUCAGACAUGAGAUUAGACACAUAACACAAGCAUCAAAAGACUUUAAGAUGUUCGUAUUUAGGAGUAGAAAAAAAAACAGCUCAAAAUGAGUCCUAUUGUUGAUGACUAAAGAAGGCAGUCGAUUAAUCAAAUAAAUAACAUGUGCAACACAGUCUGCCUAAAACUGCUUGGGUAAACCAGCUUGAAACAUCAAGGACCGUGCCACAUUCAUAAUAUGUUGAUGAUUGCAUUCCACCACACCAUUUUUUUGUGGUGUAUAUGGACACAAGCAUUGGUAUAUCACCCCUUUGGUGGAAAAAAUUUUAGAUAUUUUAAACUCUGGCCCAUUAUCAAUAUGAAUGCAUUUUACUUUUGCAUUGUGUUGAGUUUUCAAUAUGCAAAAAAAUUAAAAAACAAAUUUCUUGCUUCUCCUUUUUCAAUCAUUGGAUAUAACUAAGUAAACUGACUCUUGUCAUCAACAAUAGUAAGAAAAUAACAAUGACCAUAAAUUGCCAUAACAGAUAUGGGACCCCAAAUGUCAAUAUGAAUCAAAUCAAAGAAAGCUUUACUUACUGAAGUACUAAUAGGGAAUGACAAUCGUUUUUGUUUUGAGAGAUGACAAACAUCACAAUUGAAGUAAUUACAAGGAAGAACAGAAUUAUCUUUUUGAUGUAUAACAUGCAAUCUUGGCGCAGAAGGAUGACCAAGACGGAAGUGCCAUAAAUUGUGGUUAUUAACAGUGCAAUUACAAUGAGAAAAAAUAGAACAAGACUCACGAUUUGACUGAACAACAUUAACAGUAAGUAGCCUUUCAGCCUCAAGAUAUUACAAUCUUUGCCUCUCCUUAGCUAAACCAAUCUUCUUAUGGUGUGAAUAUCUUGACUGGCACAAAAGGUAUUAUGAAAGGUUAAAAAACAAGGCAAAUCCUUUAACAGUUUACUCACAGAUAUUAAAUUCAAGGUGAAAUGAGGUGUGUAUAAGGCAUUACAAAGAACCAGUUUAUGUGAGAAAUGAACAUCACCAAUAUGUGUAACCGGGACUCAUUGUGAAUUGGGUAACUUGACAUACAUGUUUGUAACUACUCUACACAGAUUAAACAUCUCAAGUGAAAUAACCACAUGGUCUGUAGCAAGAGUCAAUAAUCAAUUCAUUAGGUGCAAUAUGAAAAGGUAGAGAGGAAUUAAUACCUUCUAAUUGUGCAGAUUAAAAGUUGGCAGUAAGGGUGUUCACUCGUGGCAUGACAGGUUUGAUUGCUACAGAUGAAGAUGUAGAGGUAGUAUGCUGAAACAGGGACAGAAGUUUCUAAUAUUGUUCCAGGAGUGUUUGAUUUGGUCUUUAGUGGAAAGAGAAGACACUCCCUUAGAGACAUUGCUUGAAAAGUGGAAAUUUUAUUGGGAGUUCCUCGUCUCAAGAUCAUUCUCAACCGGUUAAGUGCCGAUUUGAUUUACAUGCGGUAUGUUUCUUGUUCAAGGCUUAUAGCCUGGAGGACAACCAUGCUUCUUGUAACACUUAUCAACAGUGUGACCAAUGAGACCACAGUGUGUACAAGUUGGCCUUUUGCUGCUGUUAUUCAGUCCUCCAGUAAUUCUCCUAUUCUGCCAAUUAUUAUUCUUAUUCUGUUGGUUAGCAUUCACAUAAAACAGAUUGGUCUCAUAUGAAGAUCCAGAGUGUCCAAUGUUAAGUGUUCUCUCAUGUUGUAUCACUUGUGCAUUUACCUUGUUCAGUGAUGGUAAAGGCUCCGUCAUGAGGACUUGUGACCUAACCACAUUUUAGGAUUCAUUAAGUCCUUUGAGGAACUUUAUAAUCUUAUCCUCCUCUAGAUAUAUUUUAUACAUAUCACCUACUCCACAUGCACACUGUAUAUUGCACUGACAUUUAAGUUCAAGCCGCAGAUUAGCUAAUUCAUCCCAAAGCAUCUUAAUCUAAGUAAAAUAUUCAGUUACAGAUUGUGUAUUUUGUUUCAAUGAAGAAAUUUCAUCCUGUAGAUCACUAGAUCGGACGCUGUCGCCUUGAGCAAACCUAUCCUCUACGUCCUUCCAAAGGUCUAUGGCGUAAUCAAUAAAGAUUACACUCUGAAUAAUUGAGGGAGACAGUGAUCAGAUUAUCCAUGAAACCACAAUUGUAUUACAACGCUGCCAAGCACGGUAGGAAGGAUCAUCCUUCGAUGUAACAGGAAUACUUCUGUCCAUAAAUUGCAAUUUAUUACCUGUUAAUUAUUACCUGUUAGAACGGUCGAUGUGAGCAGAAAUGUCGGACUUUCACUUGGAUGCAGGUAGUAGGGAUUUGUAAGUACCUCAUAUGUCUUCACUGCACCAGGAAUAACUGGAGUGUCCAUGAUUUUCUGAUUAACAAAACAGCUAGAGAUCCACCACUAGAACGAUUCACCGCGAGUCUAGGGAUUCUUGAAAAUGAAUGAACUGAUGAUACCAAAUAAAUCAGAAUGCUCUUAUACCAUAUUUGAUUCUGUGAAGAAUCUAAAGCAAGAAAAAUAAACAGGUCUUACAGAAAUUUAGCAGAAAAUUGAGCAGAAAUAAAAAUCGGCCAUGAGAAGUUCACAAGUGAGAAAGAAAGUCGACAUUGGGAAUUCUGAAAAAAUGAAUUAUUUCUUUUUACUGAAGAGAUUAAAAAAGUAACCUUGUACUUGUAAGCAUUUACAUUAUAAUACCCUCGAUCUACUAUUCUAAUAUAUAUAUGUUAGGUAUGAAUAUGUGAGUGUUUAGGUUAAGUUUCAACCAAAUAAAUUAGAAAAAGAUCUAGACACUUAUUGCUUGCUUAAAAUCAUAAAUUCUAGAAGUGAUUUUGAAAUGUCAAAAAAUCUUUAGAAGAUUUUCAGGUUGUUAGUUGAAUAUGGAACAAUGUGUACUAUUUAUUUAGGUUAAAAAAUUUUAAACAGUCUUUUAAUCAAAUUUAAAAUAUGUAUAGAGAAAUAUAAUUUUUGAUAAAUAAGAGUGAUUAUGGUCGGUUUAAGUAAAAAUUUUAUAGUAUUAUUAACUUUGAAACUUUUACAAAAAAAUAUAUGGAAGAAAAUUCUUUUCCGAUAAACAAAAUUUUAAGACCUAAAAAAUUUAUGUAAGAGAAAUUGUUUUAGAAAUAAGAUGUUUAAACCAUUUUUUAUUAGUUAUUAAUUCUGUAAGUAUUAAAUUCCAUACCAAAAUCCUUAUAAAAUUUGAGAAACGAAGCCAAAAUAGUAAGUGUAAAUUUUUGCUUAAAAUUUUGAGGAAUAAAGUAGCAUCGUGUUUAAUUUGUGGGAUAAUUAUAUCAUUUUUAGGGGCUGUUUUUGAAAAUAGAUUUGGUAAUGUGCUGGUUAAAAUUUAAAUAAAAUUUUAAGUGAAUUAAAUCAUUAAAGUCUCAUUCAAAAUCUUAACCCAAAUUAUUAAAAGAGGAAAAUGUUAUGUUAUUUAUGAAAUGGUAAUGUAAGUGUGGUGAAAAGGGCCUCGCACAAUGUAAUUUAAAAUUUAAAUAAAGAAAAAUGUUGAUCAAUUAUUAUUGUUGUUAUGAUUGAAUUAAUAAUUAUCCGAACUCACUACUUAUCUUAGGAGGGUCAAGAGUGUGUAUGUGGCCAAAAUUUGGGAAACAACAUUUUUGGUGGAAGACUACCACUUGCAAAAAAACUGUGUGCGACCCUUUCUUGAUUGAUAGAAAAUGACAUCACACUAUAUGAAUAAAAAUAACAAAAAAAUUUAACAAAUGAAAAUUUUAAAAAUUGCAUGAGAAUAAUAUACCAUUUGAGAAUUUCUUGCUUAAGAGUUCCCCUGGUAUUUUUGUGGAUUUAUAUAUAUACAUAGUUAUGUGCCAAAUUGUUAGAUUAUGUGAUAGCUUAAAAAUAUUUCAGAAUUAAUUUCUUAUAUUUGAUAUAUUUAAUUUAAUUUUUAUAUGUAUUUAAAAAUAUAUAAUAAAGUUAAGAACAUAAUUUAGAGUCAAACGAAAAAAAUGAUGGAUAAAGAUAAAAGAGCUAGAAUAAGGAUUUUUUUGGGAUAAAAUGAUGAACUUGAGGCUUAUGCUAACUUGUAAGUGCCAACCACUGUGUAUCUGUGAUGCUCUUCCUACUAUCCGUAAUUACGUAGAACAAGAUCAUACUAUUAGGUUCUUGAAAGGUCUAAAUGAAAAUUUUAAUAUAGCAAAAUCACAAAUUCUGAUGCAAGAUCCCCUGCCAGACAUCAAUAAUGUGUUUGGCUUAGUAAUCCAGCAUGAGAGAACCAUACGUGUAAGAGUUCAACAAUAUGAACCAAAUAUACUAUACACAAAUAAAGGUGCUAUCACACAAACACCCAAGGGAGAAAGGAUAUUCAAUACCUUUAAUAGUGUGAAAAAGAAUACUUGAAAUAAAAAUAUGAGUGGAAAUAACAAACAUGCAUGUUGCACAUAUUGUGGACUACUUGGGCACACUGUGGAUAGGUGCUACAAAAUAUAUGGAUACCCACUUGGCUAUAAACCCAAGUACAAAAACAACCCAAGUGCAAAUCAGUUAAGCACAAUUACACUUGAUCUCAAAAUGGAUAGAAGCAGUAAUGGUGGAGAUUUCCAUGUUGAAUUUGAAAACCAGUGCAAUGUAUCAGAAGCUAUUCAUCGUUCAUUCACCAUGGACCAGUACACAAGAUUUUUUCCAUCAUCUAGCCCAAUGCACCAACACACAAGACAACUCAUUAGCUGAGAAUAACAGCCUCAACAAAUUUCCAGCCUUCAUUAGAAUAAGGUAACAUCUAUUCACCUUCUUCCAAUAUACAUAACAAUAAAGUGAAUGAUUGAAUUAUUGAUUCAGGGGCAACAGACCAUAUAGUAAGUUCCAUUGAGUUAUUUGAUUCUUAUAGAUCUAUCAGUAAUCUGUCCAUAAAAUUACCUAACUCUCAAACAGUGCAUGUUACUCAUAUUGGUAAUGUACACCUCACACCAAACAUUAUACUUCAUGAUGCCCUUUAUGUUUCGCAAUUUUCAAUAAACCUUACCUCUGUUAGUCGUUUGUUGUGUAAUUCUGCAUAUUCUUUAAUGUUCAAAAAAAAAUUGUUGCUUGAUUUAGGAAAUUCAGAGUUUGAAGAUGAUCGGUUCAACUAAGCAAAUACAUGGGCUAUAUCGUCUCCAAAUUUCAAAGGAUAUUUUUACUCCAACUGUUAGUUCAAUUGUUAAACAUAGUCCUAUGACUCAUUGUGAAACUGUUGAUAACCAAACCAUUUGACAUUUUUGGUUUGACCAUCCCUCUUUGUCCAGAUUACAAAUGUUGAAAAAACUUGAUAAUUCCAUUGUUCCUUACUCUUCAUUGUCAUGCGAUACAUGCCAUUAUACAAGAUAAAAAUGUCUAUCAUUUCUAAUAAGCAAUUUUGUUUCUGAAAAUAUUUUUGACUUGAUACACCUUGACAUUUGGGGCCCAUUUUCUAUUGCUUCCUAUAUGGACACCGCUAUUUUUAACCAUUAUUGAUAACAGGAGUCGGUAUAUCUGAAUAUUUUCCACGAAAUUAAAGGUAAAGCUAUGCAAGAUUAUUACUAAUUAUUUCUCAUUUGUAAAAACUCAGUUCAACAAAAUGAUAAAAUGCAUCAGAAUUGAUAAUUGAAUGGAGUUCAACAUACUAAAUUUUUAUGCAAAAAAAUGGAUUAUUCAUCAAGUUUUCUGUCCCUAUACACCACAAUAAAAUGGUGUGAUUGACAGAAAGCAUUAGCACAUUCUAAAUGUAGCAAGAUCUUUGAAGUUCCAAGCUUGCUUACCAAUAAAAUUAUGGGUAGACUGUGUACUACAUGCAGUCUACCUCAUUAACAGAUUACCCUCACAUGUCAUCAACAAUAAAACCCCUUUAGAAAUCCUAUUCAACACCAUUCCUAAAUUUUCUCACCUAAAAGCGUCGGUUGUCUGUGUUAUGCAUCCGCACACAAUGUCAAAUGUCAACUGAUGGUUACAUCAACAAAAUUAUCUCAGACUAAUGGCUCAACAACAGUUGAUAGUACAACAUACAGAAGACUUAUAGGUAAACUCAUAUACCUCACUAACACUACACCAGAUAUUGCUUUUGCAGUGCAAUAAUUAUCUCAAUUUUUGGACUGUCUAACAAUUACACACAUGCAAGCAACCCAUACGGUUUUAUGCUACCUCAAAGGCACACCCAGACAAGGGAUGUUUUACCCUUAUCAAAAUACUUUACACAUAAAAACUUUUAGUGAUUCUGACUGGGUCUCAUGCAUUGAUUCUAGAAAGUUGCUAAUAGGUUUUUGUGUUUUCUUAAGUGAUGGCCUUGUUUCAUGGAAAACCAAAAAGCAGCAAACCAUUUCAAGAUCAUCAUCCAAAGCAGAAUAUCGAGCUAUGGCAGCUGUAACAUAUGAGAUACAAUGGCUGCAAUACUUAUUAACAUAUCUACAAAUUCAACAACAAACAACAUCUCUUUAUUAACAUUUCAGCCAUUAAACUUGCUGAAACCCGGUGUUCCAUGAAUGUACAAAACAUAUAUAUGGAUUGCCACUUAAUCCACUAGAAAAUAGUUGAAGGCUUUAUUCAUUUACUACCAGUUUUGUCUGCUCAUCAAUUAGCAGAUUGCAUCAUGAAACCCCUUCCUUCUCCAGCAUUCCAAUCUGUCAUCUCCAAGUUGGGUAUACAAAACUUGUGUACUCCAGCUUGAGGGGGGCUGAUAGAAGAAACAAAUUCAACCAACUCAACAGAAAAGUCAAAGUCGGUAGUCCAGUCAACAAUCAUUAAUAGAAUUAAUUGUAGUUAAAUUUUAAUUGAUUGUAAUCAAUUUAAUUACACCUUCUAUAUAAAUACCCAAAACCCAAAACUCUCUAUAUUUUUUGAACUAACCCCGAGGUAUUCUCUCUCCCCAAAAAGACACAUUUAGGUACUAUUUCGAGUGUGAAUCAAUGACUGAUAGAAGAAACCAAUUCAACCAACUCAACAGAAAAGUCAAAGGCGAUGGUCCAAUCAAUAAUCAUAAUAAAUUAAUUAUAGUUAAAUGUUAAUUGAUUGUAAUCAAUUUAAUGCACUUUCUAUAUAAAUACUCAAAGUCUAAAACUCUCUAUAUUCUUGUUAAAACUCAUAAAAUAGAAGAACAACAAGAUUCAGAGGAACAUGAAAUUGUAAGAAAUUUGGAAGUAUAGUUCGAGAAUGAGAGAGAAUUGAUGCUGAAGAUAUUUAUAAAAUGAACUCUCUUAUCCCUUAUUAAUUGGAGAACUUGGUAUUUAUAUAGAGAGAGAAAAUUGAACUUUUUGUUAUUAUAAAGUAAACCCUAUAGUUAUAAUAUUUAUAAACUAAACCCAACAAAAUACAUUAAUUAUGAUCCUAAUAAAACUUGUUAAGUACUCUAAUAGCCCCCCUCAAGGUGGAGUAUACAGGUUUUGUAUACCCAUAUUGAAUAUAGCAUUUUGAAAUGGUGAGACAGCUAAAGCCUUAGUGAAACAGUCUGCCUGUUAGUGGAAGGAGGGAACUGAGAGUAGAUGAAUAAGACCUUCUGAAAGUUUUCUCCGAACAACAUGGUAAUCGAUCUCUAUAUGCUUUCUCUCAUGGAAGAUCGAAUUUUCAACAAUAUUUAUAACUGACAAGUGAUCACAAUAUAAAGCUGCUAUAUAAAAAGGUAGAUAUAGAUCACUAAACAAGUACUUCAGCCACUGUAACUCACAUGUGACUGCAGCCAAAGCCCUAUACUCUACUUCGAAAGAAGAUCUAAAGACAAUAUUAUGCUUUUUUGUUCUCCAAGAAACCAUUGCCUCUCCAAGAAAAAUGCAAAAACCAGUGAUAGAUCAUCGAGCUUCAAUGCAAGAUGCCCAGUCGGAAUCACUAAAAGCCUUGAAAUGUAAAGAAUUCUUACUAGGAUAAAAUAGCCCUUAUAUAGGUGUACCUUUGAGAUACCUUAAGACUCGGUGAGCGGCUUGCAGAUAUACUUGAGUAGGCGUAUCUAAAAAUUGAGAAAGCUACUGCACAACAUAACAAAUAUUAGGAUGAGUAUUUGUAAGAUACAACAACUUCCCUAUAAGUUGGUGAUAUUUAGUGACAUCAACUGUAGGUGACCCAUCCUACCAAGAAAGUUUAAGAGAUGAAGACAUAGGAGUGGAGUUUGGCUUAUAACUAAUAAAACCAAUGUUUGUCAACAGAUCCGGAGUGUAUUUCCUCUCGCAAAUAUUAAUACCUGUAUGUGAUCUAGCAACCUCCAGGCCCAAGAAAAAUCUCAAUUCACCAAGAUCUUUAAUUCUAAAUUGAUCAUGUAAAUAUGUCUUCAAUGAUUAAAUUUGAUAAAAAUCAUUACUUGCUAAAAUCACAUCAUCUACACAUAUGACCAAGGGAAUGAAUGAAGAAUCAAUGUAUUUAAGAAAUAAAGAUGUGUUCACAUGAGCCUACAAAAAGCCUUGGCUUUUUAAUGCAUCUAUAAACUUAAAGUGCCAAUUUCAGCUGACUUGUUUUUAACCAUACAAAAUUUUCUUCAGUUUACAUACUUAGUUUUUAUGAGAAACUUGAAAACCAGGUGGAGGAGUCAUAUAUACCUCCUCAUGUAGAUCACCAUGUAAAAAAGCAUUAUUUUUAUCCAGUUGGUGCAAAAACCAGCCUUCAGUUGCAGCCACUGCUAAAAUAGUUCUGAUGGUAGUCAACUUUGCAACAGGAGAGAAGGUGUCCAAAUAAUCGAUACCAGAUAGUUGUGUAUAUCCUUUAGCCACUAAUCUAGCUUUAUAUUACUCAGUAGACUCAUAAACCUUUUUCUUUAUUUUAUAAACCCAUCUACAACUGAUGGGCCUUUUAUCAGAUGGUAGGGUAACCAAGACCCAAGUUUGGUUCUCUCAAAGUGCUUUCAAUUCAGCAAGCAUUGCCUCUUUCUAAUGGGAAAAUUGGAUUUUUUGAUUGUAGGUCUUAGACUCAAUAUCAUUAUAGAUAAAUGAGACAAAUUGUUUAUAUUUUUGGGUUAUUUUGUCAUAUGACAUGUAACAACCCAAAAAUCAGACCCCAUAUAUAAGCUCUUUUUUAACCUUCAAAUAAUCUCUAGCCUCUAUUUAACCAAAGAAGAAGAGAGAGAGAGAGAGAGAGAGAGAGAAAAAAAAAAGAUAAAGAUAAAGAGAGAAAGAGAGCGGCGAAAUAAGGGAGACGAAAGGGAGGCUCGAUAUGCGAGGUAUAGGAGAGCGGGGGAAGGAUGAAGACAAACUCCUCUGACUCUUGCAAACGCAAUAAGAGGUGAGUAUUCUUUUUUCUCUUGCCCAUGCCAGAACUUGAAACAUGUCUAUUCUUUUUAGAUAGGGUUUCACGGCAACAUAGUGUUAUUAUGUGUGUGUGUAAGUGCAGCUCAAAGACUAAUAGAAAAUCAUCGCUACAAUCAAAGCUCAACUACCAGAGACUUAAGAAGGGUAAGAUUCAUCUAACCUGCUAACCUAGAUUGUGAAUUAGUGCAAUCUAAACCAUGUUUUAAUUUGAUAAAAUUGAAAGCUAUAAAAGAUAGGGGAUUUAUAAUUAUUGUUAUUGGAAUGUAUAUAAGUUUUGAUUCCAUUGGGAUCUUAUGCGAGUAGAAAGAGUCGGGAGUUAUUGGUGACGAUUUUGAGAGCCAAUAAGAGCGGCAAAGUAGAAGACUCAAAGUAGGUCAGGCUCUGAGUUUAGUUUUGGGCUCCUAGUGAGUUGAGAUUGGGCUUGAUAGUGGGCUUACGCCAAAUCACAAAUGAGCCAAAUAUGGGGAAGUAAUCAUGACCUAGCAGGAAGUCUAGGAUCCCUUAAAAAAAUGAGUGGGCCAAGCCCAAUAAAUAAAGAGAGUUGGUCCUAAUAAUUUAACCCCGAAGUCUUAAAAUGGACUUAUUUCGAAAAGUCCAAACGAAUAAACCUAAUUCGCUUUGUGAAGCUAAAAUAAAAACUCUUUAAAAAAAAUAGUGAACAUUAAUUAGAGUAAACCAAGUGAUAAUUAAGAAAAUGGAUCUAUAUGUGGGCCUAGAUCGAUGAUAAAAUUUAAGAAUAAUAUGAUAAACGGACUAGGGUAAUAACGGAAUAACGAGUUGUGUCAAAAAUUGAAGUACGAUAAAAAUAAAAGGAAAUAGGCUUAUAAUAGGAACAGUGAGUUGAUGACCCAAAUAAUUCAAAAUAAAUAAAAAGGGAUGAUUUUAAAUGAAAAAUAUAUAUAGAUACAUAAGAAAUAGGAUCGCGGAGAUAAAUAUAUGUACAUAUAAAAUGAAACAAUAAUAGUAAUAAUGUUAUGGCUCAUGAACAUAAACAAUAAUGAAAUUAAAACAAAGAAAAACAAUAAAAGCAAUGGGCCUAAAUAAAUAAAUGGCAUAUUAAUAGGGUGAGGGGUCGGUUCCCAAGAGUGGCGAAGUGGGGUGAGUGUGUGGUCGUGUAAUGGUCAGUGGGUGCCAAGGAUGGUGAAAUAGUGUGUGUGUGGCCUUGAGGUGGCCGGUGAGUGCCAAGGAUGGCAGAACAGUGUGUUUGUGGCCUUGAGGUGGUCGGUGAGUGUCAGGGUGGCGGAACAGUAUGUGUGUGGCCUUAAGGUGGCCGGUGAGUGCCAGGAUGGCAGAACAAUANNNNNNNNNNNNNNNNNNNNNNNNNNNNNNNNNNNNNNNNNNNNNNNNNNNNNNNNNNNNNNNNNNNNNAUUAAAUAAAUAUCUACAUUUGCAGUUUCUUAACACCGAGAUUGUUGCGUUCAUUAGAAGAGAAGUGAGAAUAAUUAUAGUGUGAGUAUAGUAAUUAAAAAUUUAAAACUCUUAAUAAUUAUAGAUUACUUGAUAUCUCAAUGAAAAAUUUAAUUGUUACGUGAGAUAAGGGUAAAUGAACAAUAAUAGUGAAAAUAAGAGAGAUAACAUUAAUACAUUUGGAUAUUUACGAAGAAGGCACCUAAACUUUUAAGAGAUUAAAGAACAUAGUAAUUUAGAUGCUCUUAGGGGUAGAGUGCAUGAAGACCCACUUGUAUUAAUUAUAGUUUAUAGGUUAACUUGUUAAAUGAUUAUUACUGAGCACGUGUAGCUUACCUUAUUGCAUUUUUUCAAAGCAUGAUAUUUUACAAUAAGAUCCAAAUCAGUUGAAGUAGUGACCAGACUCCUGAUGCGUGGAGACCACAUAGUCCAUAAAGGGUAUUGAGAUUAUGUUUCCAAACUCGAAAAAUUUAUUUAGCUACGAGAAUAUAGAUAUUAAGAUGGAGUGAUAUAAAUAAUUGUAAUAAAAUUUAGAAUAGAACUCGCUUAAAUUCUUCAUUUUUCAAGAUGAACUAUUGUAUAUUAAAUGAUUUAGUACAAUCAAAGACUCAUGACUUUAGUUAGAUCACAGGACGUUACAUGAUAGUACAUGGGAAAUACAAUGGGGUGUUGAUGAAAUGGAGUUGACCUGGGGCUUUAAACCAUAUAUAUGGUAAUCUUGAAAUUGAGCUAGUUGUUUUACAGACCUAGUAAACUUCUUGGUUGGCUGUAGAUUUACGGUAUCAUUAUGAACAAACUCUAUGUCUCUAAUAGGAUCAGUUUCUGCAUAUAUUGGUUCAACAUUUUGGUUAGCAAUAGAGUCAUAAAUAAGAGAAAGUAAAGAAGGAUUACCAAAAUUAAUUAGUGCACUAGAGGCGACAUGCACUGUAUCACCCUACUAUCUAUAAGACCCGAUUAGGUUGUUGUCAAAUUCUGUCAUAAAAUCAUCAGUGAAAGGAAGCACGAGACAUUCAGUACUCAAGGACAUGGACGCAUGAGGAAAAACAUUCUCAACAAAAGUGACAUCUCUAGAGACUGAGAUUCUUUGAGUUUGAAGAUCAUAGACACGAUAGCCUUUUUUUAGAUGGAUAUCCAAGAAACUACGACAGUCACUUGGGAGCAGUUCUUAGCAGCCUUUCAUGCAGAGUACAUCCCCGAGCACAUCCGACAUUUAAAGGAGACGGAGUUUGUUCAGUUGGUCCAGGAAACAUGACGGUAUCAGAAUAUGCUUGUAAGUUCCUAGAGCUGGGCUGAUACUCCCCCUGAGACAUUGAUGGAUGAGGACAGAAAGGCCAGGAGGUUCUAGUGGGGCCUCCGCCUAGAGAUCAAGCGACACCUAUUAGUACUAGAGCUCAAGACAUAUUCAGCCGUUCUAGCAAAGGUGCAGAUCGUGGAGAGGAGUUUCAACACCCUUUCUCAGUCAGCAGGGAGUCACAGACCCUCAGCUCCACCCCGCAGACCAGUACCUACUGCGCUUGUCCAACGAAAUAAGAGGCCCAGACCAGCGAUCCAAGCCCCCCCUUAGGCUCCAAUGGCAGCACGUGGCAAGAUCUGUCAGCACUGCGGCAGAGAUCAUGGGGACCGAUCAUGCUAUCGCCUCAACAACACCUGUCGCAUAUGUGGUAGUGCCCAGCACUAUGCGAGAGAGUGGCCGAGGAACCAGAACCAAGGAAGACCUCCUUUUCAGGGCAGGGUUUAGAACCUCACACAGCAGGAUGCUGAUGCCGACCCGGACGUAGUACAUGGUAUAUACACUAUAUGUGAUCAUAUUACUCAUGUUUUAUUUGACACUGGUGCAUCGCAUUCAUUUGUUUCACAUGUUUUUGCAUCCAAACUUAAUGUAUCACUUGAUAAACUUGAUUCAAUGUUGUUUGUGUCUACUGCUGGGGGUGAAACACUAUUAGGGAAAGUUAUCUAUAGGGCUUGUACCGUGGAGAUAGCAAAUAGGAAACUGAGUGUAGACCUAAUAGGGUUAGACACGGGGGAUUUUGAUAUAAUUUUAGGGAUGGAUUGGCUAGCGGCAUAUCACGCCACCAUAGAUUACUUUAACAAGAAGGUUGUAUUUAAUCCUCCUAAUGAGGAGCUAUUUACAAAUUAAUAAAAUAAUUUGAUACUUAUUCAUUGAUGGCAAGUUUUCUUAAUUUUCAAGUACUUUAACCUUGCUAUUUUCUCUAACUAAGCAAGCCCAAGAAGAAAAUUUGUAUCCAAGAGAUUCCGGUAGUCCGAGACUUUUCAGAUGUGUUUCCGGACGAACUGCCCGAACUGCCAGUGGAUAGGGAAGUUGAGUUCAUUAUAGACUUACAACCAGGCACCCAGCCCAUUUCGAUUGCUCCUUACAGCAUGAGCCGCGUUGAGAUGGAAAAGCUGAGGAAACAGAUCACUAAAUUGUAAUACAGUGGUUUUAUUAGACACAAUGUGUCUCCUUGGGGUGUCGGAGUCACGUUUUCCAGAAAGGGAGAUGGAAUGUUGAGACUGUGAAUUGAUUACAGAGGAUUGAAAAAGGUCACAAUCAAGAAUAAAUAUCACAUUCCUAGAAUUGAUGACCUCUUCGAUCAGCUGCAGGGUGCGCAGGUCUUCUCCAAAAUAGACCUGCGAUCAGGUUACCAUCAAGUGAAAAUAAGAACAGAAGAUAUCCCCAAAACGGCAUUUCGAACCAGGUACGGACAUUAUGACUAUGCAUAAAAAUAUUUUCCAACAUCAAUUUAAAGCCAAUAUAUACUUUUAGUGUAACAAUUCCUAUGAGUUUGGUAUCUAUUCAACAUCAUUUCUCACUUUAAGCCUGUAUUCUAAGUCACUUUUGAACUCCCACAAGGUAAUAGCAAUAUAAAACACUUGCACUACUAUCGAGCCACCAUGAAUUAAGUUACAUAUUAACAAAAUUAGAUUCAUAAUAAAUGAGAGCAAGGGGAUUAUCUUUAGUUUUAUUUUUUCUCUAGUCUUGACCUAAGCUUGUUAAUUUCACACUUCCUUUAACCGCUCUUCUUGCAGGAGAAAUACUUAGAAACUUUCUUAAUAGCAGCUAUAGGAACCCCAAAAUUAGUAUUUGGUCAUUACCUUGCCUUUUAGGAUAUUUUAAGUAAUUAUUGGAAUUGUGCUUUUUAAAGUUCCCACAUUCUCUAUUAACUUUUGGUUUGGAUUGGGAGACAAACAAUUCAAUCUCGCUCUUUUUUUUUUUAUUUUUUUUUUAUUUAGCAACAUAUUGAGAGAUUAACUCAUUCACAUCCCAAGUCUAGGUUACAACACCAUAGUUGGUUUUUAUAUGGUUGAACUUGGAAGGUAAAGAGUUAAAGGCACGUUGAACAAUAAAUUUGUCAGGGAAAAAAAAAGUCAUUGUUUUUAAGUAGGGUUUGAAGGUUGACCAUCUUAAGGAUAAAGCCUCUCUAGUCUCCCCCACAAUGUUAUAUGAUUGUUAGCUCAGUUAACUGGUCACCUCUCCCGAUUUUGUUAAGUACACGAAAUCGUUUCUUUACAAUAACAAAAAUUUUUUUAGUAGUAACAGUCGUACACUAACUAUUGUCGAAGUGUUUAUGAAUAGAUUUUCAAUAAAAUAUUUAUUUGUGAGUCCGAAAUUUUAUCUUCUCAAAGAGUUGUCAAGAUAAGAUGGUGCAAAUAAGCUACAUAUUAUAAUGAGGUAAUAAAACCUUUAGUUGCAUUAUUAUCAACCCUUUUUAGGUAAAAAUAUAACAUUCAAAUAGAAACCUCUUUUUUUUUUAUAAAAUAACUGUAUAAAAAUGGACCAAUUUUGAAAGGAAAAAUCUCAUUUGGGUUUAAAUUAUCCAUCUAAAUCAUCAUAUUUUUAUUCAGUUAAAACAUAUCCAAAUUAGGUAGAUCAUUGAAUGAAAAAUUUAGAGACAAUCCCCCAUCUAACAUGAGAAAAUUUUGUAAACUAAUCAUGAAUAGAUCUCUUUGAUGGCAACGAUUUGCUAAUUAUCUUCAGUUUCAAUUAUAUUUCACAUGAAUAAUCAAUAAAUUAAAACUUCAAUUUCUAAAAAAAAAUUAAAAAUAAAGUCAACACAUUUAAUAGUCAUAACAUCAAAUGUUGGUAAUUCAAAAUUUUCAGUUAUAGAUUUUUUUUUUUUUUUUGUAACAUACAUAAUUAAUUCUAUAUAUUUUUACUAAUUUAAAAUUAAAUAAAAAAUCCAACCUUAUUAAUUUUUAUUAAUCAAUUAUAAUAUAUUCAGGCCAAUCACCAAAAUCCAACCUUAUGUGCCUGAAAGUUAUAAGGAUAUUUUUGAAAUAUUAACAGAAUACUUGGGCAAUUAUAUAAUGACAAGGCAAUUUAUUGUGGGUACAUAAAUAAGAAACUAAAUAAGCGAAUUAAAUUACCAAAAGAUACAGACAGAACCAGAAAACAGAAGAAUAAAUUUGUGGGUGCAAUUAAAAGUUUUAUUUUCAGAUUAAUCAGAUAAAAAUCUUAACUAUAUAUUAACCUUAAUCCAAUAUUUUUAAUCAAUUAUUCGACAUUAAUAUAUUCAAAACAUUUUAAGCUUUUAUCUUAAAUUUUUUUCUGGAGUUUCAGUUUUCCAUAAAUAAAAAAAAAAAGCGAUUUUUUUGCAACAAAACAAAAAUAAAUAUUUAUUUAUGCUUUGAUUUCUCUUAUGGUUUUGGGAAGAGAAUCAUGAAAAUUUAUUUGUUUAUUUAUUAACUAAUACUUCACUAGAAUAAGAAAUUUGUUCGUAUUCAAAUAAAAAUCAAUAUAUUUAUGACAUUGUAGACUUAUAUAACUAGGCUUUGCUGCCAAUUAAAAAUUUUUAAAAUUUAAUGUAUAAAUCUAAAAUAAAAAAUAAUCACGUAAUAUAUUAAGAACACACAUAGAAAGUUGAGACAUUAUAGUACACUCCAAUAAUUAUACUCGUAGCUAGGUUUUUCCAUUCUUUUCUUUCUUUUUUUUAUAAUGAUGACUUUCAAUAUGACAUGUUAUGUAUGUAAACGUGAAGGAAAGAACUUAAUCUUAAGUUAUUUUCUAUAUAAGAUUUUCUGAUUACAAGCUUCUUAUUGAUAUAUAUAUAUAGUGUAAUAUUCCGAGUUCGGGAUAAUUACUCUUGUUAUAGUAAAAUUUAAAAUUUUGUAAAUAAUAAUAAUAGUUGAUUUUUUUAUUAAAAAUGUGCAAAACAAUAAUUACUAAAGAGAAUAUAUGCAUUUUGGACUUUUUUUAAACAAAUUUCAGAAAUUAAAGUCACUCUGUAAAAUAAAAGGGGGCGUGUUUGAAAGAAAACAAAAAAAAUCGGGGUCACUUUGUAAAUUAAAGGAAACAGGCUACGUAGAACGGCUACGUCAGCAGCACAGUGAAUCGGGAUGUUCUGCGUCGACAUAGGCUCCACGCGGGAAGCCCAUGCUGGCAAUUUGCAUGUCAGGUCGAUCGGACGACUUAAGACCACUCAUGCGCGCGUGAACGGGCCAAAUCGAUUUCUUAAAAAGGCUCGAUCGGACGACCCACGUGCCUUCACGUUCCCCAGAUCGAACGGUCUAGAUGGAUUCCCUAAACAGGUGCGAUCAGACGGCCCGCGUGGCUCAACAUCUCCUAGGUUGAACAGCUCAAAUCGAUCGAAGAGAGGUAUUUAAACCUCUCUUCAGUCAACUCCCAAACCCUAUCCGAUACCCUAAUAGGAGAAGAAGAAGAAGGGCAGUCGGAGGAGAAGCUCAGCCACCGGAGGGACGUCGACGCCACCGUGCCAAAGACUUAAAAUGCACCGGUGAACGUGAUUUUUUUUUCCUGUUCUCCCUAUUUACUUGCGCUAGGUCGUUUAAACUAACUCUAAUAUAGGAAAAUCGCCCGGUAAGGUCGAAAUUUUCCUAUUUCCUCCGUAGAACACCCUACUAACCACGAUUUAAAUAAAUUUUCACCAAGAAUCGGCUAGAAUCGAUUCAGCAGAGAGGGAGAAGCACCAGAGAAGGAGGAGCAGGCGGCGGAGCUCGGAGACUCUGUCGCACCAGAACCCCAACCCGACCCCCGGUGAGAUUUUUUUGCCUUUUUUGCCAUUCCUUGUGUAUUUUCAUGUCGUCUUGACUUAUGUUUCAAUCUUACCAAAAAAAUCCAAGAAAUCCAAGAAUCAAGAACUAUCAAAAAUCGUAGUGAAAAAGAUAGUAUCUUGGACACCGACCUAGUGUAAGAAUUUCUCACUCUUUUUUCCUAUUACAGUUAAAUUAAAGCUAAAUUAAUAAUAAACGUUAUAAACAGUUUGGUGAUUCCUUGAUUAAUUAAAUAAAUGUUGCCGAUAGAAUCAGUAAUCGAUUUGUCCAUGUUUGUCUCUAGUCUAUUGUGUUGCCUAUAUGCCAUUUUGCCCCUAUUUUUAUUUGAUUUUAAUUGAUUUUAUUUAUGCUUCAUUUUCACUUUCUGCUUGUUAAAAAUCCCGCCUUGAGUUAGUGUUUCAUUUUAUUGUUCAGGAUUAUUGCGACUGCGAUGCUUUUAUCCUCCGGUGAUAUUUUAAUUCACUUUUAUUUAAUGGAUUAUUUCUUUACCAAUUUCUAAGCAUGAAUUUUGUCUCCUCGUAUUUUUGAAGUAUGGGUUUGCAUGGAAAAAUAUGCAUGCGUAAACAAAUGUCGUGGAAUAGGAGGGCUUACCAAGUGUCGUAGAAAAUAGUGUACGGACUUGGUAUAUAGGGUAAACCCUACUGUGGAUGUCACCCUCAGCCGUACGGGGCUGGGAAGUCCCAUACCGGAUGGGGUUGGGAGUUUAUAGAUUCAGCUCAUACCAGACGGGGUAUUAAGAUGGUUUUUAGUUGUGGUGUCCAUUAUCGGAUGAGUUAUGGGGACAACAUAUUUAAUUACAAAGAAAGUGUAUGUAUCCACGUGUAGCAGAAAUCCUUAUGAACCCCCAGUGAUACUAAUAGAGAAAAGUAAAUGAUAUAGAAGUGAUGGGCAUAGUAAGGAAUCUGACUUUGGGCAAAUAGUGAAGAGUUAAACAUUAUAUGUCUAUUGAAAUAUAUACCUAUGAGAUUGUUAUUCUGAUUUUAUCUUAAUGUAUGGCUUUUGAGAAGUUACAGGUUAGGGAAGAAAAUACUAACAUUUUUAGUGGAAAGUUUUAUUAAAUGUAUGCUCUAUUGGUUGUUUUAUAUUUUCUAUAACCCUUUGAUUUUCUGUGUCGGUGGUAAGGUAUUAAUAUUCUUACUGAGCUAGUGUAGCUUAUCCAUUUCUUAUUAACUAUUUCAGAUCAGGACGACAAAGACCCGAAUCCAGAACAGUAAGAGACCAACUAAAAAAUUACCUUUUCCGCUUCGUUAAUUUCAAAUAAAGGUUAAUUAUAUUUAUUGUUAAUAUUUUUCCUAUUUUAAGUUCCAAAGCAUUCCCAUAGUCUCUAUUUGGGCAUUUUAAGUAAACAUGCAAAGAAUGUAACAUUCGAACAAUUAAUUUUUCUACUAAAUAAAGGAAUUCAAUAUUAUUAUGAUUGUUAUUACUAUUAUCAUUAUCAUGAUUGGGUCAAAACCUUUGAAAUCCCUAUUAGGGAUUUUGAUCUUUUACAGUUGAUAUCAGAGUCGCGUUUAGGGUUAGAAUAAAUUUAGUGCAACCCGAAUCCCAAACAAUUGUUAUGAAAUGUAGAUAAGGAAACAUGAGGAGAAGAAGAUCCCCGCUAAACAGAGCAGCCUGGGAUCACUUUGGGAGGACAUUGAUCGGCUCUUCAAGAUGUUUAAGAGACUAAUUUCUGCCCAGUAGGCUAGGAAUGAGAGAAGGGAGUUGUAUGAUCCCCCUCUACCCCUACUAAAGUAUGAGCCACCUCCACAUCGAGAGGAUCCAGUACCCCCACGGUAGAAUCUAGUUCCUCCACAGUAAUAUCCGAUACUGCUGUAGUACAAUCCAGUGCCUUCACCGUACAACCUGAUGCCGCCACAGGGCCACCUGGUUCCUCCCCUACAUAAUCCAGUUCCCCUCCAAUAGGACCUAGCUUCGCCUAUGAUGGACCUGGUUUAUAUCGAGAUGUACAAGAGAGUUAAGCCAUCUACUUUUGUAGGGGAAUCCACUUUUGAGGAUUCUAAGUACUAGCAAAGACAGAGAAGGCCUUUACGACAGUUAAGGUGAUUCCCGAACAGAAGGUUGUCCUUGUCAUACAUAUACUCAUGGGUAAGGCAGGGCAUUGGUGGAAACUCAAACAGGCUACUCUACCCACUCUAAUCACUUGAGAACAGUUUUUGGCAGCCUUCAAUACUGAGUAUCUUCCAGAACAUCUUCGAGAUCUAAAAGAAAUGGAGUUGAUCCAAAGAGAUUUGUUAGUAUCAUAUUAUGCUUAAAAAUUCCUAGAGUUGGGUCGGUACUCCCCUGAGAGCAUGACAAAUGAAGGCAAGAAUGCAAGACGGCUUGAAGGGGGUCUUCGUCCUAAGUUCAGACAACAGUGAUAUGUGUUUGAGUUUGACACUUAUUCGGUAGUCUUGGACAAGAGACAAUUGAUCGAGAGGAACAUUUGUAUUUUUCCCUCAGCAAUGGGCAACUCCAGGCCCCCGGUUCUGCAUCGUAUACCAGCACCUAUUGAUUUGAACCAGCAGAACGAGAGACGAAGGCCCGCACCUGAAGCUCCUCCCCAAGCUUCGAUAGUAGGACACGAUAAGAUUUACCAGUACUGUGGCAAGGAUUAUAGAGACCAAUCAUGUUAUCGUCUCAACAACACUUGUCGCAUAUGUGGGAGUGUCCAACACUACGCGAUGGAAUACCCGAGUAAUCAGAAUCAGGCCAAGCCCGCGGUCAAGGGCAGAGUCUACAUGCUCACCAAGCAUGAUGCCGAAGCCAACCCAAAUGUGAUUCAGGGUACACAUAUUAUCUGAAAAGAUCUUGCAUAUGUUUUGAUUGACACUGGUACUUUACAUGCUUUUAUUUCACAUGCUUUUACUCAAUAUUUAAAUAUGUUACCUGAGCAUCUUGGUUUUGUAUUGUUGGUAUCUACACUUAGAAACGGAAUAUUGUUGGAGAAUGUUAUAUACAAAUCUCGUAUUAUAGAAAUAGUAGGUAAGGAACUGAGCGUAGAUCUAAUAGCAGUAGAUAUGAGAAAUUUUGAUAUAUUCGUAGGCAUGAACUGAUUAGUUGCGUAUCAUGCUACUAUUGAUUGUUAUUACAAGAGGCUUAUAUUCAACAUCCCUAAUGAAAAGUCUUUCAUUAAUUAAUAAAAUCUUAGAUAUAUUUGGCACAUGAUGGUAGUAUAUUGAAUUUAAUUGAAUGUCAUUAAUUUAACCAUUCUUUUUCAACAAUAAGCAAACCUAAGGAAGCCAUUUGCAUUCAAGAUAUCUCUGUUAUCUAAAACUUCCUGGACGUAUUCCCUGAUGAACUACCAAGACUGUCGGUGGAUCGAGAAGUAGAAUUUUCCAUUGACCUCCAGCCUGACACCCAACCCAGUUGCUCUAUACCGAAUGAGUCGUGUUGAAAUGGAAGGACUGAGAAAAUAUAUUUAAAAGCAACAAGAUAAUGGUUUCAUCUGACGCAACAUAUCUCUUUAGGGUGCCAGAGUUAUGUUCGCAAGAAAGAGUGGUGGGACUUUGAGAUUGCACAUAGAUUAUAGAGAACUAAACAAAGUCACAAUUAAGAACAAAUACCCUCUCCCUAGGAUUGAUGACAUUUUUUAUCAGUUACAAAGUGCUUAGAUUUUCUCUAAGAUCAACCUGCGUUCGAGAUACCAUCAGGUGAAGAUCAAAGUAUAAGACAUCCCUAAGAUGACCUUUAGGACCCAAUACAGAUAUUAUGAGUUCCUUGCUAUGCCAUUCGAAUUGACCAAUACACGUGCAAUCUUUAUGGAUUUGAUGAAUAGAAUCUCCAGGCCAUUCUUGGAUUAGUUUGUUAUAGUUUUUAUUGAUGAUAUCCUUAUUUACUCUAAGACCAGGAAGGAAUAUGUCCAACUUUUGACUCAAAUCUUACAAGUUCUUAGAGAGAAAAAGCUCUAUGUAAAGUUGAGUAAAUAUGGAUGUUGGCUUGAGCAAACUUUUUUUCUAGUACACAUAGUAUCGAAAGAUGAACUGUCAGUGAAUCCCGAUAAGAUUAAGGCAGUGACGGGUUGAAAGCAAUUUACCAUAGUCAAGGAAGUUAGGAGUUUCUUGGGUAUGGAAAAAUAUUACCAUAAAUUUGUAGAAGGGUUUUUAAAUAUAACAGUCCCCCUGACACUACUCACGAAGAAAAAUGUCAAGUUUGAGUGGAAUGAGGAAUGUGAAAGAAGGUUUACAGAACUCAAAGUCGACUGACUACCACACUAGUGUUGGCUUUACCGAAUGGAACAGACAGAUAUACGGUAUAUCGUGAUGCAUCUUACUAAGGUUUUGGUUUUAUUUCUAUGCAGCAUGGAAGGGUCAUAACUUAUGGGUCUAGACAGUUGAAAACUCAUGAAAAGAACUACCUCACUCAUGAUUUAAAGCUUGCUGAGAUUAUCCAUGUAUUGAAAACUUAUCGUCAUUACUUAUAUGGAGAGACAUUUGAAAUCUAUACAGCUAUAUUCACCUAUAAGGACCUCAACAUGCAUUAAAGGCGUUGGAUAAAACUCCUUAAAAAUUAUGAUUGUAAGAUCUUGUACAACCCAGGUAAGGGUAAUGUGGUAGUUGAUGCUCUCAAUAACAAGAUUGUAAGUAUAUUACCCCAUAUGAUAGUCUCCGAAUAUAGGUUAAUAAAGGCCACAUAGCGAAUAUAACUCCAAGAUUUAGAACGAGCCACAUGGUUAGCUUAUUUAGUAAUUCAACCCGAGUUAAUCCAGAGGAUAAAGGAGGCUCAGCUAGCUUAUUCCACUCUAGCAGCCCUAAAAAAGGAUACUAAACAGGGUUUGAACCCGGAGUUCUGGAUUUUUACAGAUGAGUUGCUCAGAUUUCAAGAUAGGUUGUAUGUUCGUAGUGAUAGCGAUUUGAAGAGAGACAUCAUGACAGAGACUCAUAGUUCGAAGUUCAUAAUGCACCCAUGAAGUACCAAGAUGUACCAAAGUAUGCGACCCUGAUUUUGGUGGAAUGGGAUGAAGAAGGAUAUUGCUGAUUUUGUCUCAAGGUGUCUCAUGUGCCAACAAGUUAAGGCCGAACAUCAAUGCCCAGGCGGUCUACUCCAAUCAUUGCCAAUCCUAGAAUGGAAAAGGGAGUAUAUCACUAUGAAUUUUGUAACAGAAUUACCCAAGGCACUUUCUGGUCGUGAUGUAAUUUAGGUAAUAGUUGAUCGACUCACUAAGUCCUCAUAUUUCCUAGCCAUUAGACUAACAGACCCCUUGAACAAGUUAAAUAGAGUUUACAUUCGAGAUAUAGUCAAGCUGCAUAGGGUUACAAUAACAAUGAUAUCAGAUAGAGACCCUAAGUUUACCUUCAGGUUUUGUACCAGUUUUCAACAAGCAAUGGGGACUAAAUUAUCACACAGUACGGCUUUCCACCCUCAAACAGAUGGGCAAUCAAAGAGAAUUAUUCGAGCAUUAGAGGACAUGCUCAAAGCUUUACCCUAGAUUUCGGUGGCCACUAGGAUGAUCAUUUAUUCCCUAAUAGAGUGCGUCUACAACAACAGUUACUAAACAAAUAUUGAUAUGGCUCAGUAUGAAGCAUUAUAUGUUCGACCCUGUAAAUCAUCAAUCUGUUGGGAGGAAGUAGGUGAUUAGAAAUUAUUUGACACAAAUAUUGUAAAGGAUACCACAACAAAGAUUGCCAAAAUUAAGAAAAACAUCCAAACAGCCUAAAGUAGACAAAAGAUUUAUGCGAACACACAAAGAAGGGAUUUAGAAUUUGAGACAGGUGAUCAGGUCUUCUUAAGGUCACCCCCUGAAGGGAAUCACUAGGUUUAGGAAGAGGGAAAAACUGAAUUCUCAGUUUAUCAGACUGUUCGAAAUUUUGGACAGAAUUAGAAUGUCGACCUACAGACUAACUGCCACCAGAAUUAUCCAGGGUCCAUAAUGUCUUCCAUGUCUCAAUGUUGCGCAAGUAUAACCUUGAUCCUUCACAUAUUUUAUCCUACAAACCUCUUCCACUCCACGAGGAUCUUUCUUACGAAAAAGUACCCGUCAACAUCUUGGACUAAAGGAGUAAGGUGCUCCGCAAUAGGAAAAUCCUUUUUUUCCAGGUCUUAUGGCAGAAUCACUUAUAGGACAAGACUACUUGGGAGUUGGAAUCAGAUUUCAAGACUAAGUACCCUUAUUUAUUUGACUAAGGAUAGCAAAUUUGAGGAACCAAAUUUUCUUCUUAGGGGGGAAGAGUUGUAAUAUUCCGAGUUUGGGGUAAUUAAUCUUGUGAUAGUAAAAUUUAAAUUUUCUUAAAUAAUAAUGAUAGUUAAUUUUUUUAUUAAAAAUGUGCAAAAAAAUAAUUACUAAAGAGAAUAUAUGCAUUUUAGACAUUUUUGAAACAAAUUUAUGAAAUCAAGACCAAUCUGUAAAAUAAAGGGGGACACACUUGAAAGAAAACUAAGAAAUCAGGAUGUGUCGUAUCGACGCGGGCUCUAUACGGAAAACCCACACUGACAAUCUGUCUGUCAGGCCGAUCAGAAGGCUCAUGACCACUACUGUGUGAGUGAAUUACCCAAAUCGAUUUCACAAAUAGGCUAGAUCGGACGGCCCACGUGCCUCCAUGCUCCCCAAAUCGAAUGACUUAUAUGGAUUCCUUAAACAGGCACGAUCAGACGACCCGCGUGCCUCCACGUCUCCUAGGCUGAACAGCUCAUAUCGAUUGUUCAGUUGACUCCCAAACCCUAGCGAACACCCUAUCCACAAAAAAGAAAAAGGGUGGUUGGAGGAGAAGCUCAGCCACUGGAGGGACAUCAGCGCCAACAUUUCGGAUACCUAGAACGCAUUGAUGAGAAUGAUUUUUCUUCCUGUUCUCCCUAUUUUCUUUCCCUGGGUCAUUUAAAUUAACUCUAAUGCAGGAAAAAUCAAGGAGGAUCACAAUCUGAGAGAGAGAAGCGACGGAGCACAGUUGCACCGCUGCAUCGGAGAUCGAAAACUGCUUAGUAAGGCAAAAAUUUCCCUCUUUCCUCUGUAGAACACCAUCCUAACCACGAUUUAAAUGAAUUUUCACCAAGAAAUAACCAGAAUCGAUUCAGCCGAGAGGGAGAAGCAUAGAAAAAGAGAAGCAAGCGGUGGAGCUCGGUUUUGCCACACCAGAACCCUAAACUAACCCCCUGAUGAGAUUGUUUUGCCCUUUUUACGAUUCCUUGUGUAUUUUCGUGCUGUUUUGACGUACGUUUUCAAUCUUACUAGGAAAAUCUAAGAAAUUCAAAAACCAAAAUUGUCAAGAACCAUAGUAAGAAAGAUGGUUUCCUGGACAUUGAUCUAGUGUAAGAAUCCCUUUCUUUUUUCUCAUGUUAUGUUAAAUUAAAGCUACGUAAAUAAUAAAUGGAAAAAUUAUAAACAAUUUGAUGAUUCCUUAAUUAAUUAAAUACAGGUUGCCGAUGGAGCCAGUAAUCGAUUUGUCCAUGUUUAUCUCUAGUUUAUUGCAUUGCCUAUAUGCAAUUUUUCCCCUAUUUUUAUUUGAUUUUAAUAGCUUAUUUAUAUUUCAUUUUAAUUGGUUUUAUUUGUGCUUCAUUUUUACUUUCUGCUCGUUAAAAAUCCCACCUUGAGUUAGUGUUUCAUUUUAUUGUUCAUGAUUAUUGCGACAUGUAGUGUUUUAUCCUUUUGUGAUAUUUUGAUUCAAUUUUAUUUAAUGACUUAUUUCUUUACAAUUUUUAAGCAUGAAUUUUGUCUCCUCGUAUUUUUAAAGUGUGGGUUUGCGUGGAAAAAUAUGCAUGUGUAAACAAAUGUUGUGGAACAUGAGGGCUUAUCGAGUGUCAUAAAAAAUAGUGUAUGGACUUGGUACAUAGGGUGAACUCUACUGUGGACAUUACCCUCAGCAGUACGGGGCUAAGAAGUCCCAUACCGGAUAAGGUUGGGAGUUUAUAGAUUCUGCUCAUACCUGACGAGGUAUUAAGACGGUUUUUAGUUGUGGUGCCCAUUACCGGAUAGUAUAUGGGGAUGACAUAUUUAAUUACAAAGAAAGUGUAUGCAUCCAUGUGUAACGGGAAUCUCUGUAGACCCCCAGUGACAUCUGUAGGGAAAAGUAAAAAGAUAGAGUAGCGAUGAGUAUGGUAAGGAAUCCGACUUUGAGUAAAUAGUGAAGAGUCAAACGUUAUAUAUCUAUUGAAAUGUAUACUAUUAGAUUGUUAUUAUGAUUUUAUCUUAAUGUAUUUGUUUGAGAAGUUAUAAGUUAGGGGAGAAGAUAUUAACAUUUUUAGUGAAACGAGUAAUGAUAGCACUAGUAUUCGGCUUUUAUUUAAAGUAUGUUUCAUUGAUCGUUUUAUGUUUUCUACAACCUUUUGAUUUUCUGUGUAACGGCCCCGGAAAUUAAAAAGGAAAUAUAUAUUAAAAAAAUCUGAGUGCGAAAGCGAAAUAAAAAGUUCUGAUUAAUAUCUCUUACACAAUAACUUAAACGUACUAACAAUAUCAAAUAAUAAGUUCUCUAAAGAAAAUAUUAGAAAUGAAAGACUAUAAAGAAAACUAUAAGGUAUCUAGGCAUCUACUCGUCGUCUUUUUGUGGAUCAGGCUCGGGAACCAAAUCCUCCUGAUCUGAAAUGGUUAAGUAAGAAAUGAGCUACACUAGCCCAGUAAAGACGUCACACUAUAUCACUGUCAUAGAAGUAAAGGUUGGUAGAAAACCAAAAAUAACUAAUGGAGCACAAAUUUUAAACAAAUUCAUUUAUCAAUAAUCAAACCAUUUACCAUCCACUUACCUCCGUGAGAUUUAUAAAAACGACCUAUGGAAAUAACAUCAUAGAUAUCAUGAAUUUAUACAUAAUUUGUAACAUAGCACAUGUCAUACUUUUAUAUUUUAAUCAUCAAACAACAGUUGCCCCAUUUUCAUCAGCCUACUAGUAUCCACGGGGAUCCAUAAGGGUCCCCGCUACAUGUAAACCCUACCCUUAAUAAACUUAAUUUCCAGGGUCGUCCCCAUACCCCAUCUGGUAUAGGCGCCAAACAAUAAACCUCAAUACCCCGUCCGGUAUGAGAGUGAAGCGGAUCGUCACCAUACCCCGUCCAGUAUGAACGCUAAAACAUUUAAAGUCUUCAUACCCCAUUCGGUAUGAGACAACGUUCCCGGUAAGGUUCCCUAUGGACCCAGUCCGUUCACCAUCUCCCAGAAUAUCUAGUGAGGCUGUCAUCUUAUUCAUUUAUCGAUUCACACCCCUUUCCUAUUUUUCUUUAGUCUCCGUUACCCAUUCAAACAUGAAUACUUAAACAAGCAACGUGCAUUCAAUAAGGCAAACAUAUCUUAGAUUCACAAAAUCAAGCAGUAGUGAAGUAAACAGUGAUUCAUGCAUUCAAAAUCAUAGAAUAAAUAAACCAUAUAUCAUAAUGCAUUUAAACUGUAAAAUAAAUCAAACAGCAAAUGACAAAGAAAUAUGUCCGAUUCGGGCUCCAUUAGCAACCGUAAUUAAUUAUGCAUAUUUACUCAAUUUGUAUAAAAUACAGUUUUUAUCAUUUAGUCAUACUUCAAUCCCGUGAUAGGAAAUAGGGUGAGGGGUCCUUACCUAAUUCGACGUUGAAAACCGAAUUUUCACUGCACCUACGGGCAGUCCCUAGAUUCUCUGAAUUUUUUUUCGGGAACUGAAACGCGCUUACGGUACCUACACAUGUCCCAAAUAACUGAAAAAUCAGACCCAGGGUCUACUCGACCAAUUUCAGAAUUCUGGCACGACGGCUUCGCCGUGCUCUGGUGAUGCGGCGGUAAUCCACCUCGGGUUGGCUGUUUCUGACCGUUUUAGACCGAAUUCAGCCAAACUUGGAUCGGUUCCUGUGAGAAAACACCCUUAGGGCCCUCGGUGGGCCGAAAAAAUACAGAAAACCGAGACUUACUUGCGGUGGGGCUCUCCGGUGCGGCAGUUCCUUUAGCUCGCAUUGCGCUUUGGUGUUUUGCUCUGGUCAACCUAUAGAGGAGGGAACAAUGGUCACAAUGGUAAAAAAAAUUACAUUAAACGGGAAUCGGGAAGGGCCUCAUCGGAGGCAAAAAUUGAGACAACUCGCGGCGACUCCGCUGGGCUUCGGCGGUGUUUUUCGGUCAAUUGGCCGGUGUUUUUGCUCCGAUUUGGCCAUAGAUGGGUUUAGAAUCGAAUUCUGAGCCAAGGAGAUAAUUUUUACCUCGUUUGACGGCCGAUAAUUGCUCCGGUGCAGCGGCGGGUGACGGCGGUCGGCUCCCCAGCGGCUGGGCUGUCUUCUCCAGCGAGGGGCUCUGGCGGCUAGGGUUAGGGUUUGGGUGCGGAUGAGAUUAUUUAUAACCAUUCACUUUUAAUCUGAGCCAUCCAUCGCGAUUCAAUAUAGACCGUCCGAUCGCGAUUAAAUAAGAGAUGAAUCUAGACCGUUCAUCGCGAUGCAAUCUGGACCGUAUGUGCGUAUUUUUUAUCUGGGUUGUCCGUGCGCGCAGGAACAGAUCUCAGCCGUUCGAUCGCGCGCACGCAGAUUGCCCACGUGGCUCCCUUCCGCGUGGCCUCCCGCGUCAGCGUCUCUGUCAUGCGAUGCGUCCUGGUUGGCGGGGGCUGCUGACCGGGCAGCUAACGUGGUGCAAUUUUUUUAAAUUGUGUUUUGACCAUUGGUUUUCGAUUUUUCUUUCAAAAAUACCCCUAGAACCCAAAUUUUCACCCGUUUUCUCCAAAAUUAUUUUCAAUUAAAUUUCCAAAUAAUUUUUACCCCUUUUAUUAUUAUUAUUAUUAUUAUUUCUAUUUAAAUGAAUUAAAUUAAAUUAAAAAAUAAAAAUUAAUGAAAUUAAAUUUUAAAAAAUAAGAAAAGCUUCUUGGGUGUUACAUUAUGUGUCAGUGGUAAGACGUUGAUAUUCUUACUGAUGUAAUGUACCUCACAAUUUUCUUAUUAACCAAUUCAUAUCAGGACGACCAAGACCCGGAUCUUGAACAGUAAAAGACCAGCUAAAUAAUUACAUCUUCUGCUUUGUUAAUUUCGAAUAGAGGUUAAUCAUAUUUAUUGUUAAUAUUUUUCCCGUUUUAAGUUCCAAAGCUUUUCCAUAAGCCCUAUUUAAAUGUUUUAAGUAAAUGUGUAAAGAAUGUAACAUUCGAACAGUUAAUUCUUCUCUUAAAUAAAGAAAUUCGAUAUUAUUAUAAUUGUUAUCAUUAUCAUGAUUUGGUCAAAACCCUUGAAAUCCCUAUUAAGAGUUUUGGACUUUUACAUAUAGAUUUAUAGUAAAUUGCUAGUUCAUAUUUUGAUAUUAUAAAGUGCUCGUGUAAAUUUUAAUAAACUUAAACACAUAAUAAAUCUACUUUACUUACAUCUAAAAUCAUAGUUUAUUCUUAAUAAAGGGAAAAUUGUCAAUUAAAUAGUAAUCUAUAGAUUCUUACAUGUUACACUUUUAUUUCUUGACUUAUUAUGUUUUCUUCCUUGAUGAUUAUUAUUUCUUGGAACAAAUUUCUUUUAUUUUAGUUAUUUUUAACUUGUUGAAAAAAAAAAAAUUGUUCAACUAAUGAGCAUGUUCUCUUCAUGUGCGAUAAUUCUACAGAUGUUGAUGCCUCUAAAAGAUGUACAUAGAAAAGUUCUUUUCAAUUAAUUUGAUAUUAUAUCAUAUUUUAUAUUUUAUAAUUUGAUAUUAUAUAUAUUUUUACAGAUAAAUAUUUAUAUAAAUAAUUCAAACUCAAAAUUUAUGUGUAAUUUUUUAAAAUAAUAUUUUAAACAUAAAGUAUAAAUCUUAAAUUUCAUUAAUAUAAUCUAUCUACUAUUUCUGAUUUUUUUUUCUUUUUUUUUAAAGCUAAUUUGUAUGUAUUAGAAUUGUCAAUUUAAAAUUUUUAAAAAUAAAGUUAUAAUUCAAAAUAAUGUAGAAAUUUUUUAACUUGAUUAAUAUAUAUUAUAAUUUUAUCUUCAUUUUUAAUUUUUUUUUUUUUAACUUCUGGAUGUAUUUGUACUGACAUAAAUCACCAUAAUAAUUUCUAUUAUAGACAUUAAAGAUGCUUUCAAAUACACAAGUAACAAACAGCAGUGCUUCUUCUUUGCUUAUAUUAUUAUAUUUAUAAAAUAAUUUAUUAUUUAGUUAAAUUAAAAAUUAGAUAAACGUAUCAAAUUUAAAAUUCUAUUAAAUCUAAAAUAUUUAAUUAAGAAGUCGAUUAAUUAUAUUAAAAUUAAAAUUAACUAAACUUUAUAAAAUUAACUGUAAAACCAAUGUGCAGGAAACAUUUAUACAUUUUAAUUUGAUAUCUACUGUUUUGUUUGGAUAAAUUGUAAACACAACAUAAGUAAUAAUACAUCUUUAUACUGUUUUCAUUUAUAUCUUUUUAAACCUUUAUAGUUUUAUUCUACUUUCAUAAAUUUUCAUUUAUUUUCUUCAUUAAGUUAAAUGUCUCAUCAGCCAUACGGCAUUGACUCAAAACAGAAAAGUAAUGUUUAAGAAGUUAGAAAAUUAAAACAAAAUUUUAUUUAAACUGAAAUUUGAAACCAUGAUUUUGUAAUCUUAGAUUACCAUCUUAACCAACUCAGUUAUUAUAACUUCAUUAUUUAGGAUUCCUUAACAACAUAUGUAACAAUAAAGUCAUACUUCAUGUGUUCAAAACUUAUUAAUAUAUAAAUGAGGUUGAUAGAUUAUUAUUACUAACAAUAUCUUUCUAUCACCUUAAGAUAUUAUAUUAUAUAUAUAUAUAUAUAUUAAUUUAUGUACGUGCAAAAGUAUCUAAUUUAAAUGACAAAAUAUUUUUAUUAAAAAAUUAAUAACUUGAGUUCAGAUGGAUAGUUAUGAGUAGUUAAAAAUAUUGUAAUAGUAACUUUAAAAAAAUAUACUUUCAAUGUGGAAAUGAUAUAAUAUUUAGUAAAAUUUAUUAUAAAAAGUGUAUUAAUAUCGUAUCUUAUUUAUCCAAGGUGUACCGAUGCACAUUUAAUAUGAUAAAUACUAAAUUAUCUUAAUAUUAAAAUACGCAACGUUUAUAUAUCUUGUAAUGGAAUACAUCCUUUUUCAAAUAUCAAAACAUAAGACUCUAAAAGUUUAAAAAAUAUAUUGUUAUUGAAAUAUCCAAAGUUUAGCUUACUUCCCUAACAUCUAUUGUCCCAACUCUUGAAUGGAUGUGAAAUUUUAAUGAAUUUUCACUUCUCAAUAAGUAGGGAUGUCAAAAUCUUACAACGAGAAAAAUUAAAAUUUUAAAACAUGCAUAUUGAGAAAAUUAAUUGAACACAUAAGCACAUAUUUAACUUGUCACGGACUAUAUCUCAUCUUAUAAGGUAAUAAUAAGAGCAUACUCACUUAAAUUACAUAGAUUCAGAUUAAGUAAGAUAACUUAAUUUUAGUCGCAAAAUUUUCAAAGGGUGUACAAGAGAUCCAAAAUAUAGAAUGCACCUCUUGUGUCUACUUUUGUUGCUACAAGAGUCACUUUAGGGACUGUCAGUGCCGCACCUGCAUUCAUUAUAUGCAGAAUGCACAAUCCUAAUCUCCCCUAAUCAUCAGUUUAGCUUAAUGAUUAUGCUGAUUAGAAGUUUCAUCUUUCAGACUUUAUGUCUUAUAUGUAAAAUCUAGACUGCAUGAUCAUGUUUUUUAAUUAAUGGCCCGAGUUUGAUAACGACUUUCAAUUGGAAUUUGGAUGCACGUGCCAUCUUCCACCAUGUAGUACACAAAUCCUAUUGUGCUGGUGGCAGCAUUUAUAGAGGUUCUAGGCAUGGAGAUGGUGAAUGACAAGGCUCUCUAACUAGUCGAAGUUUGUUCAGAUCCUGUGGUUGCCAUGCAUUGAAAGAUCUUAUCAAAACUGCUUCUUGUUGUAUGAUUGGUGAUGAUUAGACUUGAAAGUUUAUGUUUGGAAUUUGGGUUUUUGAGAAGAGAAAGAAAAUUCUUUGGAAUUAGUGAGAAAAGAAUUAAAGGAUAAUAGAGGAUAUAUAUAUAUGUAUGUAUAUUCUUUUUCUAUCUCAAAAAUUUUCUAACAAUAAUGCUACAUAUUGUUUAUAUAAGCAUAUUUAUAUUCAUAAAAUAUGUACAUAUAAAGUAUAUUUAAAAGAAGUGUGAGGUAUCCUUAAAUUUAUUUUUUUAUUUAUCAUAAUCCUAUUAUUGAAGAAAAUUUUACUAAAAUCCCUAAAUGAAAUAAAGAAUCUGAUUUAGUAGAAAUUAGUGAUAUACUAUUAGUUUUUUUUAAAAUAUAUGCAGGUAUUAUUUCCUAAAAAAUAAUAGUUUAUUGAAGAAUUUGAUGUUUUUCCUAAUAAGCAAAAUUCUUGGGUUCUAGAAAAAUGAGGUACUUAUAUUCUUUUUGAGAUAUAAAAUAUAAAAUUAUUAAAUAAAUUUGUAGUACACCACCACCAAAGAAUGGUGCAUGGUCAAAGAUCGUCACAGCCUAAAAAUUAGUGUAUCCUAUAUAAAUGGUAAAAUAAGCAGAAGAAUUUCUCAAAUUUCUAUUAAAGUUGCUAUAAAGUCUUAACUAUCACUAAAAUCUAUCUCAUUAUAUAACAUCUUAUCAAUCUUUAAAAAAAAUCUUUUUUUUUAUGGGACGACUAAUAUUGUAGUAAUAUAUCUUAUUAUUAUUUAAUCUAAUAUGUUUAAGCAAAGUGUAUUGAAUUCAUUUAUUAUAGUUCAUUAAAAAAAUUAUAAAUGCACAAUUAUACGUCAAAUUUAAAUCAACAGAUAAUCAGUAUUGUUGGAAGGCUCAUAAAUAGAUAUUAGAGCUUGUCUCGAUGCUCUCAAAGAAAGGAAAAGCUUGCAAUAGUAAUAUGUAACAUUACGAUCAAUUUUAAUAGCAUUUUUCUUAAGAGUUAUAAGAACUAUAUUCCCAAGUUGAUUGUUUUCCUCAGAAAAAACUUCACCAGCUCUAUUUCAUGUUCAGCAAACUUGUAACCUGAUAUCUUGCUAAACUUAAUCUUGUAUGGAUCAGAAACAAAUAUAUUAAGUUCGUUCUUCUAGUGAAGCUCCUAGUGAGAUGUGUGAGGAAAAUUAAAGUCAUUUAGUUACAGUAAUAAUUUUAAUUUUAUGUAUAUAGUUAGUAAUUUAUCAUAAAGAAAACCAUCCAAUAAAAACACAUCUACAAUGGAAAAGGAUGUUGGUAUAGGUGGCACAAGUGAAGCCUUACCGAGUGGAAACGAGUGCAACAUGGUCUUGGGUCCCGUAUGAUUUUGCUAGUACAGAUCUUUUCUAAAGCUUCCUCUUUUGAACCUUAUGACAUGAGAUUUAGACUGUAGAAAAUAUUAACAUUGAAUAUUUAGAUUUUGUAUUUGUGCUUGAAGAUUAAGAAGAAUGGAAAGAAACUUGUUUUUUUUUCUUUCUUCGAACGAGUGGAGAUUAAGUGCGUACCUUUGAGUUUAAUCAAUAAUAAAUAACUUCAGAGGUUAUGUAGGGUUUGGAAAACUAACUUUUGACUAUACUUUUUUGUUGCACCAGUUAAGAAGACGAGUUUAAUUGAAGAACAAUUGAAUUAUGAUGGAGGGAUAAAUGACAUACGGUUGAAUAUUUUAUAUAAGCCAUGGAAAAUAUAGGUUUUAUGACACUACAGUUUAUAAAACCUUUGAAUUAAAUGAAGAAUCGAUGGCUAUUUGUAAAGUGGUUAUAUUUUUUAAAAUCUUGAACUUAAAUGAAGAAUCCAUCACUAUUUGAGAUGCGAUUUUAUUAUAUUCAUGUAAUAUCUUACUUAAUAUAUAUAUAAUUAAUUAAAAACAAAUAUUUGAUUAAUUCUAUGAUCGCCAACUAUAUUAAAAUUAACUUUUGAAUUUUAAUCCAUGCGCUAAAGAACUUAUUCAUCAUUUAUUUUUUUAAAAGUGAGAAAAGACAAUUCUAUUGAGAUAACGAUAGAAGUUUAUCACCACACUUAAUGUAAAAAGCCACUUUGCAAAAAAAUGUCGACUCUACUUUACAAUAAUGUGAUUAGUUAUUUUAAUGCAAUAUCUCUACUUUAAAUCAUGUUUUUAUAUACUAAUAUAUAAAAACUGGUAAGUAAUUAACCUUAGAAAUAUGAUCUAAUUGUUGAUAAAAAUUUUGAAAUACCCUUGAUAUAACGGCCCCGGAAAUAAAAAUGAAAUGUAUGUAUAAAAAAGUUCUAAGUGCGGAAGCGAAAUAAAAAUUUUGAUUAACAUCCCUUACACAAUAACAAAAAACGUAUUCAACGUACGAAAGAAUAAAUUAACUAAGGUAAAUACUAGUAGUGAAUGCUAUAAAUAAAACGAUGAAAUCCUUAGACGUCUACUCGCCGUCUUCCUACAGGACGAGCUCGGGAACCAAAUCCUCCUGAUCUAAAAUGGUUAAAUAAGGAAUGAGCUACACUAGCCCAGUAAAGACAUCACACUAUCUCACUAUUACAGAAGUAAAGGUUGGUAGAAAACAAAAACGACCAAUGGAGCAUAAUUCAUGAUAAAUUCAUUUAUCAAUAAUAAAAUCCUUUACUGUCCACUUACCUCGGUGAGCUUCAUGAAAACAACAUAAGGAAACAAUAACAUUAUAAUAUCAUGAAAUCAUACACACUUUAUAAUAUAACACAUAUCAUACCUUUGCAUUUCAAUCAUCAGACAACAGAUUUUCCUUUUUUAUCAGCCUACUAGUAUCCAUGGAGAUCCAUAGGGGUCCCCGCUACACGUGAACCAUUUCCAUUGAUAACUCGAUACAGGGCUGUCCCCAUACCCCGUCCAGUAUGGGCACCAAAAAACAUAAACCUCAAUACCCUAUCUGGUAUGAGGGUGAAACGGGUCGUCCCCAUACCCCAUUCGGUAUGGGCGCCAAAACACAUAAGGUCUCCAUACCCCGUCAGAUACAAGAGACCACGUUCCCGGUAGGGUUCCCUACGGACCCGGUCCGUCCACCAUCUCCCAGGAUAUCUAGUUAGGCUGUCAACAUCAUCCAUUUAUCAAUUCACAUACCUUUUUUUAUUUUUCUUGGUCUCAAUUAUCUAAUCAAAUAUAAACACGUAAACCAGUAAUGAACACCAAAUAAGACAACAAUGGGUUCACAAUAAUUCAAACCAUAAUAAACGAAACCGUGAUUCAUGCAUGCAAAACCAUAAAAUAAACACAUCAGAUACCAUACUGCAUUUAAAACUGUAAAAUAAAUCAAACAACAACUGACCGAAAAAUACUUCAGAUUCGGGCUCCAUUAGCAACCUUAAUUAAUUAUACACAAUUCAUGAAAUACCAUUUUAUCAUUUAUUGAGCAUUAAUACCGUGAUAGAAAAUAGGGUGAGAAAUCCUUACUUGUUUCGGAGUCUGAAAUUGCCUUUACACUGCGCCUUCGGGCAGUCCCUAGAUUNNNNNNNNNNNNNNNNNNNNNNNNNNNNNNNNNNNNNNNNNNNNNNNNNNNNNNNNNNNNNNNNNNNNNNNNNNNNNNNNNNNNNNNNNNNNNNNNNNNNNNNNNNNNNNNNNNNNNNNNNNNNNNNNNNNNNNNNNNNNNNNNNNNNNNNNNNNNNNNNNNNNNNNNNNNNNNNNNNNNNNNNNNNNNNNNNNNNNNNNNNNNNNNNNNNNNNNNNNNNNNNNNNNNNNNNNNNNNNNNNNNNNNNNNNNNNNNNNNNNNGAAAAAAUAUUCCAAUAAACGAUAUUAUAAAAUCACAGCAUAAUACAUGCAAUAUAUAGUUUCUUUAUACACAAUAAAACAUAUGUUAUAUAAUCUUUCCAAAACAUAUAUAUGAAUCAGAAGACGAAUGCACAAAUCAGAAAAAAAAAAAUUCACAAUUGCUUUAUUGUAUACUUCAUCACUAUUAUGAAAGAUUAAUUAGUUAUCAUAUAUUAUGCGUAGGCACACAUACCUAUCACUGGUUCCUUAUAUACCCAAACACAUAAUGAUAUAUAUGAAUACAUUAAAACACUACUACCCCCCGAAUACGAAACAAUUAGAGCACGCAAAUCAAACUGUUUCUCCAUACACAUGAACACGAAACAAUUAUGUAUAGGUACACACUUAUUACUUCGCCAAUACACUCGAAUAUGAAAUGGUUUUGUAUGGUCAUAUUGAAGCCUAACAUAAUGCAGGUAUUUUCGGAACAACUUCGUUCUAUAAUAAGUGGUGCACAGAUAUCAAAAUCACAUUUUAAAAAUAAAAAGUGGGAUAAUACUUAUAUCAAAGUAAAACUUUAACAAAUACUUAUUUAGCAAAUAUAAAAGACAAAUCAAAUAUUUUCACAGGUUUAUACUGAAAAUUACAUAGGCUAUAAAUAUAUAAUAUCUACUUACCUUAGGUUCUUAGUAGUCAUAAUCUUAAUUUCAGUAUAGUUUUGAUUUUAUUUAUGACAUUUUUCUCUCAAAAAUUCAGUAGAAUUCGGGAUGAUUUUUUGUUACUUUCUUAACUUAAAAAUAUCUCAAAAACUAAUCUCAAAAAUUAAAGAGAAACCAAACUUCAAAACUUAAGAAAAGACUUACCUUUUUAACAGUUCAUAGUCUUCUUUUGAUCGUGAGCCAUCCUCGUCUUCUAUUUCUCUUCAUUUACUUUCACGAAUCUAGUAGAUUUUUUCCAAGAUUUUUAUUUAAAACCUUACAAUACUCUCACAAUUUUGUAUUCCUUUUUCUUUCCUUUCGUAUUCCUUUUUAUUUCCUUACCUCUAUACUUCUCACUAUUUUCUCUCAUCCGGAAUGUGUAACAACCCAAAAGAAUUGGAUGGUCCAGAUCGCACAAGGGAGAUUCAAUGAUCAAGAUUUAAGGGAAGAUAAAACGACCAAAAUAUACCCUCACUAAGACCUAGAUCAAAUGGCCAAAAGUAAAUCCCUAGAUCCAAUGGUCCAAAAUCUCUCCCACCCGAUUUUAAAUAAGUUCUUUAUACUAAAAUUGAUCCUAGAGAACGAAUGGAAUGGCAGAAAGGAGUGAGAAAGAGAAAGAAUUGAUUGGGGGGAGAGAGAGAGAGAGAGUGAGCAGCAAUCGACUAAGGGAGGAAAGAAUGGAGGAGGAACUGUGCGAACCACCACUGGUUGGUGCCUGAAUGUCGACCGAAGAGGUAUUUUUGGUUUGAUAAAUGUUAUUCCUUCGAAAAAAACUCGAAUCCGAAGGACUCUCGCCAUUCUAGAUUGAAUGUCAAAAUAAAUCUCUGGGUAUAUCAUAUUUGUGCAACUACAGGUGAAAAAAGAAACUUACACCGCACCUCAACUUUAUCUAUUCGAGAUUCGGGAAGGGUAAGGGUAGUUUAUUACUUUAAAUCCCCAGAUUUGAAAAAUAAUGUAGUGAUCUAGGUUUUUGGAUUGAGUAAAUGAUAUGGUAUUGCACCAAGAUUUGUUAUCUUGAGAAUAUUUGACAAUAAUGAUACAAAAAUUUGAAAUGUAUUAUGUAUAUGAUGGUGUAGCUCAGACAAGCUUGAGAUGUGGUCAAACAAGGAGCGAUUGAGGGUUCCUUCCUUGUUGUCCCAGGCGUCGGGAAGAGGGAAGAUGAUUUAUUGAGUCAGGUAGCGGGUCGGUUUGGCAACCUAUUAAGCCCAUAUCCGAAAGCUCUGAUAGUUUUGAGUGAGACCAAGCCCAAUAAGUCUCCCGGUUUAACUUUGUAAAGAAAAAUGAGAAAAAUUAUGAUAAGAGGUUGGUUUAGGUUUUAUUGCCCAAGCCCACAUAGCAAUGGACUAGAUAUGAAUUCAAAUUUUAUUGGAUCUAAGAAACAAAAUAAAAAAAAAAAGAAGGGGAAGACAAGGAGUUAAAUAAAACCAAUAAGAGUUGAUAUCUGAAUCCAAGAGUUAUCAAACAAAUUUCCUACUUAUUAGAUAUAUGAAUAGUAAUGAGCUGGUUGAACAGAAAUUAUGGUAUUGGACUAAAUGGCCAGAGGAAAUAGUAAAUAAAAUUAAUGAAAGAAGUUUAGUUAAAGCUAUAAAUAGGUCUAGAAAUAAUCAUUACUGGAAAUAAAAUAUAAUGGGAGUACAAAAAUAUUUAUGCGGUGGAAUAAAGGGUAUUGGCCUUAUAAUUAGAUAAUUGUAGACCUACCAAUUGUGAAUAGUUUGAUAAAAUUGUAAUUAUAAGUAGAUAUAUAAAAAGUAUGCGCAUUUGAGUUAGAUAAAAUGGUAUAAGAUUACGGGAAUAGUUCGAUAAUUGUGAAUUAGCAACGGCGUAAGUAUAAGAUGCUUAUGUUUGAAUAUUUAUUUAAGUCUAUAUAUAAGAAUGUAAAUCUUUGGGUGAUUCUAGAGAUUAAAAUAAUUUAGGCAUUGAUGAGUUUAAUGAUUUAUAAAUUAAUAGAUUUAACCUUUGGAAAGCAAAGAAAUAGAAUUUUAUAUGAAAGAAAAAACUAAAUGGAGGUAGUCAAAUUUAAAGGUUAAUGGGUAAUUUAAAUCUAGAAAUAAAAUGCAUUGGGGAAUACAUAUGACCAGCAGUUAAGAUUCCUUAUCAGUAAGAUAUGUGUAAUUAUGUGAUGCAGGAUCGGUUAAGAAUGAUUAUAAAUUCUAUCUCAUGGACUGUCUGUUUGUAUCGUAUUUAUGACUGUAACUAUGACUUGUGUCCGUUAAGAACGAUGUGAAUUGUAACUAUAAUUGUAAUUAUGACUUAUGUCAUUUGGGGUUGAUAUGAAUAGUAACUCUAACCGUAACUAUGACUUGUGUCCUUUGGGGACGAUGUGAAUCGUAACUGUGAUUACAACUCUUAUUGUAAUUAUGACUUAUGUCCAUUGGGGACGAUGUGAAUUGUAACUAUGGCUACGACUCUAAUUGUAACUAUAAUAGUAAUUAUGAUAUGUGAAUGUGUAACUAUGACUAGAUUCAUAUUAAUAAUGUAAGUAUCUUUUUUUUUUCGUGAUUGUGACUAAGUGUUAUUAUAUGAAAUAAUAUGGUUUAUGCAUGUGUGUUGGUUGUGUACAGUGAAAUGAUGAAAAUUUAUUGUUAUGUGAAUAUAUAUUUAAAGAAGGAUACCCUAUGUGUGAAUAUGUGUUUAAAAAAUGGUAUUCAAUUUGUGAAUAUAAGUUUAAGGAAGAGUAUUUUAUGUUUGAGUACGUUUAAUUAAUAUGAAUACGAUAUUACGUUUAUUAGAUUGUGAACAAACCAAAGGUAAUUUAUGGGAAUAUAGUUAUGUAAUUGUGGAUAUAUUUUGGAUGAUUUGAAAUAUAUGAGAAGAAAAAAUAUUUUAUAUGUGAAUAUGUGCAAUCAAUGUAAUUAUGACGUUAUGCUAUAGAGAUUGAGAAAGUCUGGAUAUCCUUUGAUUGAAAUGAGGUAUAUGAAAGUGAAAACAUGUGAUUAGUAAGAUCGACAUAGUUGUAGUAGAGUGUGAAAAUCAAAUAAUUGUGAAGAGCGUAAUAAGUUGAGGUAAAAGUCAUAGUUCGAAAUCAAUAUAUUAUAUUUGAUCUUUGGCUUGGAGUCUUAAAUUAUUCUUACUAAACAAGUGGUGACUCACUCUCUUUUUAUCAAUUAUAGGAUAAGAAAACCAAG